AUCUGCAGGAGGGAAUGGAGCUGGAAGAACACAUGCGAGCAAUAGCAGCCACUAAGAUUGCAAUAAUCGUUUUCUCCAAAUCAUACACUGAAUCUACCUGCUGUCUUUUUCAGCUUGAAAAAAUCAUUGAAUGCUUCGAAACAUUUGGUCAAAUAAUUCUUCCCAUAUUUUACGAGGUUGACCCAUUGAAUUUAAGUUAUCAGGUUGAUUUCGGUUUCGGAAAUGCGUGUGAAGAAUUAAUUGACCACAAAAGCUAUCCAUUAAUGUUCAGGUGGAGACGUGCACUCAACACAGCGGCAGGUAUCAGUGGUUUGGAUGUCAGAGAUUUCAGGUAAACAAAAGAAUUCUUGGUACUUUUUUCUGUUUGAGACUGAAUGAAGCAUAUGUUAAGAAUGUGAUUUACUUUUGGUAACCCUUCAUUUUCAAGGCAUGAUGCUGAACUUGUGGAGAAAGUUGUUUUCCGCGUUUUUGAAUUGCUGGACUAUAAAGACUUCUCUAUUACCCAAUUUCCUGUUGGAUUAGAGUGGCACGUGGAAAAGGUGAUUGGAUGUAUUGAAAAUCAUUCCACCAAAGUGUGUAUGAUAGGGAUAUGGGGAAUGGGAGGGUCAGGUAAAACUACCUUAGCCAAAGCCAUCUAUAAUCGAAUUUAUCCUCCAUUCAUUGGUAAGAGUUUUAUGGAAAAUAUUAGAGAAGUUUGGGAUCCAGCAGGGCAUGUUGAUUUGCAGACCAUGCAACUCAAGGUCGAGGUGGGAAGCGUUGGGAUGGGAAAAACUAUGCUCGAGAAUGGACUUUCUAGAAAAAGGGUGCUGAUUGUGCUUGAUGAUGUGAAUAAGUUUGACCAAUUAGAAAAACUAAGCUGGAAUCGUGAUUGGUUCGGUCAAGGAACUGUGAUAAUCAUUACAACUAGAGAUGUUCAUCUACUGAACCGACUCAAAGUUGAUUAUGUUUAUAAAAUGGAUGUUAUGAAUGAAAAUGAGUCCCUUGAGCUUUUUAGUUGGCAUGCCUUUAGAAAAGCAAAACCAAGAGAAGAUUUUAAUGAACUUGCAAGAAACAUGGUUGCUUAUUGUAGAGGACUACCACUAGCUCUUGAGGUUCUUGGUUCCUUUUUAUGUGAUAAGACAAUGGAAGAGUGGGAAAGUGUAUUGCCAAAAGCAAAAGUAAUUCCCAUUCAUCAAAUUCAAGAGAAAUUGAGAAAAAGUUAUGACGGUUUAAGCAAUAUGGAAAAGGACAUAUUUCUUGAUGUAUGUUGUUUCUUUGUUGGUAAAGACCGAGGUUAUGUCACAGAUAUAUUAAAUGGAUGUGAACUACAUGCUGAUAUUGGAAUAACAGUUCUCAUAGAACGUGGUCUUAUAAAAGUUGAAAGGAACAACAAACUUGAAAUGCAUCCUUUGUUUCGAGACAUGGGAAGAGAAAUUAUUCGUCAGAGUUGGCCAAACGAACCAGGGAAAAGGAGUCGAUUGUGGUUUCAGGAUGAUGUACAACAUGUACUGAAAAAGAUGACUGUAAGAACAUUCUUUAUAUUAUUUUGAAACUUAUUUUCUAAGUGUUUUCAUUUCCAAGUUGAAUGCAUGUGUUGUUACCUUGUUAGACUCAGCAUUCAGUUUCAAUGAUCAAAAGAAAUUGAGAGAUUUCUCAAUUGUAUCUCUAUGCUAUAUUCAUCACAGGGGACAGAAGCUACCCAGGGAUUGUCCCUGAAACUGCAUUCGACAAGCACAGAUUGUUUCAAAGCUCGUGCUUUCAAGAAAAUGAAGAGAUUAAGACUGCUACAACUGGAUCAUGUAAAACUUACUGGAGAUUAUGGGUACCUUUCUAAACAAUUGAGAUGGAUUUGUUGGCAAGGGUUUCCUUCCAAGUACAUACCAAAUAACUUUCAUAUGGAAAAUGUAAUUGCAAUUGAUUUAAAACAUAGUCAUCUUCAACUCGUCUGGAAACAACCCCAGGUAUUUAUUACAUGCUUUUAUUCUUUUAAAACUCACAGGUUAAAUAAAAUAGAUAUAGUAUAAUUGGUUCAGGUUAUAACUAUUGCAUCCUUCUAUUUUCUUCUCUAAUCUUUUCCAAAAUUACUAUCUUUGUAGGUUUUAAAGUGGCUAAAAUUCCUUAAUCUUAGUCACUCCAAGUUUUUGAGAGAAACACCUGACUUUUCAGGACUACCAAGUCUUGAAAAGCUCAUUCUAAAAGAUUGCCCAAGUUUGUGCACGGUACACCAAUCCAUUGGAGAUCUCCACAAUCUACUUCUGUUAAAUUUGAAAGACUGCACAAGUCUAAGCAAUCUCCCCAUAGAGAUAUAUAAGUUGAAAUCUUUAAGAACUUUCAUCCUCUCUGGUUGUUUCAAGGUUAAUAUAUUGGAAGAAGAUAUAGCGCAGAUGAAAUCCUUGAUAACUCUUGUUGCUGAAAAUACAGCUGUGAAAACAAGUGUCUUGUAAGUGUGCUCAUUGUAAUUGUCUUGGUCACAUUAUUGAAACUUUCUAUAAGAAAUAUGGAUAUCCUCUCACAUGCAGAAUUCUCAUUUUGCUCUUAAUGUUCGAUCACUCGGAGAUAUUGAUGAAGGUGAUGAUACUACAACUGAUCUUUCUCGAGUAGUAGUGUCUUCUACUAGAAAUAUGACUCUGACUCCUGAGAUACAUUGUUGAUUUAAUAUUUCUAGGUAACUGUUCAUAAAAUUAGUUAAGAGUUUGUUACUGCAGUUACUAUAAAUGUAAUUGUUAGCAAAGAUAAUAAAAUAUCUUCCUCUGUAUUAUUCUAAAAAACCAACAAUUGGUAUCAGAGCUAUCUUCUUGAGGGAUCUGUGAGGUUAGUAGAGUGCAUCAAUGGAAGGAGGUUUCAAUUUUUCAGCAAUGGCACCACCUGUCUUUGAUGGAGACAACUAUCAAAUGUGGGCUGUUCGUAUGGAGACCUACCUAGAAGCAUUGGAUUUAUGGGAAGCUGUAGAAGAGGAAAUUCAGUCCCUUCCAGAAAACCCUACUGUGGCACAAAUAAAAUCACAGAAGGAAAAGAAGAUGAAAAGAUCAAAGGCAAAAGCAUGUCUAUUUGCAGCUGUAUCUCCUAUGGUAUUCACAAGGAUAAUGUCCUUGAAGUCAGCAAAAGAAAUCUGGGAUUACCUCAAGGCCGAAUAUGAAGGUGAUGAGAGGAUUCGUGGAAUGCAAGUGCUGAAUCUAAUCAAGGAGUUUGAACUGCAGAGAAUGGAGGAGUCAGAAACCGUAAAAGAGUAUUCUGACAGACUUCUAAGCAUUGCCAACAAAGUGGGAUUGCUUGGAUCUGUGUUAAAAGAUUCAAUAAUUGUGAAAAAACUGCUUGUAACGGUUCCAGAGAGGUUUGAAGCCACCAUAACAACCCUAGAGAACACAAAGGACCUAUCAAAAUUUUUUCUUGCAGAGCUCUUAAAUGCUUUACAAGCACAAGAACAAAGAAGAGCUAUGAGACAAGAUGGAGCAAUAGAAGGAGCCUUAACAGCCAAUCAUAAAGGUGGUUGGAGAAACAAAGGUAGCCAGAUCAAGCAGAACCAGCAAGAAAAUGAAGAAGUUGUUGCACACAAUAACCACAAAAGGAGAAAUUACCCUCCUUGUAAGCAUUGCAACAAGUUAGGUCAUCCACCGUUUAAGUGCUGCAGAAGACCUGAUGCUAAGUGCAACAAGUGCAAUCAACUUGGGCAUGAAGAAGUCAUUUGUAGAAACCAAAGUGAGCAACAAGAUGUAAACCAAAGUGAGCAAAAAGACAUAGAUGCUCAAUUUGCAAAUGAGGAGGAGGAUGUACUUUUCGUUGCAACUGGUUUCUCCAACAAUAUUUCAAGUGCAUCGUGGUUAAUUGAUAGUGGAUGCACAAAUCACAUGACUUAUGACAAACAACUUUUCAAGGAGUUGAAGCCUUCAAAAAUUUCAAAGGUCAAGAUAGGCCAUGGGGGUCACAUUUCAGAAAAAGGAAUAGGAACCAUUGUUGUAGCAACACAUUCAGGUACUAAAACUAUUACUGAUGUGUUAUAUGUACCUAACAUAGACCAAAAUUUAUUAAGUGUUGGUCGGUUGCUGCAAAAAAGGAUUCAAGGUGUUUUUUGAAGAUAACCACGGUUUGAUCAAGGAUGCUACAGGACAAGAUUUGUUCAAGGUACAAAUGAGAGGCAAAAGUUUCUCAUUAGAUCUAUUUCAGGAGGAGCCGUCUGAUUAAGGACUUAUGAAGAUGCAAAAAUCUGAAAUAGAAGAUGAUCCACCAAUUAAAGGCAAUCGAUUACUCUCUGACAUAUAUCAUAGAUGUAACAUUGCAAUAUGUGAACCUGUGGAUCACAAAGAAGCUGCGGAUCACAAAGAACCUGUUGAUCAUAAAGAAGUUAUCAAUGACCCAAAGGCGGAAAAGGCAAUGGAGGAAGAGGUAGAUAUGAGUGAGAAGAACAAAACUCGGGAUCUUGUUGACAUACUUCGAGAUAGAAAGGUACAUCAAAUGGAUGUCAAGUCAACAUUCCUAAAUAGAUUUCUUGAAGAGAAAAUUUCUGUUGAGCAACCUAAAGGUCUCAUUGUGGAAGGAAAAGAAGACAAAGGUUAUCUUAUCAGCUUAGGCUUUGACAAAAGUCUUUUAGAAUCUGCACCUUAUUGAAAAAAAUAAAAAUUGCAGAUUUGUUUACCAAGCCACUUCCAACCAACAAGUUUGAGUUCUCAAGACAGAAGAUUGGAAUUUGCAGUUCAAAAAAUCAAGGAGGAGUGUUGGAAAUUCUGUUUUUUUAACUGUUCGUUAUUCUGUUUUAAUUCUGUUUUAAUUGUUGAUUUAAUAUUUCUAGGUAACUGCUCAUAAAAUUAGUUAAGAGUUUGUUACUGCAGUUACUAUAAAUGUAAUUGUUAGCAAAGAUAAUAAAAUAUCUUCCUCUGAAUUAUUCUAAGAAACCAACAAACAUCUUCACAUUAUUGCUUUUGAAGACUUGACUCCAAUAAUUCCUUUGAUGGAGUUCGCUUCUUCUUCAUCAUCAUCGUCUUCAUCCUUCUUAAGAUCAGAACCCCAGUUCACAUACGACGUGUUCAUCAACUCUUGGGGAGAAGAAAUCGGUAGAAAGUUGGUUUCUCAUCUUCAUUCUUUCCUUUUACAAGCUAAAGUAAAAACUUUGAUUAAGGAGGAGAAUCUGCAGGAGGGAAUGGGGCUGGAAGAACACAUGCGAGAAAUAGCAGCCUCUAAGAUUGCAAUAAUCGUUUUCUCCAAAUCAUACACUGAAUCUUACCAAAGUGUGUAUGAUAGGGAUAUGGGAAAUGGGAGGAACAGGUAAACCUACCUUAGCCAAAGCCAUCUAUUCAUUGGUAAGAGUUUAAUUGAAAAUAUUAGAGAUGUUUGGGAUCGAGUAGAUGGAAGCCAUGUUGAUGUGCAAGAAAAUCUUCUAUAUAAUGUCCUAAAAUCCAAGCUUGAGGUGGAAAGCGUUGGGAUGGGAAGAACUAUGAUCGAGAAUGGACUUUCUCGGAAAAAGUUGAUGAUUGUGCUUGAUGAUGUGAAUGUGAACUCUAAUAAUCAUUACAAAUAGACAUUUUCAUGUACUGGACCUACUCAAACUUUAUUUUGUUUAUACAAUGGAUUAUAUGAACGAAAAUGAGUCCAUUGAGCUUUUUAGUUGGCAUGCCUUUGGAGCAGCAAAACCAAGAGAAGACUUUAAUGAACUUGCAAGAAACAUGGUUGCUUAUUGUAGAGGACUACAACUAGAUCUUGAGGUCCUUGGUUCCUUUUUAAGUCAUAAGACAAUGAAAAAGUGGGAAAGUGUAUCCUCAAAAGCAAAAGUAAUUCCCAUUCAUAAAAUUCAAGAGAGCUUGAGAAUAAGUUUUGAUGAUUUAAGCAAUGUGGAAAAGCAUAUAUUUCUUGAUGUAUGUUGUUUCUUUGUUGGUAAAGACAAAGGCUAUGUCACAGAUAUACUAAAUGGAUGUGAACUGUAUGCUGAUAUUGGAAUAACAGUUCUCAUAGAACCUGGUCUUAUAAAAGUUGAACGGAACAAUAAACUUGAAAUGCCUUCUUUGUUACGAGACAUGGGAAGAGAAAUUAUUCGUCAGAGUUGGCCAAAGGAACCGGGGAAAAGGAGUCGAUUAUGGGUUCAGGAUGAUGUCAAAGAUGUACUGAAAGAGAAUACUGUAAGAACAUUCCUUUUAUGAUUUUGAAACUUCGAUUCAAAGUAUUUUUUUUUUUCAAGUGCAAUGCAUGUGUCGUUAACCGAUUAGGCCCAGCAUUAAGUAUCGAUGAUCAACAGAUAUUGAUAUAUUUCUCAAUUGUAUCUCUUCGCUAUAUUCAUCACAGGGGACAGAAGCUAUCCAGGGAUUGUCUCUGAAACUGCAUUCAACCAGCAGAGAUUGCUUCAAAGCUCAUGCUUUCAGGGAAAUGAAGGGAUUAAGACUGCUACAACUGGAUCAUGUACAACUUACUGGAGAUUAUGGGUACAUUUCUAAACAAUUGAGAUGGAUUUCUUGGCAAGGGUUUCGUUCUAAGUACAUACCAAACAACUUUCGUAUGGAAAAUGUAAUUGCAAUUGAUUUAAAACAUAGUCAUCUUCAACUCGUCUGGAAACAACCCCAGGUAUUUUAUUACAUGUUUUUUUCUUUUAAAGCUCACAGGUUAAUUAAAAUAGAUAUAGUAUAAUUGGUUCAGGUUAUAACUAUUGCAUUCUUCUAUUUUCUUCUCUAAUAUUUUCCAAAAUUACAAUCUUUGUAGGUUUUAAAGUGGCUAAAAUUCCUUAAUCUUAGUCACUCCAAGUUCUUGAGAGAAACACCUGACUUUUCAGGACUACCAAGUCUUGAAAAGCUCAUUCUAAAAGAUUGCCCAAGUUUGUGCAAGGAACACCAAACCAUUGGAGAUCUCCGAAAUCUAAUACUGAUAAAUUUGAAAGACUGCACAAGUCUAAGAAAUCUCCCCAGAGAGAUAUAUAAGUUGAAAUCUUUAAGAACUUUCAUCCUCUCUGGUUGUUUCAAGAUUAAAAUUUUGGAAGAAGAUAUAGCGCUGAUGAAAUCCUUGAUAACUCUCGUUGCUGAAAAUACAGCUGUGAAACAAGUGUCUUAAUGGUUAAUUUACACAAUGUGCACAUUACAGAUACACAAGCAUGGCACAAUAAUUUUCUUUAAUGAUGAAGAUUGGCAUGGCAUAGUGUCAAAUUUAGGAUAUGGAGACAAGGUGGCGAUUUUUGUGAGUUUUGAUCCGUCGUCAAGAUCAUAGCUCUCUAUUUGAUAUGUGGUGGAUCAAAUGACUUAGUAAAAGAACCUUUUGAGUAGUAAUUUAUAGUUAAGAAAAUCAAUGUUUAUUUUGCCCUGAUUCUCACUUCUCACGUUAUACCUUCUUGGCUGUGCUUGAGGCUAAAUAAUACAUAGUGGAACGUUUGAAUGAUAUCGUUGAGGCCCUGAGUUCUAUCUAUGUCACAGUAGAAUGUGAUAUCAACGAGUUGUCUGAUUCUCUUAUUACGAAGUGGAUUUUAAGCUUAACUCAAUCUCAUUAAACCGAUUCAUGAGGUGAGGUUUGCAUCCACUUAUAUACAAUGAAAUGCCAUAAUCUCUAGUCGAUGUGGGAUCUCCAACAUCUCUUGAAAAGUUUAUUCAUUUGAGAUAUUUGGAUCUCCCCUUACACUAAAAUCAAGAAGUUACCUGAAUGGACAUGCAAGCUGUAGAAUUUACAAACCUUGCUGCUAUCGUGUUGUACAUAUCUACUUGAAUUGCCUCAAGACAUAGACAAAUUGAUUAAUCUGCGCCAUAUGGAUCUAAGUAGAACCAAGUUGAAGAAGAUGCCCACAAAUUAAUUAAAAUGUCUCAAGACUUUGACUUCCUUUGUUUUCAGAAAAUAGGAGGGCAAAUUAACGGUUGGAGCAUUGAAAUUUUUUCCACAUCUACUAGGAAAGUUUUCCAAUUAAACCUGCAACAUGUUGUAGUAUUCAAUGAUGUUUUUCAAGCUAAUUUGAAAAUAAGGAGAUAAUUGAGGUGUUAAAAUUGGAAUUGGCCUACAUUUUGAAGAUAAGAAGUAAUGUACCAGUUCGAAUUCACAUAUUGAGAAAGAAGUAAUGUACCAGUUCGAAUUCACAUAUUGAGAAAGAAGUACUUCAUUUUGAAGAUUCUAAUUCAUUGUUAAUUCAUUGUGGUGGGUAUUUGUGAGUGGUUAUUGGCGGUUGUGGUUGGAGAUAGCUGUUGGAGGCAGUGAAGGUUACUUGGUGAAGUGAAUUCUGCGUUUUUUUUAAUGGUUUCCUAUUAGCGUUUUUUUUUUUUACGUUUUCUUCUUGUAUAUCAAAUUGCGUAAGGCGGAACAUCUCCAUUGUUGAAAUCAAGGGUGGGCAAAAAAUCCAAAUUACAAAAUCCAAUCCAUAAUUAUCUAAAUCCAUAUUAGUUUUAAUCAAUUGAAAUGGAUUUAUCUCAAAUCCAAAUCUAUAUUUUUGGAUUUUAAAUCCAAUCCAUUUAAUUGGAUAUGGAUUAGAUAUAGAUUGGAUACAUUUUUGGAUUAUCCAAAUUGUAUUUUGGGUUGGAUUUUGACUUGGUCCAAUCCAGGUUGAGCCAAGACAAUUGGGGCCCAAGUUGAGCAAAGUCGGCCCAAGUCCACAUUGAGCCGAGUCGUCCGGACCCAAGUCAAAUCGAGUCGGUAUGGGCCAAAGUCGAGCCAAGUCAUUUCGGGCCAAAGUCGAGCCGAGUCAACCCUGGUUCAAGUCGAGUUGAGUGGUCGAUAUUGAGUCGACUCGGCCGAUAUCGAGCCCAGUUGACCCAUGCCAAUGUCUAGUCAAGUCAGUCCAAGCCCAUGUCGAGUUGAUUCUUUCGGGUCCGAUAUUGAAUCGAGCAGGCCCGAGCCGAUAUCAAGACGACCAGGACAGGGCUGAUGUCGAGCCGAGCAAGCCCAGGCUGAUGUCGAGCCGAGCAGGUCCGGGUCGAUGUUGAGUCGAGCAGGCCCGAGCCCAUGUUGAGUCGAGCGGGCUCGAGCCCAUGUCGAGAUGAGCGAGCUCGAGCCCAUGUCGAGCUGAGUAGGCUCGGGUCCAUGCCAAGCCGAGCAGUCUCAGACCCAUGUCAAGCCGAGCAAGCCCGGGCAGAAGUCGAGGAGAGCAAGCACGGGCCAAUGUCGAGUAGUCCGAGUCAAGGCCGAUAUCGAGUCGCUCAGGCCAAUAUCAAGUCGCUCAGGACGAUGCCGAGCCGAUGCCGAGCCGAGCAGGCCCUGGCUGAUGUCGAGCCGAGCGGGCCUGGACCGAUGUCGACCCGAGUAGGUCCGGACCGAUGUCGAGUCGUUCGGGCCCGGGUCGAUGUCGAGUUGUCCAGGACAGGGUCGAUGUCGAGUCGUCUGGGCCCAGGCUGAUGUCGAGUUGUUCGGGCCCGGGCUGAUGUUUAGUCGAGUGGGCCCAAACCGAUGUCGAGCCAAGCGGGCCUGGGAAGAUGUCGAGACGAGCGGGCCUAGGACGAUGUCGAGCCAAGCGGGCCUGGGAUGAUGUCGAGCCGAGCGAACCGGGGCCGAUGUCAAGCCGAGUGGGUCGAGGUCGAUGUCGAGUCUUUCUGGCCAGGGCCGAUGUCGAGUUGAGCAGGCCCAGACUGAUGUGGAGCCGAGCGGACCAGGGCCGAUGUGGAGUCAUCCGGGCCCAAGCCGAUGUAAAGUCGUUCGUGCAUGUCGAGUCGUCUGGGCCUAGGCCGAUGUCGAGUUGUUCGAGUCUGGGCCGAUGUCGAGUCGUCCAUGCCUGGGUCUAUGUCGAGUCGAUGUAGAGUCGUUUGGGCAUGUCUAGUCUUCCGAGCCCGGGCCGAUGCCGAGUCGCCCGUGCCCGGGCCGAUGUCGAGUCGUCUGGGUCCGGGCCCAUGUCAAGUCGUCCAGGCCCAGACUCAUGUUGAGUCAUAUGGGCUUGGGCCCAUGUCAAGUCGUACGGGCCCGGGCCAAUGCCGAGUCGUCUGGCCGGCCAAUGUCGAGCCGUUUGGGUCUGUGUCGAUGUAGAGCCGAGUUGGUCUGCGUCCAGGUUGAGUCGGCUUAGGCCCAGUUCGAGUCAAGUUAGUUUGUGUCCAUAUCAAAAUGGAUUUAAUGUAAUUGAUAAAGUGAUUUUAAUCUAAUUAACAAAGUGGAUUUAAUCUAGAUUUAAUCCACUUUAAAUGGAUUUAAAAAAAAAUCUAAAUAUAUUUAAUCUAGUUAAAAUAGAUAUGGAUUUUAAAUCCAAUCAAUUUAUUUGGAUUUUUUAUUGGAAUCCAUGAAAAAAAUGCAUACCAAAAUUGUAAACAGAAUUUUACAAGCCGGUUUACAAACCAAUUUGCGGAUUCCAGUAUACAAUAUUGGAUCCGUUUGUCCUUUCAAGUUGAAGAAUCUAUACACAAUUUAUAAAAAUGUAAAGAAUUCCGCUUUCUAAGAUCCUAUAUACAAUAUAAUUAAAUUACUUCUAUGUUUUUUUAUUAAGUUAAGUGAAUAUAUUUUAUUGUUUUGCUAUUUAUAAAUUUGAAUAAUAUGUAGGUCACUCAUUGUUUAAUUAUGGCUAGGGAGUCAGAAAUGUGGACGAAUAAUUUUGAAGUAGAAAGAAAUUAUGAUAUGGAUAACUUAAUAAAUUAUGAAGUUAGUAAAUAUGAAUUGUUCGAAGUAGAUUAUGGUAGUCAUUUUACAACUAAUGAGGUAAAACUUAAACAUUUGGACUUGGCUUUGUAGUAGUCAUUGUUAGAUCUAACACGACAAAUUGAGGAUAAGGUAGAAAGAUAUUUGUGUUGUUAGGUUAUGAGAAGGGUGGUAAGUAUAUAAAAUAUAAGCAUGAAGUGGAUAAGUGUUAGAGGUACAAGAAAAUGUAACUUUCCAUUUCAAAUCGAGGUAAACCUUUUGGAAAAGGUGCAAGUUGGGUAUUGAAGGUAUUGUGUUGUACUCAGGAUUGAUCAUGUUUUCUUGCUCCUAAUCCAUUAGGAACGUCAUUUUGGUGUACUUGUUGAUGAUCCUCAUACUUUAACUUACUUUCCUUCCUUAACAUGAGGAUGUGGUGGUUCUGGUGUUCGGUCUUAAUCUUCCUCAAUUUUCGAUAGGGGUCGUGGUCGUAGUUCUCAAGUGUGUCGUCAUUGUGAUUGUUCUGGUCACACUAUUGAAACUUUCUAUAAGAAUUGUGGAUAUCCUCCUCACAUGCAGAAUUCUCAUUUUCCUAGGAUUUGUUAAGAUUAUGCGAAAAUUGAUAGAAACUCUUACAUGUGAGAAUAUGAAAAGAAAUUCAUUGAUAAAUUGUCAUUUCAUUGUUUCAGUUGUUAUCCUGGAAGUUGAUUGUAUUUAUAUUUUGUUGUAUUUGAAGUUGGAAUCACCAUAAGUUUCUAAUUUAACAUGUUAUUUAGUCAAUAAAGUUGUUUUGAUUUUUUUUUGCACCUAAAUAUGAUUUAUUUAUAUUCAUUUACUAUGCUUGAGGACAAGCAAGAUUCUAGACUGGGAGGAGUUGAUAAGUGUCAUAAUUCAGUAAUAUUUCAUGCAAAAAGAUAAGCACUUAUAGACUUUAAUUCUUAAUAAAGUUAUAAUUCCAUCUCUAAUUUAGCAAUUUGAGUUUUUUUUUUACAUAUUUUUGGAUUAUAAGAUGAAUAAAAACAAUUUAUUCCCAAUUUUGUACUAAUUUUAGAAAUCUAAGGGAAGAUGGAGAUAAAAGGGCUAAAAUAGAAUGGACAAGUUAAAGAUAAGAUGAAAGGACAAAGUUGGAAACCUGUCAAAACUCGCCCAAGACUCUCACAAGCCUUACUUAAGUGAGUUCACUCCAGUGAAGUUGGGCUUUUGCUCGUGAAAAUCGCUUAAGCAAGCAAUAUUUUGCUUAAGCAAAAUGUCACUUAAACCAAACCCAAUUAGGUUAAAUUGAAGGCGUGAGACAAAACCUUAGACAUCAUUGGGAGGACAAUCAGAGAUAGAAAGAGGAGGCAACCAUCAAAGAGGAAAACUCUGGAUCUUCUUUUAUUGCUUUCCAUUCUUGUAAUGGCCAAUAUUGGUAACUAAGUGUUUCAUUUGGGAUUGGAAGUAAUUUGUUCAAACUAUGAUGUAUUAAGGUGAUAUUUAUUUAUAAUAUUAUGUUCUUGAUUGAUGAUUGGUUUUAUCAUUCAUUCUCAAAGUUUGAAUCUUUAUUCAUAAUUUUGAUCCUUGGAUUUGACAGGAAAGUACUUCUAAACAUAUGACUUAAAUGAUAAUGCUUAGUAUAUUUGAAUGUUAGGAAUAAAUUUGAAAUGUUAAUUGCUUUACAACAUUUGUUUGUAAUGAUAAAAAUUUUAUAAAUAUGUGAGAAAUCGAUAUUUAAGAAACAAUCUUAAUAAUUUUGUAUGUGAAUAAUCGAUAUGAAUGAUUUGUGUAUGUGCAUCAAUGUCAAUCAAGAUGAAAUGUUAUAUGUUUUUAUGCAUUGAAAUACAAAUGAGAGAGAAAGAUUAACCUCAAUCCCAAUUUUUUCAAUUGAAUAAUCCAAAUCAUUUACUUUAUUUUUAUUUAAUUUCUUACAAAUUCAUGAUGCAAACAAACUUUUACACAUCUUUUUAUACUUAUUGAAUAUUAUGCUUGAAAUUUUAGAACUGUUUCUUGUGGGUUCGAUAAUCAUCCUUGGGAACAAUUUAUUACUUUUGACUUUGUACACUUGUCAAAUAAGAAAGUCAUCACUUAGAAGAGGAGGUUUAUAUGAAAUCACUUACUGGAUUGAAUCUUUCUUAUCUUGCCCUUGUUUGCAAGUUAAUCAAAUCUUUAUAUGGCCUUCAACAAGCUAGUAGUCAAUGGAAUUUCAAACUUUUUACUACUCUUGUUGUUGUUGGUUUUGUCUAGUCAAAAUCUAAAUAUUUCUUAUUCGCUAUGCGUUUUGGUCAUUCUACAUUUUGUAGUUGAUCAUGAAUAGCACAGUUUAAAUUUUUUAACUGAACUUGUGGGGUAUCGGUAACUAUAGUUUUAUAAGAUUGCUUUGUGCUCUUUCCGGUGGAGUAUGUGAUCAGUUACUGAGCAAGUCAGAAGAUUUAGAAGAUAACCUUUUCUAAAACCUAUUAAGCAAUGCUAAUAGAGUAUAGAUCAUCUAGCUCACUUUAUUAUUGCUUCUGAAAUAUAUUGAGACAGUGAAAUCUGUAUUUUGGCCAUAAAUCUAUAUAGCAGAUCUGGAAGUUUAUAAUUAAUGAAACCAUAAUCAAGAAAGAUUUUUGGUUUCUCACAAUCGAACUGUCUUAUAUUUAGCUUAUGAGUCACCCUAAUAGAAAGUUGGGAACAUUUUUUGGCCGGGGAGAACCAAAUUAGAAAAGAUAAAUCCAAACUUUUCAUGUUGCGUAUUGACCUACAAUUCAAACGACCUGGUACAUAUCAUGUCUAUCCAACAACUUCCCUUUCCAUAAUUUGUUACAUUCACCUAAAAAUUGUCCUCCUAUAUUUUACAUUAAUAUAAUGCUUGUAAAAGCAUAAUCCAACAAGAAAACUAUUGUUGGAAAUUCUGUUUUUCAACUGCAAAUAAAUGCACAUAAGUGCAAGUGAUAUUUUAUUAUUCUGUUUUAAUUGUUGAUUUAAUAUUUCUAGAUAACUGUUCAUAAAAUUAGUUAAAGAGUUUGUUACUGCAAGUACUAUAAAUGUAAUUGUCAGCAAAGAUAAUAAAAUAUCUUCCUUUGAAUUAUUAUAAAAAACCAACAAUUGGUAUCAGAGCAAUCUUCUCGAGGGAUCCGAGGUUAGUAGAGUGCAUCAAUGGAAGGAGGUUUCAAUUUUUCAGCAAUGGCACAACCUGUCUUUGAUGGAGACAAUUAUCAAAUGUGGGUUGUUCGUAUGGAGACCUACCUAGAAGCAUUGAAUUUAUGGGAAGCUGUAGAAGAAGAAAUUCAGUCCCUUCCAGAAAACCCUACUGUGGCACAAAUAAAAUCACAGAAGGAAAAGAAGAUGAAAAGAUCAAAGACAAAAGCAUGUCUAUUUGCAGUUGUAUCUCCUAUGGUAUUCACAAGGAUAAUGUCCUUGAAGUCAGCAAAAGAAAUCUGGGAUUACCUCAAGGCAGAAUAUGAAGGUGAUGAGAGGAUUCGUGGAAUGCAAGUGCUAAAUCUAAUCAAGGAGUUUGAACUGCAGAGAAUGGAGGAGUCAGAAUCCGUAAAAGAGUACUCUGACAGACUUCUAAGCAUUGCCAACAAAGUGAGGUUGCUUGGAUCUGUGUUAAAAGAUUCAAUAAUUGUGAAAAAACUGCUUGUAAUGGUUCCAGAGAGGUUUGAAGUCACCAUAACAACCCUAGAGAACACAAAGGACCUAUAAAAAGUUUCUCUUGCAGAGCUCUUAAAUUCUUUACAAGCACAAGAACAAAGAAGAGCCAUGAGACAAGAUGGAACAAUAGAAGGAGCCUUAACAGCCAAACAUGAAGGUGGCUGGAGAAACAAAGGUAGCCAGAUCAAGCAGAACCAUCAAGAAAAUGGAGAAGUUGCUGCACACAAUAACAACAAAAGGAGAAAUUACCCUCCUUGUAAGCAUUGCAACAAGUUAGGUCAUCCACCGUUUAAUGCUGGAGAAGACCUGAUGCUAAGUGCAACAAGUGCAAUCAACUUGGGCAUGAAGCUGUCAUUUGUAGAAACCAAAGUGAGCAACAAGAGGUAAACCAAAGUGAGCAACAAGAUGUAAAUGCUCAAUUUGCAAAUGAGGAGGAGGAUGUACUUUUCGUUGCAACUGGUUUCUCCAACAAUAUUUCAAGUGCAUCUUGGCUAAUUGACAGUGGAUGCACAAAUCACAUGACUUAUGACAAAAUACUUUUUAAGGAGUUAAAGCCUUCACAAAUCACAAAGGUCAAGAUAGGCCAUGGGGGUCACAUUUCAGUAAAUGGAAUAGGAACCAUUGUUGUAGCAACACAUUCAGGUACUAAAACUAUUACUGAUGUGUUAUAUGUACCUAACAUAGACCAAAAUUUAUUGAGUGUUGGCUAGCUACUCGAUAAAGGCUUCAAGGUGUUGUUUGAAGAUAACCACUGUUUGAUCAAGGAUGCUACAUAACAAGAUUUGUUCAAGGUACAAAUGAGAGGCAAAAGUUUCUCAUUAGAUCUAUUUCAGGAGGAGCUGACUAGUCAAAGGCUUCUCAAGAUGCAAAAAUCUGAAAUGGAAGAUGAUCCACCAAUUAAAGGCAAUCGAUUACUCUCUGACAUAUAUCAUAGAUGUAACGUUGCAAUAUGUGAACAACAUGUGGAUCACAAAGAACCUGUUGAUCACAAAGAAGUUAUCAAUAACCCAAGGCGGAAAAGACAAUGGAGGAAGAGGUGUAUAUGAUUGCGAAGAACAAAACUCGGGAGCUUGUUAACAUACCUCGAAAUAGAAAGGUACAUCAAAUGGAUGUCAAAUCAACAUUCAUAAAUGGAUUUUUUGAAGGGGGAAAUUUCUGUUGUGCAACCUAAAGGUCUCAUUGUGGAAGGAAAAGAAGACAAAUGUUAUUAGAUCAGCUUAGGCUUUGACAAUAGUCUUUUAGAAUCUGCACCUUAUGUCAAAUCAAAAGGUGUUGAAUGGAGAUUAAGCAGAGCGAUGAUGAAAAAAAAUAAAAAUUGCAGAUUUGUUUACCAAGCCACUUCCAACCAACAAGUUUGAGUUCUCAAGACAGAAGAUUGGAAUUUGCAGUUCAAAAAAUCAAAGAGGAGUGUUGGAAAUUCUGUUUUUCAACUGCAAAUAAAUGCACAUAAGUGAAAAUGAUAUUUUAUUAUUCUGUUUUAAUUGUGUUUUAAUUGUUGAUUUAAUAUAUUUUUAUAUAACUGCUCAUAAAAUUAGUUAAAGAGUUUGUUACUACAAGUACUACAAAUGUAAUUGUCAACCAAGAUAAUAAAAUAUCUUCCUUUGAAUUAUUCUAAAAAACCAACAACUAUGUCUAUUAUUUUCAAAAUUUUAAUUUCUUUCGCUCUUUCAGCAUGUUACCCACUUAAAAUUUAUUUGUUCCCUAAAGAAACAAAAGACUUAAUGUCUCUGGAUAUGCGAACUACCUUAAAUCUAUGUGUGCAUUUGCUUCUUUUUUUUGUAACAAAGAAUUCAGCAAUUGGAAAGGCUCAGGAUUGUCUUCUCUUUCAUUUUGUUUAUGUAAUUCCGGAUUUAUGUAUUGUACUUUAUUUAAGUACAAAAUUAGAAUAGGUUGACUUGUUUAGUUGCAAUUCUGAACAUAAUACCGUAAUUUAAAGUAGGGGAGUCUGAGGGAAGUAAUGAUGAGAUGAUUGAUGAAGCAAAUCCCUGCAAUAUUGAACAUUUGGAUGACAAAGCCUUGUUUGUUAUAUUCGUUGAUAAUGAUGUUCCAGGACAUUGAUGGUUUAUAUUGAUGAAGGUGGUAACUGGAAGGCAAGGCACGAGUGAGCUUGGUCGUUGAUGGGGGCACAAACAUGGUCCUUUCUGCUCGUGUCAUCGGGACUGAACCAAUAGUUUCAAAUAUCACAUGAAAAAAGAAAAGUUUUGUUACCACUAUAAUCGGUUAUGCGAAACUAUUUGAAUAUAAUAAGACUAGUGCAAUUUUACCGUUAAUAUGUUAACCAAUUUUCGUUGUCCUAUAAUCCACCAAGACAAGUCGACUGAGGUUUAGUUACUUUACAUCGAUUAUUUUGACUUGAACUAAAUUACUUUUUAGCAACUUCGAGUAGUAUUUGGAUAAUUGUGAAACUGAUUCUGGAGGCUGAAUAAUUUUGAAAAAGGUGAUUAAAGUUCGUAUAAUUUGUAAAACGAAAUAUCGGACGAAAGAUAUUGUUGACAAGAUGAAAAGCAUGGCAUCGGAUAUCAGAAGCAAUUAAAGAAGGGUGCCAAAAGCAUGGUGUCAGCACCAUUCACCUAAAGUAAUAAGAAUCAUAUAACUUUAAACGAAGGUGGAAAGCAUACAACUCCAAUAGCAUCUUUACGUGACUUUUUAUGCUUUCUUUUGGCAAUGCCCCGUGUCUUUUAGUAACUGCAGAGAAAAUAAAUAAUUUGUAAGCCAGAACAAAUCUCGAGUAGUUAAAAGCAACACUCACGUAGGGAUGCUAAAAUGGCCAGAUAGCAAACAAUUUGUUUAAGUAGAUCUUCAAAGACUUCAUACGACAUAAAUGGAAUAGUUAUGAGGUGCAUGGUAGCAGGGUGUUUAUUUUUAAAGAAAAAAUGAAAAAACUAAAAUCUGAUUUAAAAAUCUUGAACAAAGAAGUCUUUGGAAAUGUUAAUCAGUUAGGGGGAGAACUACAAAAGUAAAUUCAAAAGUUAGAUGCAAGAGAUGACGAGAGCAAGUUAGAUGAGGAAAGAAGAGAGGAAAGGAGGUUUUUGUUAGUUAAGCAGAGUAGAAAUAAUUUUAAACAAGAAGCUAUAAUGCAACAGAAAGCCCGUCACAGGUGGUUGAAGCAAGGUGAUUUUAAUACCAAUUUUUUUUCACUCUAUAAUUAAAUGGAGAAGGUCAAGAAAUGGGAUUAAUGGUUUGCUAGAGAAUGGUCAAUGGUGUGAGGAUCAGGUGCUCGUUAAGAAAAAGGUUAGAGAAUUUUUAUAAGGACAUGUUCAAUGGGGGAGAAUGGAAACAUGUUAGGUUAGAUAAUACAAUUUUUAAUACUAUUUAUGGAGAAUAUAAUGAAAUCUUGGUAGGAAUUAUAACAGAAAAUGAAAUGUUGUGAUGACUUUAAUUUUGGUUUUAUAAAAUUUUGUUGGGAAGAGAUCAAGAAGAACAUAGUUACAUAAAGUUAUUGAUCUUAGGCAGUCAGCGUUCUUAGAAGGUAGGGAAUUAAUGGAUAGUGUGAUUGUGGCCAAUGAAGUUCUAGAGGAACUAAACAGAAAAAACAAUAGUUGCAUAUUUUUUAAAGUUGAUUACAAGAACGCCUAUUGUUGAACCUUGUGAUGUUCAAUGUUUUGAAGAAUCCAAAUCCUUUGAAGGAUGUUGAAGCCUCUGCUUUGCUUGAUGUUGCUGUGCUUGUUUAAGCUUUGUUUUGGGGUAGUUUAUAUGUUGUAAUCCACCCUUGUAAUAAAUCUCAAGCAAUUAGCAUCUCAAUCUUUAUAAAAGUAAAAUGUUUUUCAAACUAAGUUGAAACAACCGAUUGUUUUGUCGAAACAACCGAUUGUUUAUACUUAGGUGUUUUGAGAAAGAUUGAAAACUAUUUUUAAAUAGUUGAAACUAUUAAGUACCAAAACAACCGAUUGAUUCGAGGAAACAACCGAUUGUUUGUUUUAUAACAGAAAAACUGUUUUCUUUGACUGAGCUUUAAAUGCUUUAACUGUAUACGCUCCAGUCAUUAAAUGCUUUGACCAAUCUUUUAAUGCAAUUUAAGAGUUUGUUAAGAUUUGAUAACAAACUAUAUCUUUGAAUAUAUUCAGAAAAACAGUUUUAAGAAUUAAGAAUCUUUGACAAAGUUUUUCUAAGAGAGUUUUCAAAAUGCUGAGAUUGCUUAAGAGUUUUGUGAUUGAUCAAGGUGUUGGAAUAGGAUUCUACUUGUAUUGAUUUCAGAUAUUCAUUUGUAACAAGUGCAAUCUUUGUAAUAUGUUGAACAAUUCGUUUCUGUGUUUGCUGAGAUUGGCUGUGUGUCCUUGAGGUGUUCAAGAUCAACAAUCUUAGUGUUGGCCAAGGAGAGUAUGUUUCUUGAGGUGUUUCAAGGUCAUUCUCUUGGUUGUGGUGUAAGUGAUCAAGUGGUGAUUGCUUAGUGGAUAUCCUCAGGGUUUCUGAGAAGACUGGAUGUAGCUCUAGUUUGGAGUGAACCAGUAUAAACAAUUGUGUACAAUCUCUCUAUCUCUAACUCUUUAAAUUCAAUUUAUUUGUUGUUUGCUGAUAUAAACAACCGAUUGUUUCUACGAAAUAAUCAAUUGUUUUUCUGGUGCUACAGCUUUUGCUUGCUGUUUUGGCUAACUGAAUUGCUGAAUCAAUUGGUUUCUGAAAUAAGUUCAUUCUAGUUUUGAAAAGUUUGCGAAAACCCCUUUAAACAAUUCACCCUCCCUCUAGUUUAAAGCCAUCUUUUCUAACACCUAUGACUCGGUAAGAUGGGAGUUCAUCUACUAUAUGUUAGAAAGAUUUUUGUGAAAGAUGGAUAGCAUGGGUAAAAGCAUGUUUAGAAUAAUCUUCAGUGUUAGUAUUAGUGAAUGGGAGUCCAACUUAGGAAUUUAAACCAUAGAAGGGGCUGAGAUAAGGAGACCUCUUAGCAUAUUUCUUGUUUCUUAUAGCAGUAGAAGGAUUAGCAGGGGUUGUAAGAAUAACAGUUGAGAAAAAUAUGAUAGAAAAUAUGGAGAUUGGGGAUAAGUUGGUUAAGGUGAAUAUGUUACAACACGCGCAUGAUACACUAUUUUUCUAUAAAGUCAAUACCCAAAGUGUGUUUAUUAUAAAGGUAAUCCUAAACUGGUUUGAAUUAGCAUCUGGCCUUAAGAUAAAUUUUUUGAAGAGUAAAAUUGGAGGGGUGGGAGUUAAUCACAAUCUGAUUCAAUGUUUUGUAGCAAUUCUUAAUUGUGAUGUGGCGAAAACCCAUUUAAAUAUCUGUGAAUGUUAUUUGGGGGUGCCACAAAAGAGAUAAAUUUGAGGAGGGUGUGGUGGAAAGAAUGAGGAAUAGAUUAGGUAGAUGGAAAGGUAAAUUUGUAUCUAUGGCAGGUAGGAUAUGCUUAAUUAAAAGUUCUUUCAUCUCUCCCUCUGUUUUAUUUAUCUUUCUAUAGAAUGCCAAUACUGGGAACGAAGGAGAUAGUCAAAUUACAGAGAAUUUUUUUAUAUGAUUGGGGUUCAGAGGGUAGGAAAAUAGCAUGGGUUUCAUGAAAAAAGUUUGUGAAUCAAGAGAAGUUGGAGGACUCAGAAUUAUAGAUAUAAGAUUGUUUAAUGUCACUCUCUUGGGAAAAUGGAUUUGGCAAGGGUGAGUACCGAUAAGGGUGACUUGUGGAAAGAGAUUUUAGAAUCAAAGUAUGGAGGUUGGAGGAAUUUAAAGGUCUAAGGGAAGGAUAUAUAGUAAGGAUUUACUUUGGUGGAGGGAUCUGAAUGAGUUAUGGAAAUCAGAGGAACGGGGAUGUAAAUUUGAUGAUAAUAUAACUUGGGAGGUAGGAAAUGGAUGGAGAUUAGUUUUUGGAAAGAUAAAUGGACGGAUAAUGAAGAACUAAAAGAUAAGUUCUCUAGAUUAUUUUCUCUAAGCACAAACAAAGAUUCUAAGUUGUAUCAAGUUAGGGAGUGGAAUAAUGACAAUUAGUUAUAGAAGUUAGAAUGGAGAUGGAAUUUAUUCAAGUGGGGAAAGAACCAGGCACAUCAAUUGGCACAAGUUUUGGAAGACACGAGUUUAAACAUGAAAAAAGACUGAAAAAAGACGAUAAGUGAGUUUGGAAGAAAGGAGAGACGUCAAAUUAUACUAUUAAAUCAUUAUAUAGAAUCUUAAAGGGCGAAGUAGAGGGGGAAGGCAUGUCCAUGUACGAGAAUUUUUAAAGGAUUAAGGCACUGCUUUCAACACAAACACAACAUGGAGGAUUUUAGAAAAUAAAAUUGCUACAAAGGUCAAUUUGAAAAGAUGUAGGAUAAUUAUGAUGAGUAAUAUUUUCAGUAUAUAAGGGAAAGAAGAUGAGAGAACAUGUAAUAUGUAGAGUGGUUUGACUAGUACGGGGUGGUAUGUUAUUAAUACGAGUUGUGAAAUAUAAUGGGCAAUGGUUUAUUGGAUUAUGAAGGAAAGAAGAAUUAUGGUUAUGGUUAUAUAACUUCUCUUCUUGGAAACAUCCAUUUGUUAUGGAGGGAGCGGGGAGCAGCGGAGCGUGGGGAGUAGAUCGGAACAGUAAGGUGUUUUCUUUUGAUGGGCAGGGUGAGCAGAGAUCUCGCCGGAAACCAAACCUCCAACCUAGUAAGGCUAGUAAAUCUACAACCUUUUUCUUUUCAAAUUUUCCCAACGGGUUUGGAGAGAAAGACAUGCUUAAAAUCUUUCAAAGGUGGGCGAGGGUGCAAGAUGUUUUUAUUUCACGAAGGCUUAAUAAGUGGGGCAAAAGAUUUGGGUUUGUGAGGCUGUUUGAUGUGAAGAAUGUGGGAAAACUAGAGCGGGAACUUGACCAAAUAUACAUUGGGAGUACAAAACUCUUUGUGAACAUACCGAAGUACCACCGUGUGGAUGUGUCAAGGGAGGAAGGAAGGAACAAAAGCUCAGUGGGGACGGGGAGGCUAGAGCAUGGGGUGAUGGAGCGGGUUGAAACGGAAGUAAAUAAGUCAUACAAAGGGAAGGAGGUCUGGGUGGAGAAGGGGGAGAAGAAAUCUUUUGCUGAUGCAGUUAGACGUCAGGAAAGGUGGGCAUGGAAGGGACCAGUCUUUACCGCAAAGCAACAGUCAUUGCCGUGGAUGGAAGGAAGUGUGGUAGGGCGUUUUAAUACUGAUUUGGAUUUUGAACAGUUAGGAGAAGAAUUCGUUAGAGGAGGUAUGAGCAUGCUCAGAGUAAGAGCGAUGGGGGAUAACCUUGCUCUUUUAACAUCAAGAGGUGGAAAGAAGAUGGAGGAGAUUAUAAACCUUAACAAAGAAUGGUUUAAUAGUGUUUUGGUCAAGAUGCAGCCGUGGUCACCAUCGUUCACAGUGAGUCAUAGAGUGGUUUGGGUAAGGUGUCUUGGUCUGCCAAUAACCUUAUGGAACAGAGAGAGCUUCGCUAGAGUGGUUGGAGACAUAGCUACGCUGAUUGAUAUUGAUGAUGCCACGUUGAUGUGGGAAAAUCUAGAGUUCGCACGUCUGAAAGUGAGAAUCGAGAAUAAUCGGCUCUUAAGGGUGGCAAGGAAGUUCAGGAUCAAUGAUCAAAAUAUAAGUGUUUUUAUUGAGGAGGAACACCCAGUGGUAUUAGCAGGACAGUGCAAAGACUCACAUCGUAUCUAUGAUUCUUCAGACAGUAUCACCUCAACCGAAACCUACGUGGAGGAAUCGGCUUUCUCGGUGAAAAGCUACGAGGAGGGGGGAGUCGGAAGGACUAUAGAACGGAGUCAGAUGAAGGGGAAGGUGGUCGGAGGUGGAGAAGAGGACGAAGGCCAGGCGCAACGAUUGAAUGCCCGUUUAGGGGAGCUCUCUGCAGGGUUCAGUUCGUGUCAGGAAAAAGGUGGUAAUCCUUUCACUGAUGAGGAAAGUCAACGACAAAAGCUAGUUGAGGAACCUGACUUUGGAAACGCUGCUAUCCAGGUCGGCAAGCGUUCUUUUUGUAGCUUUUCUGCACAUGCUGAGCUGGCCAGAUUAGUGGUGGACGUUGAAAGCAUGUAUAACCAAGACAUAUUCGUGCUAGGUUUGGGCCAGGGUAGAAAGGAAGCCCAAGAAGACGUGCUGCAGACGGGUAUGGGAGUGGGCUAUUCCGGGUCAAGGCCUGGUAAUGCUCUGUCGGACCUUGGAUCCGAGAUGGAGACGAGAUUUCGAACUGGAGGAAGACAGGGGGGAGCACGAGGAGAGGGAACAUAUGCUUUUCAAGAGCAGGAGAACAAUAUGAACGUUGAGAAGGAAGGUAGCAGAAACAUAUAUCUGGAGUUGGAGAGUGCGAAGAAGAAGACACCGAUGGAGCACGAUGGGACACAUGCUGGCAACAUCUCUUCCAAAAACCAGGACGCUGUUCUUGGGAUCGGAACUCACCGCAGAAGAGGAGGGAUGCUGUUGGGGUGCAGAGAAGGUGGUGGGCAUGAGGAAAGGGGAGUCACAACCACACAGCGUCGGCGGAAAAUCAAAGGCCUUGUUGAUCUGGAAGGCUCCAAGUCACACCCAAGGCGAUCUGUUAGAAUCAGAAACAAAUGCCCGUAGAAUGCUCUAUCCUUUCUCUCUAGACAAGGUAUGCCCACAGUCUCUCUUUCAGAUGGAGAUAUUGAUAACUGCAAUCUUAGGCUGCGUGAGUUUGACUCACCAGAGGAACCAAUUAAGCUGUGGGAGAUUAGUAGGAAAGUUGGGAUAAGGUGUCAUAAGGACGAACAGGAGGUUAUCCAGGAGUUCUCGAGUCUGGAGGAAAGGGAUUUGAAGACCAUGAGUUGUGUAGAGGAAGGGAAGAAGAGAGGUUUUUUAUGAUUAUUGUUAGCUUCAAUAUAAGAGGUCUGGGGGGUGGUACCAAGUCAAGGUACAUGAGGCACUUAAUAGGAAGGGAGGAGGUGGACUUUGUUUGUAUACAAGAAACAAAGGCUAAGGACAUCUCGGAUGCUAGGUGCUUUGCUUUGUGGGGUGAUAACAAUGUAGGCUGGAUACACAAUAAAGGGGAGGAGGGGAGUGGAAGCCUUUUGUCCAUGUGGCACAAAGAAGGUUUUAGUUAUGAAUACCACUUGAUGGGGAAAGGUUUUAUUGUGGUUGUUGGUCAACAUGUAAAAUCGUCCGUUAGGUGUGUUGUUGCCAACGUUUACUCUCCCUGUGCUCUGAAUGCAAAGAAGACUCUAUGGGAGGAGCUCUCUAAUGUUAAAACGGUGUCACAGGAAUCAAUCUGGUGUUGUUGUGGUGACUUCAAUGCUGUGAGAAGCAGAUCCGAGAGGAAAGGAGUCAGGGGUAGGAAUGAUCAGGUAAGAGAGAUAUCUGGUUUUAACAGCUUCAUUGAUCACAUGGCCUUGUUAGAUUUACCCUUGGUUGGCAAGAAUUAUACGUGGUUUAGACCGGAUGGAACAGCUAAAAGUAGAAUUGAUAGAGGGCUAGCCACGGAAGAAUGGCUGUUGAAGUGGCCCAUGUGCAAACAGUAUGUCCUUCGAAGGGAAGUUUCUGAUCAUUGUGCUCUGGUGAUGAAAUCUGUGGAGAAGGAUUGGGGUCCUAAACCCUUUAGAUCGAUUGACGCUUGGUUUUUGGAGAGGGGUUUUAACAUCUUGGUUAAGGAUAAAUGGGAAUCAUUCCCAGUCCAAGGGAACGAAAUUGUUAGUUUUAAGGAGAAAUUGAAACUCCUUAAGUCAGAGCUGAAAGUGUGGAACAAAGAGGUGUUUGGUAACCUCCAUUCUGCGAAGAGGAGGAUGCUACAGGAGUUGGAGGAGCUAGACAACAGAGAUUGUACCGGGGGUCUGGAGGAAAGUGAUAGGCUUAACAGAAUGGCGUUGACAAGUCGAUUGGCAGAAAAUGACAAAAAAAUUGACUCUCUUAUGUGCCAAAAGGCUAGAGCAAGUUGGUUUAAGAGUGGUGAUUCUUGUACUAGGUUCUUUCACUCAUCUCUGAGGUGGAGAAGACUCAGGAAUGAAGUGAAGGGUGUUCAGGUGGGGGAAAAAUGGUGUGAGGAACCAGGUACUGUUCGGUUAGAGGCGAAAAAGCUGUUUGAAGUUAGGUUCAACGCAACGAAAGAUCUAGGGGUGAGGUUGGAUGAGGUAGAGUUUAAGACUCUAACUUUGAGAGAUAAUGAGGGGCUUGUGGCUGGUUUCACAGAAAAAGAGGUUAAAGAUGCAGUGUGGCAGUGUGAAGGGUCUAAGAGCCCUGGUCCGGAUGGGUUCAACUUCAAUUUUAUUCGGAAAAGCUGGGACUUUGUUAAAGCAGAGUUAAUGGAAGCAAUGGCUUUGUUUCAUGCGACUGGAAAUAUCCCGAAGGGCUGUAAUGCUUCAUUUAUUGCGCUUAUCCCGAAGGUGAGGGACCCCACUAAGCUGGAGCAGUAUAGACCCAUUUCUUUGGUUGGCGUCUUUUACAAAAUCAUUACAAAGGUGUUGGCUGGGAGAUUGAAGAAGGUAUUGCCAGCAAUCAUAGAUGAAAGCCAAUCAUCUUUCCUAAAGGGUAGAGGAAUCUUGGAUAGCGUCCUUAUGGCAAAUGAAGUGGUGGAGGAUCUCAGGAAAAAGGGGAGAAGUGGUAUCUCCUUAAAAGUGGACUUUGAGAAGGCUUAUGACUCGGUUCGAUGGGAUUUCCUGUAUGAUAUGUUACACAAACUGGGUUUCCAUUCUGUAUGGAUCUUGUGGAUCAAAGGUUGUCUGGAAUCAGCUACUGUGUCAGUUUUAGUUAAUGGGUGUCCUACGGAGGAGUUUAAGCCCUCUAGAGGGUUGCGUCAGGGCGACCCCCUAGCCCCUUUUUUGUUUAUUGUGGUUGCUGAAGGACUUGCUGGGCUAGUAAGACAAGCUUUGAAGGUUAAUAUGUUGACGGGCCUGAAGAUAGGAAGGCAUGAGGUGGAGAUGUGUAUCUUACAGUUUGCAGACGAUACUCUUUUUCUAUGUGAGGAUACCUUUAUGAAUGUGUUAACUUUGAAGGCCAUCCUGAGGGGCUUUGAGUUAGCUUCAGGACUGAAGAUCAAUUUCCAUAAAUCAAAGUUAGCAGGGAUCAAUGUACAAAGCAGUACUAUACGGUGUUUCACUAAGACGUUGAACUGUAACCAGAUGGAGGUGCCUUUCAAGUAUCUUGGACUGGAGGUGGGAGGGAAUCCAAGAAAGAAACAAUUCUGGGAUCCAGUUAUAACCAAGCUGAAAGCAAAGCUCAGUGUUUGGAAGGGGAGGUUUCUAUCAGUGGCAGGGAGGAUCUGCUUAAUCAAUUCUGUUCUAACCGCUAUUCCACUGUAUUAUAUCUCCCUGUUUAGAGUACCGACCUCGGUGUGUAAAAGGAUUAUCAGUAUUCAAACAAGAUUCUUGUGGGGUUGGGGGAAAAUAUCUAAGCCAAUUGCUUGGGUUAGCUGGAAAGAUGUAUGCAGACCAAAAGAGGAGGGAGGGCUAGGGUGUAGGGAUAUAUUUUUGUUUAAUAAAGCUCUCUUAGCGAAAUGGAGAUGGCGGUGUCUUUCGGAAGAGAAUGGAAGAUGGAAGAAGUUGUUGGACUCCAAAUACGAUUUGGGAGUGGAAAGCAGCCUUACACCUGUCAAAUAUCAAUCGUGUUGGUGGAGAGACCUCUCUAAGAUGUGUAAUGAGGGAGGAGGUAAAGGGUGGUUUCAGGAAGAGUUAGGUUGGGAAAUAGGUCGUGGUGACAAAGCAAAGUUCUGGGAGGAUGUAUGGAUCGGAAGUGUGGAUCUCAAAUCUAUGUUCCCACGCCUAUAUUCUUUAUCUUUAAACCAAGGUAAAACAGUGGGUGAGAUGGGUGAAUGGGAUGGCACGGAGUGGAGGUGGGACUUGAGGUGGAGGAGAGGUAGAUUUGAAUGGGAAUCUUCUCUGGAGAGGGACCUUAAUAUGCUUCUAUCAGGGGCCAGUUUGAGAGAAAAUGUCCAGGACACCCAGAUAUGGGGGAAGGAGGUACCGGGGUUGUUUUCGGUGAGCUCUGCCUAUGACUGUCUAGCUAAGCAUGGUAGAGGGAACCAGGGAGAAGUGUAUAAACUCUUGUGGAGGGUGAAGGCUUUUCCAAAUGUGAUAGUGACAGCCUGGAGGGUACUGAUGGGAAGACUUCCUACAAGAGUGAGUCUGAGCCGGAGAGGGGUAGUGGUGAACUCAAAGAUGUGCCCCUUGUGCCAGUUACAGGAGGAGACCUGUUAACACCUUUUCAUGGAGUGUAAAUAUGCCCAGAAGGUUUGGUCUCUAUGCUUUCAGUGGGUAGAUAUUUCAUUCGUACAGCAACAUGAUCUGAAGCUGCAUUUUUCACCUGUUUCAAGUUAGUAAUAAGCAGAAUAGGAUCUGGAAAGGGGUAUGGAUAAAUGUCAUUAGAUGUUUAUGGGACCAGAGGAACAUGAUUGCAUUCCAACAAGGGGUAGUAGAUGCUGAGGAGGUUUUCCAGAGGGCUCAACUGAAGUCUUGGUUGUGGAUGAAGCAUAAAGUUCGCUCGUUUUCUUAUUCUUUUGUAGAUUGGGUUUUCAACCCAAAUAUUUGCAUCAGAAGCUGCUAAAAUCUUCUGGUGUACAUGCGUCAGUGAUGGUUACGAAGAAGAUGGUUGUUACUUCUGAAUUGGCAUCAUGUGAAGUAUUUGGUAGGAAGGAAUCUGUUUUAGUGAUGGUUUGGGCUCCUUAUGGAUUAGUUAGUUUUCUCCAGGCAGGGAAUUGGGUUGCUGGUUCUUGUCUCGGGGGUGGCCUAUGUUAAUGGUUUUUGCAGGAACCGGAAGCAGGUUGUUAAGGAGAGCAUAUAUAUGCUAAAAAGGGAGUACGUUGGUAGGGGAGUGACGUACCAGUACCAAAGGAGGGGUGGCUGUUUGAAGUGAUACCAUGGGUGCAGCCGAUUCUCCAAGGAUGGAAUUGAGUCACACAAUUCAGGGGGUCCGACUCAAUCUGGAAUAGGGUCGUGAUGUUUCUAUGCAGAGAAGGUAAGGUGGUACAUGGUGUUUCGUAAAUUCGUGGCUGAUUUGUUGUGGCUGGCAGGUUUGGGAGGUUAUUGGCUGGUUAAUACAUAGGUGAUGGAGACGGUGGGUGAAGGAAAAAGGCAUAUGUGCUUGUGAUUCACUUAUUCUAAAAGCCUCUAUAGCUGUUAAGCAAGCAAAGACCGACCUUGGAUGCACAGUUCUAGUGGUGUGGUGGUAUUGAAAGGAAAGUAGGAAGUAGAGACUGUUGGAGCGGGGUUGGUAGACGGAAGAGUGGAAUUCUACGCUGGUAUAGAGGGCUGGAUUGCAGGGUGCAGGGGGAGUUCUAGGAGAUGCUCUGCUAUAUCUUUUGGAAUGGUGUUGGGGUUGGGAAGCUGCUGGUUUAUUCUGCUGGUUUUUCCUGUAGUUUUCUGUCAUGUAGGUAAAUGUUUGUGAACUGGCUGGGGAUAUAGCUUUUGCAGGAUAUGUCACACUUGGGUUAUCCUUCCCGUUCGGAGGAGUAACUAUGUGGCUGUUGUAUACGGGUUGGGAUACCCCUUAAGUAUCCCUCGUAAUUUUAUUUAUUUAUUGCUGAUAAAAAAAAAAUACAGUUUAUGGUUGAAAGGGUGGUUUGAUGCAGGUACGUGGCUAGUUCAUUGUAGCAGUGAAGGUAUGAACAUUGAAGCAGGAUCAGAAAAAAUAAAUUGCGAUGAAGGACGGACUAAUUCCAUAACUCAAAGUUCUCAAAGAAGAUAAAUGACUUAUUUGUACUCACAUUAGAGUUUUCUUUAUGAAUUUAAGGAGAGAUUUUUCUUUGGUACAGGCUCCUUUUCUAAGUCAUUUGCUUCACUACAUAUCAGAUAGACAGUUGUGUUCUUAACCAUCAAAUCGUGACCAAAACUCACAAAAAUCUCCACCUUGUCUCCUGAUCCUAAAUUUGACAUUAUGUCAGGCCAAUCUUCAUUAUUGAAGGAAAUUACUGUGCCAUGGUUGUGUAUCUGACAUGUGCACUUCGUGUAAUUAACAAUUAAGACAGUAAUAAGUUCAGGUUCAAUGAUUUCGAAGGUUGAUAAAUAAACUACACACAAAGCCAUUCCCUUCACGACACGAUCUUGAGGCACAGUGAAAUAAACAGAAUGUCCAUCACCCAUAUGGGCCAACCAAUAAGGAAGAUUGUCACCUGGGAGAGAAACAUCACAUGACUCACUGCUUGCAAAUACCUGUAUCAUGUCAUAAAGAAGGACGUAUGUUUAGUUAAACAAAAAUGUUAUACAUGAUUAAAACAAAUCUGGUUAAUAGUUUUGUUGUGUAUAUAUAUAUAUAUAUCACCAUCACUUUUAGUAUGCAUUUCUGUUUUUGUAGUUUAUAUUUCAACAAUCAUUGGGAAUAAAGCAAUCAUGAAGCUAGUAAAGCAAGAAAGUGGAAAUCAAUUUGGUAGUACUUAUUAUAAGCAUAAGGACUUGGUUAGUUGAUUACUAAAAUCAGAUACUUUUAGAUGAAGUCGUGGUGCUAAAACUUCAGUAUUGUAGUUUCUACUAGAUACUUCAUUAGGAUUAUUUUAUGUUCUCAGAAAUAGUAGCUAAAAUGAUGGUGAAGGUAAUAAACAAAGGGAAAACUAGAGAAGAACCUUAGGUAUGCUAUCGCUUAGAGUAUUGAAGAAUUCUUUGUAUCUUCCAAUGCCAGUCAGAAAAGACUUGAGGUGAUUCUUUGAAAUAUCUGAUUCUGUAAUAUUUCCACCAUAUUCGACCACUAUACUUUUUACUUGUUCAGAUAGAUGAAACUCGACGUCACAUUCCACCAGAACACUUCGGAGAUUGGCAAGGCUUCUAAGAAAUGCUGCAAUUUCAUCCCAACUAUUAUCCUCCAUAUCCAUGAAGAGAUGAAUAUAAGAUAGGGGAUUCAUUGUUGGCCACAUCCGAGACCGAAUGAUAGAAGGAAAAAGAUUAUGUGACAAUUCCUCACAUCCACGUAGGAAUAUAUAUCCAAUGCUUUUUGGGCUUACAAUUGUAAAAGGCAAUUGUUUAGUAACUGUAUUUUCAGCCAUUAUAGUUAUCAAGGAUUUCAAUCCCACUAUAUCUUUUUCCAUUAAGUCAAUCUUCGAACAACCAGAUAAAAUCAGAGUGUUUAAGGAUUUCAACUUAUAUAUCUUUCUGGGGAGAUUGCUUAGAUUUGUACAGUCCUGCAAAUUUAGCAAUGUAAGAUAGCAGAGACAUUCAAUAGAUUGGUGUACUUGGCACAAUCUUGGACAAUCUUUGAGAAUGAGCUGUUCAAGACUUGGGAGUCCGGAAAAAUCAGGGGUUUCUAUCAAAUACUUUGAGUGACUGAGAUCAAGGACUUUUAGCAGCGUCAAAACCUUUAAGAAGAUAGUUUUUGGUAAUAUAUUAGAGAAGAAAACGAGAAAACGAAAUAGUUAUAAGUGGAAACAAAUAAUAAUUUUAAAACAGAAUGGCACGUGAUAAAAACCUGAGGUUCUUUCCAAAGGAAUCGAAGAAGACUGUGUUUUACAUCAAUGGCUAUUGCAUCAUGCAGACAAAAGUGGUUAGGUAGGUAUUCUGUAGAAAACCCUCCCAAACUAAUCCAUCUCAGAUUCUUAAAAUGGUACUCAGAAUCUCCAGCGACUUCCAGCAGUCUUGAUGACUCUCUUACCUGUAAAGGAUAGCGUCCAAAGAAAUCUAUUCCGAUAGGCAAACUCUGAAUGACUUUUGUGCCCUUAGAUGAAAAGAGCUAACAAAAAGAAAUAUGUUGCACAUGAGAAAGUAACCACUUCCAAAAAAAAUUCCAAAACCAUUGAUAAAGGAUGUUCUUACCGUAUUCUCUGACAGUGAAUAUCUUGCAUCCUUAUCAAACCACAGUUUACUGUUCUUCUCAGGUUCUUCUCCUGAAAUUUGAUAAAUAAUUUCUCUUCCCAUUUCUCGUAGCAACGAAUGCAUUAUUAAUUUGUUGUUCUUAUUAAUUUGUAUGAGACUAUGCUUUAUGAGAACUCUUAUUCCACUAUCAGCGUCUAUUCCACAGCCAUUUAGAAUCUUCGUAACAUAGGUUCUGCUCUUACCAACAAAGGAACAACAUACAUCAAGAAAUAAAUCUUUUUCCAUUUGAUUGCGUAAACGGUCGAAACUUAUUUUCAAUUUCCUUUGAAGAUCGUGCUGGGGAAUAUUGUCUAAUCUUAACAAUACUGAAUUCCAUUCUUCUUUGGUCCUUUCAUAUAAAUAACUUCCAAUGACUUCAAGAGCUAGAGGUAGUCCUCCACAAUACCAAACUACACUUUCUGCAAGGAGAUGGUAUUCUUGUUUUGGUUUUUUUUCUCUAAAUGCGUGCCAACUAAGAAGCUCAAGGGACUCCUUGGCGUUCAUUGACUCUACAUGAAAAAUAGAAUCAGCUUUAUAUAUCCUCAGUAAGAUUUCAGAUCUUGUUGUAAUGAUUAUUACACUUCCUCCUCCUAACUUAUGACGGCAUUCCCAUAGUAAUUGUCUAUUAAGCUCAGGCACAUCGUCAAGUACAAUGAGCACUCUUUUUCCAGGAAGUCUUUCCCGAAUCAUAGUUCUUCCCAUCUCAAAGCUAUGUAUCUCUACCUUUGAUUUUAGGACAUCUGAAAGGAGUUGUUCUAGUAAACCAAGAUUCUCUCUUAUUCCGCUAACUUGUCCAAUCUCUUCAAUGAAACUUUUCUCCGUGAAUGUAUCAUGAAGUUGAUAGUAGAUUGCUUUAGCAAGGGUUGUUUUACCAGAUCCUUCCUUUCCAUAUAUCGCUAUCGUACAAACUUUUGUGGAUUUAUUUUUGAUAGUUCGAAUCAGAUCCUCUACGUGCGAUUGUAAUCCAACUGGAAAUUUAGUAGCAGACAAUACUGGAAAAUGAAGAACGGUCUUAACAAUUUUGUCCACUAGUUCAGCAUCACUCCUUCAAGGUCAAUAACAAUUAUACAAAGUUAUGUAUUACCAAAAUUGAAGUACAAGCUUAGUAAGUGAGUGAUUUACCUGUAAUUGCUCUCAUCACAUCCAAAGAAAUUUGCAGCUUUGGUGAGUGCGUGGCUCCACCUGGAUAUGGCAUGCUCCAGUUGUUCUGCUGAAAAUGUUUGGUGUGCAGUUGCUUUGAAGGCUUUUCCAAAAUCACCCUUCUGAAGACGUACAUCAGAUGGCUCAAUUUCGUAAUAAACAGGCAGAACAUGUCGGCAGUAAGAUUGGUGCCAUUUAAUGAUUUGUUGGAGCUGAUCAAGACACCAAGCAGAUUGAGAAUAGGUUUUGGUGAAAACAACAAUCGCUACCCGACAGAGAUUGAGAACAGGUUGUUGGAUGUGAUGUGGGUUGUCUGCACUGGGGUGGUGAAGGAAAGUGGUGAAGCAAACAGCAGAGAGGGCAGAAUCGAGAUGAGAAACAAAUUUCCUUUGGAUGUCUUCUCCAUUGAAGUUGAUGAGCACAUCAUACAUCCGUGGGAGUUUGGAUGAUGAAGACGCCAAUUCCAUGGAAGGAAUUGAUGAGGUCAACUGUUAGAAGAAGAGAAAGCAAUAAUGCAACACGGACAAAAGACACAGAACCAUUUAAAGUAGCCAAAGAUUAUUAUAUAUUUUUCAUAGUCGCGGAAGCGCGUUAAUCCCAGCACACGUUUAACUUUAGCCACUUCAAAAGUUAGACCAACACCCACUCUGAACCACCGAAAAAAUAAGUAUGAAGAUUUUUCUAAAUAUAUUUUAUUAUGUAGCAAAGACAUUGAAUAUUGAUAUAACAUAAACACGAAUACGGAAUAAUAGGUAUAAUUUUUAAAAGGUAAGAUAUUGAGACACAGAUCUAUAUAUUAUAUAAUUAUAAAAAUUAUAUAAAUUGACAAUAAAGAUUAAAUUGAUAAAUAUAUUUCAAUUUUUCUUUUUAGCAGAAAGAUGUUUUUCAUGACUAGUUCAAACAAAUUUGUUUUUUAUUUUUAUAAUUAUUAUAAAAAUUUAUACAAUAAGCUUGAGUUUUUAGAAACUUUCAUAAUCUUGAACUGAUUACAAACAGCAACUAUAGCACGGGUACAAACAAAUGUCACUAUCAUAUCUUAUCACCCACAUCAUCAUUGAAGACACAAACAGGAAGGAGUGUGUUGUUGCAAAGGCCAAAACUUUGUCUGCAAAUAUAGUAGAAGACAAACCAACUCCAAAAAGGUGCUAGAAAAAAUCUGAUCACAAAAAGAAAUAUAAUAAUAAAUUCGUAACAAUGGAGCUAACCCCACCUUUAAGAAAAAUGGAAAUUGCUUUGUCUGUGGAAAGUCAGGUCAUCAUGCACCUUAGUGCAAACAUGGAGCCAAAAACGACUAUCCUUCCAAGACAAAUCUAGCCGGAGGGGAAGAUACCAUUGUUGCAGUCAUUUCACAAGUAAAUCUUGUGACCAAUGUGAGCAAAUGGGUGGGUCUACCAAACACAUCUAUGGAAACAGAAAUGUGUUUAACUCCUACACAAGUGUGGGGAUGGAGAAGGAGAAGUUUAUCUUGGUGAUUCCAGGACAAUUGUUGUCCUAGAAAAGGAAAGGUUUUUCUAAAGCACACAUCUAGUAAAACUCUGGCUUUGAGUCAUGUGCUACAUGUGUCAUCGAUUAAAGUUAAUUUGAUCUUUGUAACAUUGCUAAGCAAAGUUGAGGUUAAAGUGUCAUUUGAAUCUGACAAGAUUAUCAUAACAAAAAAUAAUAUUUUUAUGGAGAAGGGAUAUUGUGAUCAAUGUCUUUUUGUAUUGAAAUCAAAUUACACUAAAAUUGUAUCGGUAUGACACAGUUUUGGUGUGAUCUGAUUUUAACGACGACACGACUUUAUUUAGAAUAAUUAAAAAAAAGACCUGAUUAACAUUAAUCAAAUCGUAUAUACUUAAAACAACUUCAAUAUCACAAAACUAAAGUGAUAUCAUAGAUACACAACUUCUUUACAAUAAAAUGAUGUGAUAGUACGAGAAAUUAAUUAUAUGGGUAAUAUUUUUAAAAUGUGUAAAUUUAUGUAAAUCUUUGACAAAAUUGCACCAUUUUAGAAAAGAAAAAUCUUCUCACCAACUAUUUUUUCAAUCUGCAUGGUUACCGUGCACUACAAGAAAUAAGGUAAAAAGUGUGGGCUUCAGAGAGACACAAAUAGUAAAAAACCUACGCAAAAUCAUUGUUAGUGUAGGCCUAGCGUCUCCCAAAAAAUGGAAGUUAAUACCCUGGAUGCUAACUUUUUUCUGUGGGUCUCAGCUGACGCAAUCUGAGUACACCUACACAAUGUGCACGCAAGUAGACAUUUUGGCCGCCACAAAGUUAGAACUAUUAUUUUAUAAUUUUAAGCUAGUGUAGGUUUAGCCUCCGCUUCUUGGAUGCUAAAUUAAAAUCAUGAAUGAGUUUGACCGACACUAUUAAGAAAUAAUUUAAAAUGUUAGUGUGGGUUAGGCCCACACAAAAUGUGAAAUAAAAGAAAAUGUUAGUGUGAGUUAGACCCACGCAAAUUGUGAAAUAAAAAAAAAAGAUAUUCAAGCUAGGACAUUUUUGAAUAUUUAUACAUAUGAAUGUAUUAUUGCAAGAGUGAGUUAGAAUUAUUGCAAGAUUGUUACACCAAUUACAAAAGGAGAAAAGAAAACUAUUAUCCAACAUUAUAUAGCAUUUAUAGAAUGAAAGAAAAGAGCAUGAACAAUAAAUAUUCUUCUUUUUACUUUACAUAUACCUAGCACCAUGUAUCCAACAUUAUUUAAUAAAAAGAAUGGGGAAGCCACAACAUGAAAAUUAAAGUUUGAUCACCAAUUGUUAAACCCAACAACUAAUUUAUCUCAAAAACACCAUAAUUCAGAUUAAAAUCAACAUAGCAAUUCUUCAAAUAAUCAACUCAUAAUUUACUUUAAAAAUUGUCACAAACAAUUUUUAGUUCAUAAACUGAAUCAUCAUGAAAUAAUCAAAAUAUAUGCUCUGAAAUUGUCAAGAAAACCAAACUUAUACAUUCUACACCGUCUACUAUAUCUAAGCUUUUCAUUUCAAUCUCAAACAAUUUCCCGACCAGCAACUUGUUGGGAGUAAGGGAGCGUAGCCUCUGUCAAAGGCAGGCAAGGAGGUUCUGAUCAAAGCUGUGGUACAGGCUAUCCCUACAUUAUGAGUUGUUUUAAGAUUCCUCAAACAAUAUGUGAGCAGAUAGAGUCAUUGAUUAGCAAGUUUGGAGGUCUCGGCUUCAGGAAGUUCUCUUGUUUCAUUUCAAUCAGGCUCUCCUGGCAAAGCAGGACCGGAGAUUAGUUCAUAAUCCUGAGUCAAAGAGAAUACCUCUGCUGUUAGCUAAGGCUAGUCACCUCAAGUCUUUGUAUGGACAAUAGAUAUUGUUGUAUAGGUACUUUCUCUGGGUUCUUCCCGGGGGGGUCUAACCAUCUUACUAGAAAAAAAAAGUAGUUCCUUUAUCUUUUUUCUACUUGUUAAGGCCUAUCCUUUGACUUAUUUCUGUUUCGAAAUGAAUUAAUGUAGGUCGGAGAUAAGAGCGUUGUGUUUAAGUCGUCAUCCCCACAUCCAGAUCUUCUAGACUAGGGUUCUAUUGGCAAUUUAGAACUAGCUUCCCUUACCUGAACUUUAGCUGAUGAUCACUAGGAUCUCCAAAUCUACCAAAAGCCUAAAGGUAAUUUAACCUGCACCACAGAAUCCUGAUAAAAGUAUAACUAUAUAACUAGGACCCUUUGUUAACAAAAUUAACCUUGAAGCUAAAAGAAUCAUAUGCAAAGCAUAAAUCUAAUAAGAUCAAAAUUAACUCAAAAGAAAAAGGGGCCAAGAAUGAACUUACUCUAUCUGAUAUUUUGAUCAAGCAAUCUUAUAGGGUUCACUGUCAGCAUUCCAAUGGCAGACUCCGAUCGCCAAACUGAUAAGUGAGGAGGUCAGAAUCUUAGAGAGAAGGGAGAGAAAAGGAAAAAGAGGAACAAAAUUGAACUUACUCUAUAAGAGAUUUUGAUCGGGCAGUCUUGUAAUCUUCGCUGCCAGGAGUCCAAUGGCAGACUCCAAUCGCAAAACUGAUAAGUGAGGAGAUCAGAAUCUUAGAAAAAGGGAGAGAAAGGAAAAGGGAAAUUUUAGAGAGAUGGUGGUUCUUUUAAAAUGAGACCUGAAUAACUGAAUUCUCUAUUUAUAUGUCAUUUUCAUUUUAAUAAUAAAAUAUUCAGGUAUCAUUUAAAAUAUACCACUUUUACUCUAAGGUUAGUUUUUAGAUCCCUACAGAAAGUCAGUUUACAAUUAAGACAUUCAAUGACACGUUGAGCAGAAACAAGAUUAUAGUAAAUUCAAGAAUGUAUAAGACAUCAUACAGAAAAAAAAAGAUAAGAUAUUUGUACGGUUCCUGCAUGUUCAGCUAUAACACGUGAAUUGUUUGGUAAUUUAACAAUUAUAGGUUUUAUCCUGUAAAAAAAAUUUAAACAAAGUAUUCGCAGUGAGUAACGUGAUUUGUUGCUCCGGUAUCUAAAAUCCAAUAAUUUUUUACAUACUUACCUUUCUCAGUUUUCCAAAAGAUAACUCACCAGUGAAGUUGUUCACCUUAUGAAUAGACUCAUUUUUUUAUUCUUGGAAAAUCUUCAAGAUUUGUUGGAUCUGUUCUUGUGUAAACUGUGCACUCUCUUGACUAAGGGAAUGGUUAGACCUUCUUGGUCAAUAUCUUCAGUCUUGUUAGUAGCAGCGUAAUUUUGUGAAAAAAUGUUGUUGAUGGCUCUAUCAUUCUUGCGUUUAUACCAUGGAGGGAAUCCAUGUUUUAAAAAACAUUCAUCAGCAGUGUGGUUUAGUUUGUGACAAUAACUACCAUAAUUCUGAUUCCGACUUCUUCCUCUCCCUUGUGAUUUCCACCUGGUUUCAAUGACUUUAUCUUUUUUUCAAUUAUUUGGGUUUGUAGAAUUUAUCAGAAUUUUGCUGUCAAAAACUACACUUCUCAUUAAUUGUCUUUCUUGUUGUAGAACAAGUGAGAACACACAAUUGAUGCUUGGUAAGGGGUCAUGAGUUAUGUGAUAGGACAAUGGAAGACUGGGAAGAUAUAUCGUCAAAACUAAAAAAUAUUCCCAUUGAUCAAGUUCAAGAGAAAUUAAAAUAAGUUUUCACGGUUUACAUGACAUGGAAAAGAAUAUUGUGAAGAUUGAUUCAGAUAAAAUCUAAGUUGAAGUUAUGUUAGAUUUUCUGGUGAUUUUUUAUUGUUUGAUAGGUAUUAUCGUUUGAUGAGUAUCACGGUAUCGUUUAAAGAAUUAUUGUUUUGAAUCACCUGUUAUGAUUAUAUGAGAAACAUAUUUAUGAAAAGUUGUGAAACAGUUUUUUUUUUUUUUUGUGAAACAGUUUUUCAUGGACAAGUUGAGACUUUUCAUAUGUUUUGACCUAGAAUUAAUAAAGCUUGAUGGAAUUCAAUUUUCUUCUGGAUUAUUUUCCUUCUAAUGUUAACACCUUAUUGUCUUUAGAUUUAAUAAAUCCCAUUACAAAAAUUAAUUGAUUCCUCUUAUUUUACGCAUGAAAGAAAAGUAAGUUAAAUCUACUUUAUAAUCAUGUAUUUAUUUAAAAUUAUUUAAGCUCUUUUCUAUCUAUGCAAUAAUCAAGUCCAUAGAUACAACUAAUUAGUCUUAUUUGCAUGAGAUUAGUGUAAAAAUGCCUUCAAGUGCUAAAAGUGUAAAUGAGUGAUUUUCUUUGAAAACUAUUCAUUGUUGUGAAGUAAUAUUUCUAAAGUAAUGAGCAUAUAAUUUUAUAUUUACUUGUUUAAGAGUGAACUUUACUAUCAAAUAAAGUUAUAAAUGUUAUGUACCUAGAUAAUUACUUGUGAUUUUAUCUACUACUUGUUGUAAGUCAAAAAGUGACAACAUUAUAACCUUUUUUUUUUAAAUCACUUUGAAAAACUAUAGAUAAAUCAAGUUGGGUAACCAAUAUAAAAAUUAUAUUAUUAUUAAAUAUUUUAUUACAUGUACAGUACUUGUUGGUUAUUUCUUUUCAGAAUACUUGUGAACAUAUUUUAUAAAAUCAUCAAAUGAUUUCCUCUCUAGGUCUGCUUAGCCAUUUGCAAAAAUACUUUCCACAUGUCUUUAUUAACUCUAUUAAAAUAUCUUCAUUAUCCACUAUGUGUUUCAUUUUGUGUCAGAUUUUUUUAUUUGAUUGCAUUAGUGUAUCUUCCUUUUCCUUUGUAAGUGUUCAAUCUUAUGUCCCUAACCAGGUGCUCUACACAUUCAUUUUGUUAUUAAAAUUGAAUGAAUAAUUAAUUUUUUUUAUCAAUGCAUUUUUUUUAUCAGCAAUAAAAAAUAAAUAAAUUGGGACCACUUUACGGGUGAUCCAACCCUUUUACAAGAACACAUAGAAUCUAACUCCUAACUUGGCACCCAAAAUCGUCGGACAAAGGACCAACCAAACCAAGCGCUAACUAGCUUUACCGAAUCGGUCGUAUACAUGCCAAAGGAUCCAUAACCCAACAGGGGUAGGAAAAGUAAACUUCGCGGGACUUUGCAGGAAUCCAAGACCAUACCUUUACUUGCGCAGAGACAAAAACUUCUAACACAUCUAUCACUCCUCCAUUAAAGACGAUCGAGUUCCUAUGCUUCCAAAUUUCAUUCACAAUUCCAACCCAAAUUGCCCCCAAAAUGCAUGAAUACCUUCAUAGUUGAUUAUAAAAAGAAAUAGACUUUUAAUUUUUUUUUUUAAAUUUUAAAAUUGCUUAAAAUUAUAUGAACUAAAUCAUUUUAAUUCGUAAGACUAAAUAUGUUAAAUUAUUUAAAAUUAUAAUUUAGUCUCUAAGAAUAAAUAUCUAAAAUUGUUUAAAAUUAUAGGUACUAUAUUAUUUCAGUCUUUAAAAGUUAAAUUUAAUUUUUUAAAUUAUAGAAACUUAAUUGUCAGUAAAAAGUACACAUUUGUAAUUUUCUAACUAUUAGCGGUAUUUGUCUACAUGGUUAUUUUUUUGAAUUUUUUAAAGAUUAUAUUUGGACAUAUCAAAUGAAUAUCAAUUUAUAAGAAUUAAUUUUAAAACAAUUUAUAACAAAUUAAAAUAAUUUGUAAGAUCUAUAUUUGAAAAAAUAUAGUUGAAAAUUAAAAAAUUAAAAUAAUUAGGUGACUUUACAUAACUGAAAACUAUAAUGAAACUUGUAAAUGUAAAUUGAAAAAAAAAAUGAAAUAUUUUUAAAUUAGACAUAAAAAAAUAUAAUCAGUGUAAAUAAGGAGAAAUGAAAUCAAACUUUGUUUAAUUUAGUCUUUACAUAAAGGGAUGAGGCUACAGUGCUUCUUCUGUUGAAACGAAAACAGAGAGUACAUAGCAUAUAGCAGACGAAACACAUAACAAAUUAUCGAACCGCAGCUAUCUUUAUUUCAUAAUGCAAUAUUUUUUACGAGGAUUUCUGAAUGCAAUAUUAUAUGCUAAAAAGGGAAAAGAAUUGACAAAAGUAACAACGACAAAGCAAAUACAAUAAACAGUUCAAGUAAACAAUGUGAGGAGUGAGAAACAGGGUAAAAUAAAUAUGAAUCUCGUAACUAUGAGCUAUACAAAGAAAAACAAGGAAAGGAUCAGAAAAAAUAAAUUGCAACGAAGGAGAUAAAUGACUUACUAGAACUCACAUUAGAGUUUUCUUUAUGAAUUUAAGGAGAGAGUUUUUCUUUGGCACAGGCUCCUUUUCUAGUCAUUUGAUUCACAACAUAUCAGAUAGACAGCUGUGUUCUUAAUCACCAAAUCGUGACCAAAAUUCACAAAAAUCUCCACCUUGUCACCUGAUCCUAAACUUGACAAUAUGUCAUGCCAAUCUUCAUCAUUAAAGGAAAUUCCUGUGCCAUGAUUGUGUAUUUGGCAUGUGCACUUCGUGUAAUUAACAAUUAAGACAGUAGUAAGUUCAGGUUCAAUGAUUUCGGAGGUUGAUAAAUAAACAACACACAAAGCCAUUCCCUUCACCACACGAUGUUGUGGCACAGUGAAAGAAACAUAAUGUCCAUUACCCAUAUGGGCCAACCAAUAAGGAUCAUUGUCACCUGGGAGAGUAACAUCACAUGACUCACUGCUUGCAAAUACCUGUAUCAUGUGAUGAACAAGGGCAUGUUUAGCUAAACAAAAAUAUUAUACAUGAUUAAAGCAAAUCUGGUUAAUAGUUUUGUUGUAUAUACAUCCCGAUCUUUUCUUUAGUGAUUUAGUCUGUUUUUAUCUCUUAGUUUAUAUUUCUACGUACGAUCAAUGGGAAUCAAGCAAUCAUGAAGCUAGUAAACCAAGAAAGUGAAAUCUAUUUGGUAGUAUAAGCAUAAUGACUUGUUAGUUGAUUACUAAAACCAGAUACUUUUAGAUGAAAUCGUGGUGUUAAAAGUUCAGUAUUGUAGUUUCUUCAAGAUACUUAAUUAUGAUUAUUUUAAGUUCUCUCAAAUAAUAGCUAAAAUGAUGGUGAAGGUAAUAAACAAAGGGAAAGCGAGAGAAGAACCUUAGGUAUGAUAUCGCUCACAGUAUUGAAGAAUUCUUUGUAUCUUCCAACACCAGUCAGAGAAUACCUUACGUGAUGCUUUGAAAGAACUGAUUCUCUAACAUUUGCACCAUAUUCGGCCACUAUGGUUUUUACUUGCUCAGAUAGUUGAAACUCGGCAUCACAUUGCACCGAAACACUUCGAAGAUUUGUGAGGCUGCUAAGCAAUGGUGAUAUAUCAUCCCAAUUAUUAUCUUCCAUAUGCAUAAAGGAAUGAAUAUAAGAUAGGGGAUUCAUUGUUGGCGACAUCCGAGACCGAAUGAUAGAAGGAAAAAGAUUAUGUGAAAAUCCCUCAAAUCCACGUAGGGAUAUAUAUCCAAUGCUUUUUGGGCUUACAAUUGUAAAAGGCAAUUGUUUCAUAACUGUAUUUUUAGCAAUUAUAGUUAUGAAGGAUUUCAUUCGCACUAUAUCUUUUUCCAUUAGGUCCAUCUUCGAACAACCAGAUAGAAUCAGAGUUUUUAAGGAUUUCAACUUAUAUAUCUUUUUGGGAAGAUUGCUUAGAUUUGUACAGUCCUGCAAAUUUAGCAGUAUAAGAUUGCAGAGACAUCCAAUAGAAGGGUGUACUUGUCUCAAUCUUGGACAAUCUUUGAGAAUGAGCUGUUCAAGACUUCGUGUUCCAUAAAAGACAGGGGUUUCUAUUAAAUACUUGGAGUGACUAAGAUCAAGGACUUUUAGCCACAUCAAAACCUUUAAGAACAUAGUUUUUGGUAAUAUAUUAGAGAAGAAAACGAAAAAACUAAAUAGUUAUAAGAAGAAACAAAUAAUAAUUUUAAAAGAGAAUGGCACGUGAUAAAAACCUGGGGUUCUUUCCAAAGGAAUCGAAGAAGACUGUGUUUUACAUCAAUGGCUAUUGCAUCGUGCAGAUAAAAGUGGUUAGUUAGGUAUUCUGAAGAAAACCCUCGAAAACUGAUCCAUCUCAGUUUCUUAAAAUGGUACUCAGAAUCUCCAGCGAGUUUCAGCAGUCUUGAUGGGUCUCUUACCCGUAAAGGAUGGUGUCUGACGAAAUCUCUUCCGAUAGGCAAUCUCUGAAUGACUUUUGUGCCCUUUGAGGAAAAGAGCUAAGAAAAAGAAAUAUAUUGCAAAUGAGAAAGCAACCACUUUCAAAAGAAGAUUCAAAAGCAUAGAUAAAGGAUGUUCUUACCGUAUUCUCUGACAGUGCAUAUUCUGCAUCAUUAUCAAACCACCACAGUUGACUGUUCUUCCAGGGUUGAUUUGUUGAAAUAUGACGAAUAAUUUCUCUUCCCAUUUCUCGUAGCAACGGAUGCAUUAUUAAUUUGUUGUUCUUAUUAAUUUGUAUGAGACUAUGCUUUAUGAGAACUCUUAUUCCACUAUCAGCGUCUAUUCCACAGCCAUUUAGGAUCUUCGUGACAUAGGUUCUGCUCUUACCAACAAAGGAACAACAUACAUCAAGAAAUAAAUCUUUUUGCAUUUGAUUGCUUAAACCGUUGAAACUUAUUCUCAAUUUCGAUUCAACAUCGUGCUGGGGAAUACUGUCUAAUAGUAACAGUACUGAAUUCCAUUCAUCUUUGGUCCUUUCAUAUAAAUAACUUCCAAUGACUUCAAGAGCUAAAGGUAUUCCUCCACAAUAAGAAACUACUCUUUCUGCAAGGAAAUGGUAUUCUUGUUUUGGUUUUGCUUCUCUAAAUGCGUGCCAACUAAGAAGCUCAAGGGACUCGUUUGCGUUCAUUAACUUUACAUGAAUAACAGAAUCAGCUUUAUAUAUCCUCAGUAUGUUUUCAGGUCUUGUUGUAAUGAUUAUUACACUUCCUCCUCCGAACCAAUGAAAGCAUUCCCGUAGUAAUUGUCCAUUAAACGUAGGUAUAUCGUCAAGUACAAUGAGCACCCUUUUACCAGAAAGUCUUUCCCGAAUCAUACUUCUUCCCAUCUCAAAGCUAUCUAUCUCUACCUUCGUGUUUAGGACAUCUGAAAGGAGUUGUUCUAGUAAACGAAGAUCCCCUCUUAUUCCGCUAAAUUGCCCAAUACCUUCAAUGAAACUUUUCUCUACGAAUGUACCAUGAAUUUGAUGGUAGAUGGCUUUGGCAAGGGUGGUUUUGCCAGAUCCUCCCUCUGCACAUAUUGAUAUCAUACAAACUUCCGUGGAUUCAUAUUUGAUAGUUAGAAUCGCAUCCUCCAUGUGUAAUUGUAAUCCAACUGGAAAUUUAGUAGCAGACAAGACUGGUAAAUAAAGAACUGUCUUAACAAUUUUGUCCACUAGUUCAGCAUCACUCCUUCAAGGUCAAUAACAAUUAUAGAACAAGUCACGUAUUACCAAAAUUAAAUCACAAACUUAAAAUAUGCGUGAGUGAUUUACCUGUAAUUGCUCUCAUCCCAUCCAAAUAAAUUUGCAGCUUUGGUGAGUGCAUGGCUCCAUCUGGACAUGCCAUGCCUCAGUUGUUGUGGUGAGAAUGUUUGGUGUGCAGUUGCUUUGAAGGCUUUUCCAAAACCACCCAUCUGAAGACGUACAUCAGAUGGCUGGAUUUCGUAAUAAACGGGCAGAACAUGUCGGCAAUAAGUUUGGUGCCAUUUGAUGAUUUGUUGAAGCUGAUUAAGACACCAAGCAGACUGAGAAUAGGAUUUGGUGAAAACAACAAUUGCUACACGACAGAGAUUGAGAAUAGGUUGUUGGAAGUGAAUUGGGUUGUCUGCAUUGGGGUGGUGAAGGAAAGUGGUGAAGCCAACAGCAGAGAGGGCAGAAUCGAGAUGAGAAACAAAUUUCCUUUGGAUGUCUUCUCCAUUAAAGUUGAUGAGCACAUCGUACAUCUGUGGGAUUUUGGAUGAUGAAGAGGCCAAUUCCAUGGAAGGUCAACGGUUAGAAGAAGAGAAAGCAAAAAUGCAACACAGUCAAGACAGAAAACCAUUCAAAGAAGCCAAAGAUUAAUACAUUUCUUUUUUAUAGUCGUGGAAGCUCAUGAAUUGCAGCACCCAUUUUACUUUAGAAAAGUAAUAUAUUUACAACUUGUUCUAUUAUACAACCUUCAUUUAAAAAAUAUAUAUAUUUUUUCAUUAUUUUAUAAAAAACUAAAAUUUUAGACAAAAAAAAAUAAGAUUUAUACUAGAACAAAUGAGACUCUCAAUAUAUUAAUAUUAGCCAAUUUCUUCAUGCACCCAAUCAAUUGUGAUUAGCACCCAACGAACAUUUUAAAAUCCAAUUGUAUCCUUGUCAUGUUUAUUUUGAAAAAAGCUUGUAGGGUGCGCUGAUGCAGAUGAUGCUCUUAAACCUUCACGCAACAAUGGACGACCUUCACGCUCCUGACUUCGUCUUUGUUCAAGGGGUCUUCCACUCAACACUACGCUGCCGGAGAAAUGCCUACCAAGGUACGAGGAUGCGAAAGCUCGUGCGAGAGAUGUUGUUGGGUGCGAUAAUGGAAGAAAUGAACUUGGGUGUGUGAUUGAGUGGAGAAAUCACUAAACCCUAAUUUCAUUUUCAUUAAAGAUAAUUCGAUACUUUCACAAAUACAAUUGGGUGCAAGUUCAAAUUGAUUGAGUGUAGGGAGAAUCAGCCUCAAUAUUAUUUACUUUAGCCAUUUAAGAAGUUAGACCAACACCCACUGUGAACCAAAAAACGUAUUACACUAGUUUUUCUAAUUAUAUUCUUUUUUUUUCUAAAUUUACCUAUUAACUUUACUUUUUUAUUUUAGAAAGCAUUAUGUUCUCUCUCUUUUAACGUUCGGCACGUAUCACUUUAAAUUUUAAAAGAAUAAAAAAUAAUACAUUUUCUUUCCACGUAUAUUUAAAGAGGCCGCUGUAAUAAUGUAAAAAAAUAGAAAGUAUAAAUACAAUUUAGAUAAACGUCCCUACACCUGAAUUUAUUUUUUAAAUAAAUAAAAUAAAAGAAUUGAACGUGAGUUUACUAAAAUUUAGGAAGUUUAUUAUCAAUUACUAAAAAUACAAAUGAGGUGAGUGUAAUUGAUUUUCUUUUUAAUAGUUUUGACAGAAUAUCGUAAGUUAUUUUAAUGUUUAAAAAACUUAAUUGAAUAUCAUAAAUUUUUUAAUAAAGAAAGUUAUUUGAAAUUUUUUUGAAAUCCAAAGUGAAUUAAUUGCAGCCCUUAAAGUGUCUUUCUAAAAACUGAACGUGAAGGUCGCAGAAAAAUGAAGUAUAAAACAUAUAUGAAAUUUAAUAUAGUGAUUGAGAUAUUUCCGGAACUAACCUGGUUUCUUUUGCCAGUUGGAAUUGUGUUUUUAAACACUAGAGUAUAGUAUCUUCUCAGAUUUAUUUUAGCCAAAGAGGUGUAAUUCUUCAGAAUAAAAUAUUAAAAUAGAAAAAAUAUUAAAAAAUUAUCCAUGAGUAUGUUGUUUCAUACACAAUUACAUUGUAAAUAAGUUAUAUAUAUACUACAAAUUUGAAUAUGUAAUAAAAGUGAAGUUUUACCAAUUUGAUAUAACUUUAGUGUUAGAGAAGAAAUAUUUUUCACUCACACAACAACUUCAAUUGAUAUUAAUUAACUUUUAAUUUUAAAUGAAAUUAUGUUAGUAUGAUAUAACUUCGGUUCAAAUCAGAUUACAUUAAAUUCAUAACACGGAUGUAAUCUGAUUUUGACUAAGACGGUAAAAAAUAACACGAUUUUAUUUGGAAUAAAAAAAAGAGUACAUAUACUUAAAACAACUUUACCUAUUACAUUGAAAUUGUUUUUUUUUCUUCAGUAAAUAAUAAUGAAAUUAAAUGGGUUCACUUUAGGGGUAGUUCAACCCUUAUCCAGCAUAAUGAUGUUCAAAGAGUACCUUUCCAUCUACAUAUCAACAAACAACACCUCCUACUGUCUAUCCCGUCUCUACCAAUAAAAAAAAGAAUAACAAGGAUCAACCCUUAUAAAAAUACUAAAUUGAAUGCAUACAUACCAAGGGUUCUAGACACCAAUGAGAGAAUGAGAAAUUAGUUGACGACAUCUUUGAUGAGAUCAAGACCAAACCUUAACCUGUGCUAGAGAGAAAACUUCAGUAUGAUCAACCACUCCACCUUUAAAUAAACAGUUAUUCAUGUGCCUCCAUAUCUCGCUAACCAACGCAAUCCACACGUUGUUCAUAAUAAGAUUAACUGAAGUGGGUGCAUCCAGAAUCUUGAAAUGUUCAAAAUGAGACUCAGGAUCCAUAAAAUCGACUGAUCUUACUCCUAAACAGUCAUAACAAAGAUUCCAAAUUAGCCAAGCAACUCUGCAUUCGCAGAACAAAUGAUUUGUUGACUCCUCUGACCUUUUACAUAACCAACACAGAUUACUCUCAACCUUGAUACCUCUUAUCUCCAGAUUAACGCUACAAACAACAUUGUUUUCAAUCACUCUCCAAGUUGUGACUGGAGCUGAGGGAAGUACCUUAAUUUUCUAGAAAAAUUUAUAUCUUCUUCAGUCCUCCUCACUUCCUUCUUCCCUUAAAAAACCAUAAGCGUUCUUAACUGAAAACUAUGUUGACUCAUUAUCCUUCCAUACCCAUUAUCCAUUGUUUCCAUCUUGAGUCGCUUAUAGAGAUCAUCUCUAAGAGUUGAUUUUCUUGCUCCUAUUCCCAAGCAAACAGACCCCUUUUCCACCUUAAGUUCCACUCCUAGGUCCCAUUCUCAUAUUCCACAAUCACAUAAAUUUUCCUCCUUAUUAACAGACAAAGAAAAUAACCUUAGAAAUCUGCGUUUCAAGUCUUCUAAUCUAUCCAAUUGUCUGACCAAAACAUAACAUAUCUCUCGUUUCCAACCUCCAAAUUCAAACGAUCUUCAAACUUCCCUCCCCAUUCCUGAAACCUCUAGACCUUCCUUAAGACCUUACUAUUAUUAUCUUUUUUCUCCUUCAAACCUCUCCAUCCUCCAUACUUAGAUUCCAAUACCUCCAUCCAAAACCCCUUGUUUCCGUUUUCAGGUGCCAAAUCCAUUUUCCCAACAGAGCCAAAUUAAAUUGCCUGACAUUAAUAAUAUCGAGCCCUCCUGCUUCCCUGGAUUUACAAACCUUAUCACAUGCCACCCAUGCAAUCUUCCUUCCAUCUGACCUCCAUCCCCACAAAAAAUUUCUCUACAGACUCACAAUCUUCUUUAAAACAAUAAAUGAUAUCUUGAAUAGAGAAAGAUAGAACAAAGGUAUGGACGACAAAACUUACUUAAUUAAGCAUAUCCUCCCCGCCAUCAAGAUAAAUUUUCCUUUCCACCUUCCUAGCCUUUUCUUUACCCUGUUAAUCACUUCAUCCUAGAACUCACCCCUCUUAUGACACCCCCUACAGGCAUCCCCAAAUAUUUAAAAGGAAUUCUCAUCACCUUACAAUUUAGAAUUGUCGCAAAGUGGAGAAUCUCUAUCUGCUCCACCCCGAGAAAUUCACCUUAAGACUAGAUGGCAAUUCAAAACAGUUCAACAUAACCUUUAUAUUAAAUACGCUUUUGAUCUUUGGAGCUAACGGGUCACCUUGCUUCAACCCUUUCUUUGGAAUAAAUUCCUUAGUAGGAUUCCCGUUUACGAGAAUUGACAUCAACGUUGAUUCCAAGCAAGCUUUAAUCCAGGAAAUCCAUUUUUCACAAAAGCCAAUCCUUCCUAGCAUAUAAUAUAUAAAUCCCACCUCACAGAGUCGUAAGCCUUCUCAUAAUCCACCUUGAAAAACACACAAUUUUUCUUCUUCCUCUUAAACUCUUCUAAAGCUUUAUUGGCUACCAAAAUACUAUCCAAUAACCCUCUUCUUUCAAGAAAGGUUGAUUGCCUAACGUCGAUAACUUUACUGAUCACUUUUUUCAACCUGAUAGAAAAAAUCUUUGAAACUGUUUUAUACACACACCCUACCAACAAAUUCGGUCUAUAAUCAUUAAGUUGUUGCAUAUUAUCAUUCUUAGGAAUCAAACAAAUGAAAGAAGCAUUUGAUUCCUUAGGCCACCUACCAUUGACCAUAAAAUCAUUUACCGCCGAGACAAAAUCUUCCUUAAGACAACCCCAACAAAACUUAAUGAAACUGAAAUUAAAACCGUCAGGACCAGGGCCCUUCGAACCAUCACAACUACAAACAACGUUAUUAAUUUCUUCUUCAGAGACUACUCCAACUAGAGACACAUUAUCUUCUUUUGAUAACGAGGUGAAUCGAACAUUGUCCAACCUAACCACUGGCUCGGACUCCCUGGCGAAUCUAGCUUCGAAAAACUUUCUGACCUUAGUCAUUACCACCUCCUUCUCCUCACACCACUGAACGUUCACUUCUACCCCGUUGAUCCCGUUUCUCAUUCUUCUCCACUUCAUAGAUGAGUGGAACUUUUUUGUAUUUAAGUCGCCUUGUUUCAACCAACUUUUCCUUGCUUUUUGUUGCACAACCGUUUCUUGUUUAAAUAAGUUUCGACUUUGUUCAGUCAACAAUAGUAUCAUCUCCUCUCGCCCAAACUCAUCUAAAAUGCCUUCGUCGUCUUUUGUUUCCAACUCUUGAAUUUUAUUUUGUAAUAAAAUACCUUCUUGAUUGACGUUCCCAAAAACCUCUUUAAUCCACUUUUUCAAAUCUAAUUUUGAUCUCUUCAAUUUCUCUUUUAGUACAAACGUCCCUCCUCCCUACAUUUCAUAACUCUGCCAUUUACUCCAAAAAAAUUCUAAAAAUCUUCCAUCUCUUUGCCACACGUCUAGACUUCUGAAAGGUUUCGACCCUCAAUCUACCGACAUUGUUUUGAGCACUAUAGUACAAUGAUUAGAAACCAUUGUACUGAGAACUAAUUGUUUACUAUUCGGCCAUACAUCCAACCAUUCCCUAGAAAUAAGAAUCCUGUCAAUUUUGCUCUUAAUCGUCCCAAUUGGCUUGUACCAAGUGAAAUUUCUUCCAACCAUCGGAAUAUUCAACAAUUUUGCAUUUUCGAUAAAACCAUUGAACCCCUGAUUUCUGUACAAUAAUAUGAUACUGAAACUGGGCUUUUUCUCUCCUUCCUUCUAAUUGAAUUGAAGUACUCAACAACACACCACACCAUGUUUUGUUUACUCUUCCUGAGGUCACUAAUCUCAUCACAUACCUCUUUCCGUGCUUUCAACGAUCCAGAGUUGUACACAUUCAUUAUCAUAAGUUGUACCCUAUUUCCUACUUUCCAAACUCCUUCGAUAACCAAAUAAGAUUUUCCAUUAAAGUAUCUCAUCAUAUAAAAACUACUUCUUCUCCAUAUAGUAAUAAUUUCUCCUGCAUUAUUAACUGCCCCAUUCUCCAUCCAUUCAAUUUCAUUUGAGCCCCACAAAUAAUAGCAAUGCUCCUUACUAAUCACUAAGCACUUUGUCUCCUACAGACAUACCAUUCCAACCUCCUCUUUUCUAAUCAAGUCUCUUAAGUAUGUUCUUUUCGUACUUAUGCCAAUCUCCCUUAUAUUCAUGCUAAUUAGACUCAUCAUCAGAAACACAAUUCUCCAUCUGACUACAUUUGUAGUCCCGACUGUCCAAACUACCAAGUCUAUUUAAAACAACCUCUUCUUAUUUUAACAAAGUGAAACCCAUCUCCUUACCAGAUUUCCAUGCCCUCCUGAUUUCGCCCUGCUCAUCUUUUAACCGCAGCAUUUUCCUAUACUUUCUAACAUCUCUAACUGAGAUAGUAAUUUCUGACCUUAAACCCUUUAACGAAACUGACUUAGAUAAUCUUUCAACCAAUGGUGAAUUUUUGUCUCUCAAAACGAACAUAUCGCCUCCCCCUCCACCAAUAUUGUCCAUCAACCUCCCCACCGGACAACUUGCAGAAAUUGUCUCCAUCCUACAUGCCUUAUUCUUUGGUGUCGAUACCACCACUGCUCUAUCGUCGACAUCUGCGACCUUUACACUCCGUACUAACCCCACCGAGCUCAUCUUUUUCGUGGCGUUUGCUGUCUCAUCAUCUGUCUCGCACACAACAGUUCCUUUGCUUCCAUAGUCAAUCCUCCUCACCUCACCUUUUUCCUCCUAAAUCUGCCCUGCCCCUCCCACCUAACAGCCACCAUUCGCCUCUCCCUUUCGUGUCGUCGCCCCACCUCGAACACUCGCUAGCACCAUCCGCUGCGACGCACAAUCGUGGUGCAGAUGCGUGAGAACUGGCUCCGGCGUACGCUUUGAUUGUUGUCGCCUACGAUUUUGGCACAACCCUUGCUUCCUCAUCGCCACCCAUCAUCGUUUUUUCCUCGGCCAGCGCUCCAAUCGUCAUGAGUCAUGUCCCCGCGCCGUUCCCCUUUGACAGUGGUAGAGGUGAGACGUCGUCGACUUUCUCCACUGCGUCGAGCGUCGCCGUCCACGUCGCCACCCUUUUUUCUCCUCCUGCCUCUCCACCGUGCCCUCCACUAACGUUGCGGGUUUCGCCGCCGCUAUUAAUAUCCACUAAGAUUUUAUUCCGUGCCUCAUCUUUUUCCAAGUUAAUAAUCCCCUCUUUCCUUGGUUCCAACAUACCAUUGUGACUCUUCCUGACAUAAACAAUUCCUCCAUUAAUGCAUGUGCCGCCUUUUGAAAUUUCUUCCUUUUUUUUCAGAAAUUGAACAGUCGUCUCCUCCCUUUUCCCUCUCCUUGUCUACCAUCGUGAUCUAAGUACUCGGACUCUGAAAAUUCUUCACCAAUGCUAGAGUCAAGUUGUGCUUCCGAUUCAUCCUCUGAAGCCACCCCCCACUUGUGAAACAGAUUUCCAAACGAAGGAACAUGGAAAUUUUCUUCCUCAGAAAAAACCUAACAUAGCCUAUCACUUAUCCUCAUUGAUUUCGCCAGUCUUACCUCCUCGCCCAAUGGGAUUCUAAUACACAACCUCGCAUACUCUAACACCUCCUUAGAAAUUAUUCCUUCAUCAACCUCUACAAGCGUUCCUACAAGAACCCCUAUGCAUUCAAAACAUUGGUUAAUCCAAAGAGCCAACGAUAUACCCCUGCAUCGGAACCAAGCUAUCUUCUCAAAAAUCGCAAAAGAGUCAUCCCAUGGAACAAUUGAUUCAAAAUUACCUUCAAACCAUUCUUUGUUGUCUGCAAUCAACCUCUUAAUUUGUCCCUCUUCUUCACAUGAUAGCAGCACGUACACCCCCCUUAAGAUUCUCCCCCUUACUAAAUUAAAUCCUCCCAAAAUAAACUCUCCUUAAUAUUUUGCACAUCCGUUGUUUUUGACAUUUUCCCGAUGAAGCAUCUCUCCAACCAAAAAGACGUCUCUGCAUUAACUCUAACAUGUGGCCAAAAUUCAUCUUCUCCCUUAUGAUCGGAUCUCGCUUUUCCACCCCUGACUGCUUGUGCAUAUAUAAGAGCACUGUUGAUUCUUUUGGUUCCAAACUUUCCAAUAAUAAAUUUGUCUCAGCGAAGUGUGCAUUGACUUCUCUUGCCUUUUGUAUUUCGGUUUGUAUUCCUGAAGCUUCCAUGUACCAAUCCAAAAAGAAUCAAGUUGUUUUUCUAAAGCAUACCCAUCCUUAACGUCAUGAAAUCUGACAAAAACCAAAGCGUUUUUUCCCUAACUUUCUAGAUAUGAAGACAUCUAUAACCCUUCCCCAACGUUUAAAAACCCUCCAUAAAUCCUUUUCUUGAAAUUCAUUUGGAAAAUUAGUGAAAAAGAAAGUAGCUUCUGCCGUCUUCAAUUGCCAAAACACUAGUACAAAAAAGUAAAUUAACGACGGUUAAAAUUGACAUUUAAAGACGAUUCCGGAAUCGUCGUUAUUACCGGCGUCGUUAAAAGGUAUGGUUUUUUAACGACGGUUCCCAUAACCGUCGUUAAAACGCGCGACUUAUAACGACGGUUCCCACAACCGUCGUUAAAAAUGGGGUUGCGUUUUUUGAUUUCAAAAAUUGAAGGCACUUUUAAAGACGGUUCCCAUAGGAACCGUCGUUAUAAGUAUGGGUUUUAAAGACGGUUCCAAGUGGAACUGUCGUUAUAUGUCUUUAUUAAAAAAAAAAAAUCUUUUAAAAAUCUUUUAAAAAUCUCAAAUAACCUGCUUAAAAAGUUUUCAAUUCCAUAAAAUAAAAACAUUUCAAAUUAUAAUUUAAAUAUAAAAAUUAAAUACAACAAAUUAUAACAUUAUAAAAAAAAGUUUGGUAGUAUAUAAAAAAAUUUGUCAUUGUAAUGAUUUAUCUAUACUAGAGUGUUAUACAUGGUUACAAAAUACUUUGACCAUGUUGUUCUCACAUACUCCAAUGCUUCUAAAUCUAGCGGGUGUUGGUCGUUGAACAACUGUGACAUUUGAAAUAUUUUGAAUUAGUGCAUGAAUAAUAAAUCUCAAAUUUUAAAGUGUUUAUUGUAUUGAGGUAUUACCUUAUCCCAACCUUUCUUAAUUUCAGCUUGCAAAAUAGUCAACAUCCACUGCAUAACAUAAUAACCGCACUCAUAAUUUUCAGGUUGCCUGUUGGACUGCAUGUGAAAAUAAAUGUAUUAAAUGAAUGAGUGAAACACAUUAAAUUAAGUAAACAAAUAUACUCUAAAUACCUUAAGGUACAUCCAAGUGAGUUUUUGUGCGUUUGAAGUUCUCCUCCCACACAACAUAUUAUAUCCAGAGUAAGCACUAAAAUAAUAAGAUUUCAUGUUAGAAUACAUAACAUUAUAUAAUAUAUAAGUAAUAAUAAAUGUUAAAUGAAACUCUCGUACCUAUCUAUAAUGUUUUUAAAAUAGGCAGGAGGUUUUUUAUGCAAGGAGCAAAACCAUGCNNNNNNNNNNNNNNNNNNNNNNNNNNNNNNNNNNNNNNNNNNNNNNNNNNNNNNNNNNNNNNNNNNNNNNNNNNNNNNNNNNNNNNNNNNNNNNNNNNNNNNNNNNNNNNNNNNNNNNNNNNNNNNNNNNNNNNNNNNNNNNNNNNNNNNNNNNNNNNNNNNNNNNNNNNNNNNNNNNNNNNNNNNNNNNNNNNNNNNNNNNNNNNNNNNNNNNNNNNNNNNNNNNNNNNNNNNNNNNNNNNNNNNNNNNNNNNNNNNNNNNNNNNNNNNNNNNNNNNNNNNNNNNNNNNNNNNNNNNNNNNNNNNNNNNNNNNNNNNNNNNNNNNNNNNNNNNNNNNNNNNNNNNNNNNNNNNNNNNNNNNNNNNNNNNNNNNNNNNNNNNNNNNNNNNNNNNNNNNNNNNNNNNNNNNNNNNNNNNNNNNNNNNNNNNNNNNNNNNNNNNNNNNNNNNNNNNNNNNNNNNNNNNNNNNNNNNNNNNNNNNNNNNNNNNNNNNNNNNNNNNNNNNNNNNNNNNNNNNNNNNNNNNNNNNNNNNNNNNNNNNNNNNNNNNNNNNNNNNNNNNNNNNNNNNNNNNNNNNNNNNNNNNNNNNNNNNNNNNNNNNNNNNNNNNNNNNNNNNNNNNNNNNNNNNNNNNNNNNNNNNNNNNNNNNNNNNNNNNNNNNNNNNNNNNGCAAGAUCACCAUAAAGGACCUUCUCCACCGUGACCUUCAUGAAAUUAGAAGGAAGAGGCACAUUGUGUAACAUUGUUCAUAACACUUACCCAAGGCAACGAAUCGGGUCAAAGAAUUACACUCAACAUAUAGUUCGCAUUGGCUAGUUGAGCCAAAGUCAUCCCCUGAUAGAUGAACUGCCGAACAACUCCCUUUAGUGCUGACUUUCUUAAUAGGAGGCGGAGGUGGUUCAUCUUGUACCAUAGUUGGUGGUUGCUGUGAGUGUCCUAAACCCUCCAACCGCUUUUUGAACUCCAUUUCCAUUCGCGCACUAAACUCCUCCAUGAAGCUUUCUUUAAGCUCUUGAGUUACCUCANNNNNNNNNNNNNNNNNNNNNNNNNNNNNNNNNNNNNNNNNNNNNNNNNNNNNNNNNNNNNNNNNNNNNNNNNNNNNNNNNNNNNNNNNNNNNNNNNNNNUACUCUUGGCUAGGUUCAUUGGAAAAUUGUUCCUUGCUGUGUGAUGGAGCUCCAAAGUAUGACCGAAUCCCAACCCCAUAUCCAGCUACACGAACACAUCCAGGGUGUUCAGGUCGUCCGAGAGCAACAUUAAGAAUAUCAUUGCGACCACAUGGUUUAAAAGUCCCCUGUGUUGAUUGCUCAUUAAGAGAAUCCUAAAACAAAUGAAAAGAAAUUGACAAACUUCAACACAUUGAAUUUAAAAUAACACAUAGAAUUUAAAAUAACACAUUGAAAAGAAAUUGUCAAACUUACAAUGCGUUCAACUGUUUGUUCUGUAGACUUAGAACUCCAUGUCCCUAAUGUGUUUAUACGGGCACACUUCCACAUCUCAUGUCGGAGUGGUGGGGAUGGAGGUCUUAAAGAAUCUACACUAUUCAUUUCCUCAAUGGAAGUAGAACGUGCUUUCAUCUUUUCUUCAAGCAUCUUCUGCUCUAGCAACUUAUANNNNNNNNNNNNNNNNNNNNNNNNNNNNNNNNNNNNNNNNNNNNNNNNNNNNNNNNNNNNNNNNNNNNNNNNNNNNNNNNNNNNNNNNNNNNNNNNNNNNAAUACGUUAAUAUAAACUAUAUUCAAAUAUAAAAGUGAUACUAACCUGCCAUUUUUCAGUUUGUCGAAUAUUGACAAACUGCUGCCAAGUUUCUUCAUCAAUGGAUGCAUAUUUUGCACAAGGAUUUUCUUCUUUUCUUUUCCCAUAUAUAUAAUCUGUUGUCAAUUUUGAUUUGAACUGACACUACAAGAAAAACCUGUAUUACCCAUGGAUAAUUACCCAUGAACUUUUUUUGGUAUGUAAAUAGGUUUUUACCUACCAAAAAUUUUGUAGGUAAUGUUAUUGAACAUAAAAAGGGGAGAAAGGACUUUACCUACGAAAGUUAAGGUGGUGGGAAAGUUUUUAAUGUAUUUUAAAGUAAUUUUUUUUUUUUUUUUAAAAAUAUGUUGGUUUCCUUCCGAGGAACAUUCCUCUCCACUCACCUCUCAAACACUCUCAAACUCUUCUCAAACACUCUCACACUCUUGCUCCCUUGACUGAAACAGGUUUCUUAAACUGAAACACGAGUUUUUGUUUGAAAACGUCAAUGGAGGUUCUGAAAUCCUAAACCAAACCGUGAGAAUGUGAGAAACCGAAACUGUAACACCUUCGAAGCUCCAAAACGGCCAAAGAAUGAAACUUUGAAGUUCCCGUUUUUUCUCUCCCAGUCUCUGUUUCAUUCGAAGAUUUCAACCCAAAUUCGUGUCUUCCGAAAUCUACACAGAAAUCCCCAAUUUUUGGUUUCAAUUUGUGAAACCAAAAGCCCUAAUCUGGUGUUCGUGAUUGUAAACCUAAAUCUUGAAUGGUGACUUCGAAAAUUUCGUGAAAACCCAAUGGAAAGCGUCGUCGUGGUCGUCGUGGUGGCCUGAAGCGCAGACGUUUCAAGGGCGAUUUACAGAGGCUUAUUCAAAGGUAUUGAAUUUUUUUUCUUUGAUUUAGUGUACGAUAAUGUUCAGUUGGAUUACUUAACAUUUAAAGUGAGUUUAGAGAGGUGACCGGUGCGAUGCGGCGGUGCGAUGCGGUGGCUCACCGCUUCCACCGUUUAGCACCUAUAAAUAAUACCUAUAAUAAGCAAGCACAUAUUCCCUUACCUGUACUUCCUUCUCUGUUCAGUAUUCUGUUUUUUCUCUGUUCGGAAUUCCCAAUUGGGUUUCCUUCCUUCAGCUUUCUCUUGGAUUCAAUUCUACGUUCAGUUACAUACCACUAUAAUGUAAUAAAAUGUUUCAAUUCUAUGUUUCACCUUCAACUUUCUCAUUCUUGUGAUUUUUACUUAAUUGAUUUAUUGGUUUGUUAAAUCCAUGGGUAAUUAUCCAUGGUUGAAUGCAGGGAUUAAGAGUCUGUUUAUAUACACUUUUUCUUGCAUUCACCUAAAAUACAAAACAAGCUCAAAAUAUAACUAGUUUAUUAAUUCCACAUUGGUAUUCAGUUAAUUUUUGUCUCUAUUAUUUGAGGAAUGGGGGUAGUUAUUGAGAAUUGCGUUCAACCAUAUAUGGAAAAUGUGUUUCUCUAUAAUUUGAAACAGAGUUUCUUGUUAAAGAUGUUAAUGGCUAUUUUAGUGUUGUCGUCUUUAAUAGUAGAUACUGAUAGAGAUUGACAUGUUUGUUACAAUUGAUGUGCAGCUUAAUAACUUUCCUCUAAUGUCUAAAAUUGGUCUGUGAGAGAGAUUAUAGAUUGAAAACUCACAUGGUGUUUUUUGCGCGUGGUUUAUGAAAAAGGAAAGGAAAUAAUUAUGUUAAAUUUACGUACACAUAUGUUAAAUUGGUGUCAAUCUUUGAGACCUACAACCAUAUGUAUAUAUAAUAUCUAUCUGUGUGAAAUAAGCUCAAAGCAAAGCAAUUUCCUCAAUGGUCCUACACAAAUGAUGCCUUGACAAGGAGAUGACGAUGGCCAUGAUGAGCAUCAUGAUCUCAAUAACAUGAUCAUNNNNNNNNNNNNNNNNNNNNNNNNNNNNNNNNNNNNNNNNNNNNNNNNNNNNNNNNNNNNNNNNNNNNNNNNNNNNNNNNNNNNNNNNNNNNNNNNNNNNNNNNNNNNNNNNNNNNNNNNNNNNNNNNNNNNNNNNNNNNNNNNNNNNNNNNNNNNNNNNNNNNNNNNNNNNNNNNNNNNNNNNNNNNNNNNNNNNNNNNNNNNNNNNNNNNNNNNNNNNNNNNNNNNNNNNNNNNNNNNNNNNNNNNNNNNNNNNNNNNNNNNNNNNNNNNNNNNNNNNNNNNNNNNNNNNNNNNNNNNNNNNNNNNNNNNNNNNNNNNNNNNNNNNNNNNNNNNNNNNNNNNNNNNNNNNNNNNNNNNNNNNNNNNNNNNNNNNNNNNNNNNNNNNNNNNNNNNNNNNNNNNNNNNNNNNNNNNNNNNNNNNNNNNNNNNNNNNNNNNNNNNNNNNNNNNNNNNNNNNNNNNNNNNNNNNNNNNNNNNNNNNNNNNNNNNNNNNNNNNNNNNNNNNNNNNNNNNNNNNNNNNNNNNNNNNNNNNNNNNNNNNNNNNNNNNNNNNNNNNNNNNNNNNNNNNNNNNNNNNNNNNNNNNNNNNNNNNNNNNNNNNNNNNNNNNNNNNNNNNNNNNNNNNNNNNNNNNNNNNNNNNNNNNNNNNNNNNNNNNNNNNNNNNNNNNNNNNNNNNNNNNNNNNNNNNNNNNNNNNNNNNNNNNNNNNNNNNNNNNNNNNACAAUUCAUUGUUACACAUUACUUGCUAGUUCAGGGUGAAGUAACUUAUAAUACUCUUUUUUAAUACAUUAAAGGGCUAAAGGCAUCUUUGUGGCAACUUCAAUCUUUAGUCUUUAGUUGUCGUUGGUUCAGAACAUGGAAUUGUUUCAUGUAAAUCGUAGUUGGAUGUACGAUAGAUGCUAUAUUGGCAGAGGGGGUUUAAAAGAAAGUUUUGUGAAUGGGGUUGAAGAGUUUGUCAUUAAAGCUUGUCAACAACAGUCUUAUUUGAAUGAAAGGGAGCUUAGAUGUCCAUGCGAUAAAUGUCAAUGUACAAAGAUUUUUCCAAUUGAAAUGGUCAAGCUUCACCUCUAUAAAAACGGUUUCAUGUAUGAUUAUCAUGUUUGGAUUCAUCAUGGUGAACAAGUGCCACAUGUUAAUGACAAUGACGAUCACGUUCGUGUUUCAAGUAGUGAUGUACAUGUGGAUGAAAGUGAACAAUUUGUAGCAAUGCAAGACAUGGUGCACGAUGCUCUUGGGCAACAUGACACAUUUGAACCAUCUAAUUUUAAUAACAGAGAGGAGCCUCCCAAUGAAGAAGCUCAGAGAUUUUAUGAUCUGUUGUUAGAGGCUAAUGAGCCAUUGUUUGUAGGGGCUGUAGAUUCUAAAUUAUCAAUGUGUAUGAAAUUGUUAGCUUGCAAGUCUAAUUGGAAUGUUCCUAACCAAUGCUUAGAUUUUAUCACAACAAUGUUGUCAGAUGCUACACCAAUAAAAGAGGGUUUGCCAAAAAGUUAUUAUGAUGCUAAGAGGUUAGUGUCAAUGUUGGGGUUGAAGGCUAAGAGGAUAGAUUGUUGUGUAAAAGGUUGUAUGCUUUUUUAUGAAAAUGAAUAUGGGAAAAAUGAUGGACGACUACUACAGUGUAAAUUUUGUCAUCAUGCACGAUAUCAUGACCCAAGAGUUGGAACAAGUAAAAGAAAACCAAUUCCUCUGAAAAGAAUGUUCUAUUUUCCAUUCCAAGAUUACAAAGAUUGUUUGCAUCUAUGCAAACUUCAGGACAAAUGACAUGGCACUAUGAUAAUAGAAGACCUUCGGGUGUGCUACGACAUCCCUCAAAUGGUGAAGCUUGGAAACAUUUUGAUCAAUUACAUCCUGAAUUUGCCGUUGAGCCACGUAAUGUACGACUUGGUUUAUGCUCUGAUGGAUUUAAUCCAUAUAUUCAAGCAUCAGCAAAACCUUACUCUUGUUGGCCAGUAAUUGUCACCCCAUAUAAUCUUCCUCCUGAAAUGUGCAUGUCUAGACCCUAUAUGUUUUUGAGUUGUCUCAUUCCCGGUCCACAUAAUCCGAAGGCUCGUAUCGAUGUUUAUUUGCAACCACUUAUCGAUGAUCUUAAAAAGUUGUGGAGUGGUGUUGAAACAUACGAUAUUUCAAGGAAGCAAAACUUUAUGAUGCGAGCAAGUCUAAUGUGGACAAUUAAUGACUUCCCUGCAUAUGGCAUGUUGUCUGGUUGGGGGACUAAAGGUAAAUUGGCUUGCCCAUAUUGCAUGGAGCACACAAAGGCCUUUAGAUUAGAACAUGGACAAAAAAAUAGUUGGUUUGACUCACACCGUAGGUUCUUGCCUAAUGAUCAUACAUUUAGGAGGAAUAAAAAGGCUUUAAAAAAGGACAAAGUUGAAAUGGGUGGACCACCACCUAUGUUGACAUCUGAAGAGGUUUGGAAUAUAGUUAGGAAUCUACCAACAGUCAUAGAUGAGCCUCACAGGUCGAAAUUACCAGGUUAUGGAGAGUGGCAUAAUUGGACAAAAAGAAGNNNNNNNNNNNNNNNNNNNNNNNNNNNNNNNNNNNNNNNNNNNNNNNNNNNNNNNNNNNNNNNNNNNNNNNNNNNNNNNNNNNNNNNNNNNNNNNNNNNNNNNNNNNNNNNNNNNNNNNNNNNNNNNNNNNNNNNNNNNNNNNNNNNNNNNNNNNNNNNNNNNNNNNNNNNNNNNNNNNNNNNNNNNNNNNNNNNNNNNNNNNNNNNNNNNNNNNNNNNNNNNNNNNNNNNNNNNNNNNNNNNNNNNNNNNNNNNNNNNNNNNNNNNNNNNNNNNNNNNNNNNNNNNNNNNNNNNNNNNNNNNNNNNNNNNNNNNNNNNNNNNNNNNNNNNNNNNNNNNNNNNNNNNNNNNNNNNNNNNNNNNNNNNNNNNNNNNNNNNNNNNNNNNNNNNNNNNNNNNNNNNNNNNNNNNNNNNNNNNNNNNNNNNNNNNNNNNNNNNNNNNNNNNNNNNNNNNNNNNNNNNNNNNNNNNNNNNNNNNNNNNNNNNNNNNNNNNNNNNNNNNNNNNNNNNNNNNNNNNNNNNNNNNNNNNNNNNNNNNNNNNNNNNNNNNNNNNNNNNNNNNNNNNNNNNNNNNNNNNNNNNNNNNNNNNNNNNNNNNNNNNNNNNNNNNNNNNNNNNNNNNNNNNNNNNNNNNNNNNNNNNNNNNNNNNNNNNNNNNNNNNNNNNNNNNNNNNNNNNNNNNNNNNNNNNNNNNNNNNNNNNNNNNNNNNNNNNNNNNNNNNNNNNNNNNNNNNNNNNNNNNNNNNNNNNNNNNNNNNNNNNNNNNNNNNNNNNNNNNNNNNNNNNNNNNNNNNNNNNNNNNNNNNNNNNNNNNNNNNNNNNNNNNNNNNNNNNNNNNNNNNNNNNNNNNNNNNNNNNNNNNNNNNNNNNNNNNNNNNNNNNNNNNNNNNNNNNNNNNNNNNNNNNNNNNNNNNNNNNNNNNNNNNNNNNNNNNNNNNNNNNNNNNNNNNNNNNNNNNNNNNNNNNNNNNNNNNNNNNNNNNNNNNNNNNNNNNNNNNNNNNNNNNNNNNNNNNNNNNNNNNNNNNNNNNNNNNNNNNNNNNNNNNNNNNNNNNNNNNNNNNNNNNNNNNNNNNNNNNNNNNNNNNNNNNNNNNNNNNNNNNNNNNNNNNNNNNNNNNNNNNNNNNNNNNNNNNNNNNNNNNNNNNNNNNNNNNNNNNNNNNNNNNNNNNNNNNNNNNNNNNNNNNNNNNNNNNNNNNNNNNNNNNNNNNNNNNNNNNNNNNNNNNNNNNNNNNNNNNNNNNNNNNNNNNNNNNNNNNNNNNNNNNNNNNNNNNNNNNNNNNNNNNNNNNNNNNNNNNNNNNNNNNNNNNNNNNNNNNNNNNNNNNNNNNNNNNNNNNNNNNNNNNNNNNNNNNNNNNNNNNNNNNNNNNNNNNNNNNNNNNNNNNNNNNNNNNNNNNNNNNNNNNNNNNNNNNNNNNNNNNNNNNNNNNNNNNNNNNNNNNNNNNNNNNNNNNNNNNNNNNNNNNNNNNNNNNNNNNNNNNNNNNNNNNNNNNNNNNNNNNNNNNNNNNNNNNNNNNNNNNNNNNNNNNNNNNNNNNNNNNNNNNNNNNNNNNNNNNNNNNNNNNNNNNNNNNNNNNNNNNNNNNNNNNNNNNNNNNNNNNNNNNNNNNNNNNNNNNNNNNNNNNNNNNNNNNNNNNNNNNNNNNNNNNNNNNNNNNNNNNNNNNNNNNNNNNNNNNNNNNNNNNNNNNNNNNNNNNNNNNNNNNNNNNNNNNNNNNNNNNNNNNNNNNNNNNNNNNNNNNNNNNNNNNNNNNNNNNNNNNNNNNNNNNNNNNNNNNNNNNNNNNNNNNNNNNNNNNNNNNNNNNNNNNNNNNNNNNNNNNNNNNNNNNNNNNNNNNNNNNNNNNNNNNNNNNNNNNNNNNNNNNNNNNNNNNNNNNNNNNNNNNNNNNNNNNNNNNNNNNNNNNNNNNNNNNNNNNNNNNNNNNNNNNNNNNNNNNNNNNNNNNNNNNNNNNNNNNNNNNNNNNNNNNNNNNNNNNNNNNNNNNNNNNNNNNNNNNNNNNNNNNNNNNNNNNNNNNNNNNNNNNNNNNNNNNNNNNNNNNNNNNNNNNNNNNNNNNNNNNNNNNNNNNNNNNNNNNNNNNNNNNNNNNNNNNNNNNNNNNNNNNNNNNNNNNNNNNNNNNNNNNNNNNNNNNNNNNNNNNNNNNNNNNNNNNNNNNNNNNNNNNNNNNNNNNNNNNNNNNNNNNNNNNNNNNNNNNNNNNNNNNNNNNNNNNNNNNNNNNNNNNNNNNNNNNNNNNNNNNNNNNNNNNNNNNNNNNNNNNNNNNNNNNNNNNNNNNNNNNNNNNNNNNNNNNNNNNNNNNNNNNNNNNNNNNNNNNNNNNNNNNNNNNNNNNNNNNNNNNNNNNNNNNNNNNNNNNNNNNNNNNNNNNNNNNNNNNNNNNNNNNNNNNNNNNNNNNNNNNNNNNNNNNNNNNNNNNNNNNNNNNNNNNNNNNNNNNNNNNNNNNNNNNNNNNNNNNNNNNNNNNNNNNNNNNNNNNNNNNNNNNNNNNNNNNNNNNNNNNNNNNNNNNNNNNNNNNNNNNNNNNNNNNNNNNNNNNNNNNNNNNNNNNNNNNNNNNNNNNNNNNNNNNNNNNNNNNNNNNNNNNNNNNNNNNNNNNNNNNNNNNNNNNNNNNNNNNNNNNNNNNNNNNNNNNNNNNNNNNNNNNNNNNNNNNNNNNNNNNNNNNNNNNNNNNNNNNNNNNNNNNNNNNNNNNNNNNNNNNNNNNNNNNNNNNNNNNNNNNNNNNNNNNNNNNNNNNNNNNNNNNNNNNNNNNNNNNNNNNNNNNNNNNNNNNNNNNNNNNNNNNNNNNNNNNNNNNNNNNNNNNNNNNNNNNNNNNNNNNNNNNNNNNNNNNNNNNNNNNNNNNNNNNNNNNNNNNNNNNNNNNNNNNNNNNNNNNNNNNNNNNNNNNNNNNNNNNNNNNNNNUUCAUCAUUAAACAACAAUAUUGUCAGCCAUGGCUUACAUGGGGUUCAAUGACUGAUGAAGACAGAGAAAUCUUCUUCAAACGUUUUAAAGUAUUUCUUCUUAUAUUUAAUAUUAACAAUACUUUUUCUAUGUUUCUUUUGGUAUUUGGCAUCUUCCAUAAUUGAAUUCUCAGUUAUUAUUUAUUUAAAGUGUUGUAUUAAAAAAUUCUUCACUUUUUUAACUAUAAAUUUUGUGUUUACAUAGAAAAAAGUCUGUUGGAAACCUGAACAUGAGGAAAGGAUUAAAAAAAACUUCCACUCAAAAGCCGCACAUAGGUUAUCUGAAAUGUUCAUGGAAGCUAGAAAAAAUGGGAAAAAGCCUAUUUGGAUGUUUGAUGAUGUCUGGACUUCUUUACUAUCUCAGUGGAAUUUACCUGACUUUCGUUCCAAGUGUAGUCAAAACCAAAAAAACCGAACAUCUGACACAGGUGGUUCUUUACACACAGGUGGCUCCAUUAGUACACAUGAGCAUGCCAUUCGCAUGGUAUGUAUUCACGAAACAUAUAAGUUACAUUGGACUUUGUUUGUAAUUGGUUUUGAAUUAUGUUUUAUGAUUACAUAUUAUUCUAUUAUACAAUGUUUGAAGGUUAGAUAUUUGAUAAUACUACAUUGGAUUAUAUCAAGUUUAAGAAGUUGGAUGGUAUUGUUUUGCAUAAAAAUAAUAUUAUUUAUGUUUGUUGUUUAUAGGCAAAACAGUUGGGUCGUCCUGCAUAUAUUGAUGAGGUAUUUAUGCAGACUCAUACGAAAAAGUAGUGGUGAAUUUGUUGAUGAAAGAUCGAGACGUACACACGUGAGUUACAUUUUGUUGUUAUUUUUCUUUAUUUUAGUUAUAUAUUGUACAUAUGACAUUAAUUUUGUGUAUCAAUAAUAGGAAGAAUUUCAGAGUAAACUUUCCCUAUGUUGUUGUUUAGGAUCCUUCAAGAUCUCAAAUAUAUAGGAAGNNNNNNNNNNNNNNNNNNNNNNNNNNNNNNNNNNNNNNNNNNNNNNNNNNNNNNNNNNNNNNNNNNNNNNNNNNNNNNNNNNNNNNNNNNNNNNNNNNNNNNNNNNNNNNNNNNNNNNNNNNNNNNNNNNNNNNNNNNNNNNNNNNNNNNNNNNNNNNNNNNNNNNNNNNNNNNNNNNNNNNNNNNNNNNNNNNNNNNNNNNNNNNNNNNNNNNNNNNNNGAAAUCAUUGGUUAGUAUCAUUCUUCCUUUCCUUCCUUCCGAAGCACGAAGUUUUGUUGCUCAACAAUCUCAACAAGUAUUGUCGCCACAAGAACCGCCAAGGCAAAAGGAACCACCUACGCAACAACAAGAUGACGAUAAUCAUUAUGCAGAUUAUUAGGAUUAUGUUUGUAGUUUUUUUGAACAACAAAUUACAUUACAAGUUCACUAGACUUUUGAAUUAGGAUUUUUAGUUAUGUUUCAAGUUUGUUUUGAUUUUUAGAUGUUUCAAGUGGACUUGACUUUAUAUUAUGUUAUCUUUUAUAUGAUGAGACUUUAAUUAUGUUAUAUUUGAAUUUGAAAUUAAAUGUGUGUUGGAUAUGUUAAAUUAUACAGGUUUUAAAAAAGGCAUUCAUUUAAAUGUAUGAAUAGACAUUUUGAUGGAUGCAUGAUUACAUACGGAAUUACCUACGGACUGAUGUUCGUGGGUAUUACCCACGGACUGAUGCUCGUGGGUAUUACCCACGGACUGAUGCUCGUGGGUAUUACCCACGGACUGAUGCUCGUGGGUAUUACCCACGGACUGAUGCUCGUGGGUAUUACCCACGGACUGCUGUUACCUACGGGUUCAUAUUUCGUAGGUAAAUUACCGACGCCAACAUUACAUACGAAUUUUUUUCCGUGGGAAAUCCGUAGGUAAUGUUGAUUUACCUACGGAUUUCUGCUGUUACAUACGGAUUUUGUCCGUAGGUAAAUCGGUUUUUUUUUGUAGUGUGACGAAACUUGACACCCACAUCUGAAAGAACCUUCGCUUUCAAGGUUUCCACAUUCGGGAUGUUGUAAUGCGUCUACAUUGUUUGAAAGAAUUAGUUCAUAAACAAAAACAAAGUAUAAAAGAACUUUAGAUUUAGCAAAGUAAAAACAGUUACAUACCAGAAUAUCUUGCCAAAUCAUGUUUUUCUCGUGGUCAGUCACGUGAUCCCAGGAUUGAGUUAAGAUAGAGAUCCUUUCACGAGAAAGUACUCUGAGAUAACUCCUAUAUUUCUUUGCAUGUUGCCCAGUGGGCACACCAGUGUGGAUAUCAAUAGACAAAGGUAUUUUGUCAUCUUUAGUUAUCUUCUUAAACAUAUUCUUCAAUCUUGUAGGUCCUCUACCAGUUUUUGANNNNNNNNNNNNNNNNNNNNNNNNNNNNNNNNNNNNNNNNNNNNNNNNNNNNNNNNNNNNNNNNNNNNNNNNNNNNNNNNNNNNNNNNNNNNNNNNNNNNNNNNNNNNNNNNNNNNNNNNNNNNNNNNNNNNNNNNNNNNNNNNNNNNNNNNNNNNNNNNNNNNNNNNNNNNNNNNNNNNNNNNNNNNNNNNNNNNNNNNNNNNNNNNNNNNNNNNNNNNNNNNNNNNNNNNNNNNNNNNNNNNNNNNNNNNNNNNNNNNNNNNNNNNNNNNNNNNNNNNNNNNNNNNNNNNNNNNNNNNNNNNNNNNNNNNNNNNNNNNNNNNNNNNNNNNNNNNNNNNNNNNNNNNNNNNNNNNNNNNNNNNNNNNNNNNNNNNNNNNNNNNNNNNNNNNNNNNNNNNNNNNNNNNNNNNNNCUGGACGACAUUGAUUCUUCACAUAUCCCUUCAAAAUCUUCAUGUAUCGUUCAAGUGGAUACAUCCAUCGCAUAUAAACUGGCCCACACAAUCUGAUUUCUCUUACAAGAUGAACAACCAAGUGUACCAUAAUAUCAAAAAAAGAUGGAGGAAAAAACAUCUCGAGUUGACACAAGAUAACAAUUAUUUCUUCUUCAAGUUCAUCCAACUUCUGAGAGUCAAUCUCUUUACUACAUAUGGAAUUGAAAAAUGAACAUAGUCGAGUGAUUGUAUGCCUAACAUUUUUGGGCAAGAUUCCACGAAUAGCCACUGGUAAUAAUUGUUGCAUUAGAACGUGACAAUCAUGUGACUUUAAGCCAAUUAGUUUCAAAUCAUUCAUAGAUACAAGACUCUUCACAUUUGAAGAGUAGCCUUGUGGUACCUUAACACCUUUAAGACAUUCACAAAAACUUGUUUUCUCUUUCUUUGACAAAGUGUAACACGCUGCAAGCAAGUAUGUACGUUUACCAACUUCUCUCGGUGCCAAUUCCUCUCGUAUAUUCAUUUCAAUCAAAUCCAGACGUGCAUUCACACCAUCCUUUGUUUUCCCUUUAAUGUUCAGAAGUGUUCCUAUUAGACUGUCACACACAUUCUUCUCUACGUGCAUUACAUCUAGACAGUGUCUAACAUCCAACUUACACCAAUACAGAAGAUCAAAAAAGAUUGAUCUCUUCUUCCAUAUUUCACUCACCGUUUGCUUCUUCUUCAUUUUUCCAAAAGUCACAUUAACAUUUUUGAUUUUUUCAUAAAUUUCAACACCACUUAAUGGAGUGGGACAAAUGUCAUGUUCUUGGUAUCCGUUANNNNNNNNNNNNNNNNNNNNNNNNNNNNNNNNNNNNNNNNNNNNNNNNNNNNNNNNNNNNNNNNNNNNNNNNNNNNNNNNNNNNNNNNNNNNNNNNNNNNNNNNNNNNNNNNNNNNNNNNNNNNNNNNNNNNNNNNNNNNNNNNNNNNNNNNNNGUUCCCAUAAGCAGGGAAGUCAUUGAUAGUACAAAACAACAUCGCAUGCAAUCGGAAAGAUUCAUUUUUAAACGCGUCAAACACAUCAACCCCUUCAUUCCACAAUAAUUUCAAAUCUUCAAUCAAUGGAUUAAGAUAAACAUCUAUGUCAUUUCCAGGUUGUUUUGGACUAGAGAUCAUCAUAGAUAACAUCAUGUAUUUGCGCUUCAUACACAACGCAGGAGGUAAGUUGUAAAUCACUAACAAAACGGGCCAUGAACUAUGAUUACUACUUAAAUUUCCAAAAGGAUUCAUUCCAUCAGUUGCCAAUCCAAGUCUUAAGUUUCUUGAUUCUUUUCCAAAUUCAGGAAAUUCUUUAUCAAUAUUCUUCCACUGCAAAGAAUCAGCAGGAUGACGAAGUAAUCCAUCACAUUUUCUAUUAUCUGCAUGCCACCUAAGGUUUUUAGCGUCAUCUGCAUUUGCAAACAAACGCUUAAGCCUUGGAAUUAUCGGAAGAUACCAAACAACCUUAGCAGGAGGACCUUCCUUUGUCAAUUCAUCAAUUUCAUCAUUCUGACCAACCUUAACCUUACAGCGUGACAAACCACACCUGGGACAUCUUCUUAAAUCUUCAUACUCAUUUCUGUAUAAAAUACAAUCGUUAGGACAUGAAUGUAUUUUUCUAUACUCCAUACCCAUUGGACAAAGUAUUUUUUCGCCUCAUAAUUUCGAUAGGGCAAGGUAUUUCCUUCNNNNNNNNNNNNNNNNNNNNNNNNNNNNNNNNNNNNNNNNNNNNNNNNNNNNNNNNNNNNNNNNNNNNNNNNNNNNNNNNNNNNNNNNNNNNNNNNNNNNNNNNNNNNNNNNNNNNNNNNNNNNNNNNNNNNNNNNNNNNNNNNNNNNNNNNNNNNNNNNNNNNNNNNNNNNNNNNNNNNNNNNNNNNNNNNNNNNNNNNNNNNNNNNNNNNNNNNNNNNNNNNNNNNNNNNNNNNNNNNNNNNNNNNNNNNNNNNNNNNNNNNNNNNNNNNNNNNNNNNNNNNNNNNNNNNNNNNNNNNNNNNNNNNNNNNNNNNNNNNNNNNNNNNNNNNNNNNNNNNNNNNNNNNNNNNNNCAAUAUCCUUCCAUUUAAACAAUUGAUACAAGGGCACCUUAUCCUUACUCCAUUCUUAUAACUAACGGCAUUAUGUUAUGCGAAUUGUAUGAACUCUUCCACCCCUUUUUCGUAAGUAUCACUUAUUCGUGAUGUAUUAAUCCAACUCCGAUCCAUAGAACUGUUAAACUAAGAACCAAUACUUUCAAUAUGUAAUCAUGAAAAUAUAAAACAAAAGUGCCGAAGGUCGGACACCUCCGGACUCAGAACCAGUGCGUUCAAUAUGUCAAAACAAUAUAUAAUGACUGAAAAUUGCCGAAGGUCGAACACCUCCGGACUCAGAACCAGUGCGUUCAAUAUGUCAAAACAAUAUAUAAUGAAUGAAAAUUGCCGAAGGUCGAACACCUCCGGACUCAGAACCAAUGCGUUCAAUAUAAACAAUUAAUAUCAAACUCAAAACGAAUACUUUCAAAAUAUAGGUGAUAAUAAAUAAGAAUACACUAACCUCAAAUGGAUGGACGGUCACGUAGGCGUGGACGGCGGUCGCAGGCGCAACGUCAGCAGAGCGGCACGGGCGCGGCGGCAGAGGCGGGUUCGCUGUCGACGGGGGCGCGGCGCGCUGCGAGGUUCGCGAUCGGAGCGGGCGCGGGGCGCGGUGCGGUGCGGCGCGGGGUUCGCGACAGAGGCGCGGUGCGGCACGACGCGGGGUCGCGGCAGAAGCGCGGUGCGGCGCAGGGUUCGUGGUGCGGUGCAAUGCGGCGCGGGGUCGCGGCAGAGGCGCGGUGCGGUGCGGCCUUUAGUCGCGGCAGAGGCGCGGUGCGGCGCAGGGUUCGCGGUAGAGGCACGGUGCAGCGCGGGGUCGCGGUCGACGGUGGGGACAUGGCACGGCGCGGCAGAGGCGCGGUCGGCGGUGGGGCAUGGCACGGCGCGGUGAGGGCGCGGUCGGCGCUUGGGUCGCGGGUUAGAGUUGCGGUCGAGUAAGAAGUGAGAAAGGCAAGCAAAUUUCUAAAUGAAAGUGGGAGCGUGGCGCGGGGUUAGAGCGUGGCAAAUUUUGAAACAGACUUUUAACGACGAUUCUGGGUGAACCGUCGUUAUAACCCACACUUUUAACGACGGUUUUGGGGUGAACCGUCGUUAUAACCCACACUUUUAACGACGGUUCUGGGGUGAACCGUCGUUAAAAGUCCAAAAAAAUUUCAAAAAUAUUACAGUAUUGCCACCGCCUAGUUUUUAACGAUGGUUGUCUCCAAACCGUCUUUGAAAGGUGUCGUUAUUGAAGAAUUUUGUACUAGUGAAAACUGCUACAAACUCCUUCACGAAAAUUUCUAUUUCAAACACCUUCGAAUCCCUUAGAUCUAAGUUGGCAACACUAAGUUGGCAACACUGUCGUCGAUCCCGACCUUGCUCAACGAGAAUGGUAUUUUAAACAAUUUCUAUAUUAGUUUUUAUUAUUGUUAAAUAGUUUCUAAAUUGGUAUCUAAUUAACAACCAAAAUUUUAGAAACUAAAUAAUUGGUAGUUAAGUUGUCCUUUGUUACGAGACAUAUGGGAAGAUAAAUUAUUCGUCAAAGUUGGUCAAAGGAACCGAGGAAAAGGAGUCGAUUAUGGAUGAUGUAAAAGACGCACUGAAAGAGAAUAGUGUAAGAACAUUCUUUAUAAGAUUUUGAAACUUAUUUUGAAAGUGUUUCAUUUUUUCAAGUGCAAUGCAUGUCUUGUUUUUCUGUUAUGCUCAGCAUUAAGUAUAUGACAAAAAAACACUUUGAAAUCCAAAGUGGACUCUUAACUAGAUAAGUACACUUUUGACAAACAUAAUUUCAAAUAAAUAUAUGGAUAAGGGCAACAUCAGGAAUUACAUCAUUUGGUCAAUUCAAGGUGAGUUAUAAUUGCGAAAAAGAGACUUGCUAUCAUUGGUUACACUGACUCCAAUUUUUGUGAAUACCAAAACAGUACGAAAUACAUAUCAUGCUAUUUUAUACAUGCUUUUUAGCAGUGUUAUUUCGUAGGAAAGUGUUAGAGAGUCUCUUAGCUUCUUUAGCCAUAUGGUAGCUAAGUUAUUUUGUAAUAAUAAAUCAAUAAUUUUAUUUUUCAACAACAACAUAAGCUCAAUAAAUUCUAAAUGUAUAGACAUCAAGUUAUUAGUUGCUAAAGAAUGAGUUCAGAGAGUAGACAGUUGUUUAUAAAAUAUAUUAACACAACUCCAUGCUUAUGAAUCUGCUGACUAAAGGAUUAAUCCCAAUAAUUUUUCAUCAAGAUAUUGUUCGUAUGGGUAUUAUCUCUUUAAGUGAUAUUCCGUUUUAGCAGGAGCUUAAAAAUUUGUGUGUUUUCUUGACAUAGACACGUACUAAAUAUAUUUUCUGCAGAAAUAAAGUUUUGGUACAUUUGAACUCUGAUCUUGUUCUGGUUUGAUCUCACUAUGUUUAAGGAAGACCUAAUCCAUACUACAAAUUCAUAUCACAUUCAAGUUAUUCAAUGUUUAAGUGAUGUUUUUAUUUUAUUUAUUCAUUAUUUUUUGCUUAAAAAAAUGAAGUUAUUCAAUUGUGUUAACAUGUGACCAUUAUUAAAUUAGUAGUGUUAUUUUUAAACAACAACAUAUAAGCUUAAUAAAGUCUAAACAUAUAGAUAUCAAGUUUUUGGGUUGUUAGAGAAAGAAUUCCGAGUAAACAAAUACUAACAUAAUUCCAUGGUUGUGGAUCCGCUCAGGAAAGGAUUAUUUGUAAGAUCAAUAAAGUUUCUAAGUCUUUACACCAAAAUCAAAUUAAUUCACUUAGAGGAUUUAGAAUAGAGAAUUAGAAAUUUCUGAAAUUUGCUAAAAUUUGCUCAAUGAAAGAGUUUUUGCUUAGUAAAUCAAGGAAAUAAAUUUGAUGAAUUUUCAUUGCAACAAACUCACUUACAGAAAUUAUAAAGAAAAGAAAGGAAAAAAAAUACAAAUAUCUAGAGUUUUUUUCAUAAUCUACUCAAUCCAUUUCGCUCAGUGGUAAGUGUAUGGAGUGACUAGUUUUUUUUAUCAGCAAUAAAUUAAUAAAAUUAAAAGAGACACUUGAGGGGUGUCUCAACCCUUAUACAUACUAUUCUCUAGCUUAAGAGCUCAGCAAAUCAAGAUUACAAACCUAAAGGGAUCAAAAAGCACAUUAAAACCAGUCCUAACAGCAUUGCUUAAUAAAGCUAUAAUCACAUAAGAGAAUGCUUCCUUCACCCUAUGCAUGAGGUUGAGUUGCAUGUGCCUAGCUUACCACUAUAUCUCAGAUGACAAAGGGACUUGAUGCAUCAUAACAACAAGCCAAUUGCUUACGCAUAAACUACAGCACAUCACAUUUAGGUUCACUUCCCAUUCCAACAUAUCAACUCCUUCAAGGCUCAUUGCACUAAUAAAACAACCAUCAAAAACCAACAAAAACCAGCAUAUCACCCUACGUCCCUGCUUUUAGUUCUGCAUUUGGAUAGUUGUACCUGUAUCAGCAUGUUUUACCACCAACUAGGAUACUCCUGCCAUGCCAGAAGAGCACCACAGCCCAUCCAAUUUGGCCCAAAAAACCGCUGCUACUCCCACAAUGGUUGAUAACAUAACUGAAUCUGAACAUGGAGUCAUAGCUACAACCUGCUCACUUUAUCAAUCUGAGUCCACUAUCAUUGUUGCUCCAUGUUAGAGUACUCGGACAGACUUGUAACCAUUGCCAAUAAAGUGAGGUUGCUUGGAUCUGUGUUUAAAGAUUCAAGAAUUGUAGAAAAACUGUUUGUAACAGUUCCAGAGAGGUUUGAAGCCACCAUAACAACCUUGGAGAAUACGAAGGACCUAUCAAUGAUUUCUCUCGCAGAGCUCUUAAAUGCUUUACAAGCACAAGAACAAAGGAGAGCCAUGAGACAAGAUGGAGUAGUUGAGGGAGCUUUACCAGCCAAACAUGAAGGUGGGUGGAAAAACAAAAGCAAGCAUAACCAGGAAGAAAAUGGAGAACUUGCUACAUACAAUAACAACAAAAGGAGAAAUUAUCCUCCUUGCAAGCAUUGCAAUAAGUUAGGUCAUCCACCAUUCAAAUGUUGGAGAAGACCUGAUGCCAAAUGUUCUAAAUGCAACCAACUUGGACAUGAAGCAGUGAUAUGCAAAAACAAAAUCAGGUGGAGGAGGCAGAUGCUCAAGUUGCUGAUCAAGAAGAGGAAGAUCACUUGUUCGUAGCCACUUGUUUCUCAAGCAGAGAAUCAAGUGAGAGUUGGCUGGUUGACAGUGGCUGCACCAACCACAUGACACAUGAUAAGGAACUCUUCAAGGAAUUGAGAACCACUGAUAUUAAAAGGGUGAGUAUUGGAAAUGGUGAACACCUGACAGUAAAAGGAAAAGGCACAAUAGCUAUCACAAGCUAUAAAGGUACAAAAAUAAUUACAGAUGUUCUUUUUGUGCCAGAGAUUGAUCAGAAUCUUUUGAGUGUUGGUCAAUUGUUGGAAAAAGGCUAUAAAGUGAUGUUUGAAAAUAAACAUUGCUUAAUCAAAGAUGUUGAUGGCAGAGAUUUGUUUAAAAUUGAAAUGAAGGGAAAGAGUUUUGCUCUCAAUCCAAUGGAGGAGGAGCACAUGGCCUUUAAAUCCAAAGAAAGUGUCACUGAAAUUUGGCACAAAAGACUCGGGCAUUUUCAUCAUCGAGGGAUGCUUCAAAUGCAAUCAAAGAAGUUGGUAGAAGGACUUUCUGAUCUUGAUGAUGAAUUGACCAACUGUCGAGCAUGCAAAUUUGGGAAGCAACACAGGCAAUCAUUUCCUAAACAGGCUUGGAGGGCUUCGAAGAAAUUGUUGCUCAUUCACACUGAUCUUUGUGGUCCUCAAAGAACACCAUCAUUAAAUGGUAACCUUUAUUUUAUAGCCUUCAUUGAUGAUCUAACAAGAAUGUGUUGGAUUUUCUUUUUGAAACAAAAAUCAGAAGUUGCUGGUGUAUUUAUGAAAUUCAAGGCCAGAGUGGAAAAUGAAAGUGGUUGCACAAUUCAGAUUUUAAGAUCUGAUAAUGGCAAGGAGUACACUUCAAAAACUUCCAAUCUUUUUUGUGAGGAGGCAGGAAUUGAGCAUCAAUUAACGGCUCCAUACACUCCACAACAAAAUGGAUUUAGUGAGAGGAGAAAUAGAUUUAUAAUGGAAAUGACUCGUUGCAUGCUUCAUGAGAAGAAUCUCCCAAAGAAUUUUUGGGCGGAAGCAGCAAACACUGCUGUAUUUUUACAAAAUCAAAUUCCAACAAAGGCAGUGAAAGAGCAGACACCAUUUGAAGCUUGGUAUGAAUACAAACCAUCUUUAAAAUUUCAUAAAGUGUUUGGUUGCUUUUGUUUCACUUAUAUUCCACAGACUAAACGUGAUAAGCUUGACAAAAAGGCAACAACUGGCAUUUUUGUUGGUUAUAGUACCAGUUCCAAGGCUUAUAGGGUGUUUCAACCAGAUACUAGACGUUUUAUUGUGAGCAGAGAUGUGUAUUUUGUGGAAGAUGAACAAUGGAGUUGGGAAGACUCAAAUAAGUCAAAUCAGAUUCCUAGUCAAUCAAGGGAUUUAUCUAUUGUCAACACUCUAGAAGAACAUGUAGAUGAAGAAUGGCAGAAUGAACUAACAGAUGAUACACCGAUUAGAGAAACAAGAUCACUCUCUGAUAUAUAUCAAAGAUGCAAUGUGGCUUUUUGUGAACCUGCCGGAUACCAUGAUGCAAAAAAUAAUAAACAUUGGAUGGCUGCAAUGGAGGAGGAGUUGUCAAUGAUUAAGAAAAACAGAACUUGGGAGCUGGUUGAUAAACCACAUGACAGGAAAAUAAUAGGAGUGAAGUGGGUAUUUAAAACUAAGUUAAAUCCCGAUGGCUCAGUCAACAAGCUCAAAGAAAGGCUAGUAGUCAAGGGAUAUGCUCAAGUGUUUGGAGUUGAUUAUUCAGACACAUUUGCACCUGUUGCUAGGCUUGACACAAUCAGAUUGCUUCUCGCUCUCACUGCUCAAAAUAAUUGGAAAGUGUUUCAGUUGGAUGUCAAAUUAGCAUUCCUAAAUGGAUUUCUUGAAGAAGAAAUUUAUGUUGAGCAACCUGAAGGCUUUGUGGACAAAGGAAAUAAAGACAAAGUGUACUUACUGAAGAAGGCACUGUAUGGCCUGAAACAAGCCCCAAGGGCCUGGUACAGUAGAAUAGAUGAUCGCCUAAUUAGUCUGGGGUUUAAGAAAAGUUUGUCUGAACUUACUCUAUAUGUCAAGCAUGAUGGUACAGACAUUUUGAUCAUCUCUCUCUAUGUAGAUGAUUUGUUGGUCACUGGAAAUAAUCUUGAUCAAGUCAAUCAAUUCAAGUUGAACAUGAAGAAGGUCUUUGAAAUGACAGAUAUUGGUCUGAUGACUUACUUUCUUGGGAUGAAAAUUAAGCAAAGUCAAGAUGAAGUAUUCAUUUGUCAGAAGAAGUAUGCAAAAGAAAUACUUAAAAAAUUUCAAAUGGAAGAUUGCAAGUUAACAAGCACUCCUAUGAAUCAAAAGGAGAAGCUGGUCAAAGAAGAUGGAUCUCCCAAAGUUGAUGAAGUUGAAUUCAGAAGCUUGAUAGGAUGUCUAAUGUAUUUGACAGCAACUAGACCUAACAUUCUAAAUGCAGUAAGCAUUCUAUCCAGAUUUAUGCAUUGCCCAAACGAGACUCACAUGAGGGCUGCUAAGAGAGUCAUCAGAUACAUCAAGGGAACUUGGAACUUUGGAGUUAAGCUCUUGAAGCAUAAGGAGUUCAAGUUAACUGGUUUCUCUGACAGUGAUUGGGGAGGUUCAAUUGAUGACAUGGAAAGUACAUCAGGAUAUUGUUUUAGCCUUGGAUCAAGGAUGUUUUCAUGGAGCUCAAAGAAGCAAGAAACAGUAGUUCAAUCCACUGCUGAAGCAGAGUUUGUUGCUGUAUCAACUACUUUGAAUCAAGCUCUCUGGUUAAGAAAGAUCCUGACUGAUUUAAAUUUGGAGCAGAAGCAAAGCACAAAGAUUUUUGUUGAUAACCAAGCUGCUAUUGCAAUCUCUAACAAUCCAAUUUUUCAUGGCAAAACUAAGCACUUUAAUAUCAAGUUAUUUUUUGUAAGAGAAGUGCAGAAGAAUGGUGAUGUGUCUCUUUGUUACUGUAAAGCUGAAAAUCAACUUGCAGAUUUGUUUACCAAACCACUUCCAGCUAGCAAGUUUGAAUACUUAAGACAGAAGAUUGGAGUUUGCAGUUCAAAAAUUGUUGCUCCAUGUUAGAUAUUAUGAUUUUGUAACUGCACAUAAAUGCAUGUAACUGCAUGUGACUCUUUAUUUUUCUAUUUUAAUUGUUGAAUAAACAUUUCUAAGUAACUGCUCAUAAGCAUUUAGGAGACAGCUACUGAAAGUAUUAUAAAUGUAAUGGUUAGCAAAGAUAAUAAAAUAUCUUGCUCUGUUUUAUUCCCUCAACACCAACACUCCAGAUUAAGCCAGCAAGUACCUCUAUUAUAUUGGAUCCUCAGAAGUAAAACUGCAGUGGGAAUCCCCUUCACAACACCGAUUAGCACCUGCACUGCCAUGUUGGUUCUGCAGGAAUAAAUCUGCAACACGCGUCCCCUUCACAGCGCCUAUUAGCACCUGCACUGCCAUGUUGGUUCUGCAGGAAUAAAUCUGCAACAUGCGUCCCCUUCACAGCGCCUAUUAGCACCUGCAAUCAGACUCCACUGAAACCAGACCCACAUCCCAACAUAGAAUACACCAUAGCUCUAGUGGCGGGGCUAACACCCAAUACCAGCCAGUUACAGAGGACCAACACAGGGGACCCUCAGCCAGCGGCUACUUGAUUGCAUUCACCACACCACCAUUGACUUUUGCCUUCACUUACAACAUCUCCUUCCCACUCCUGCACUUUAGAGUGCCUCCACAGACCUUGCUAAUUGUAGCUUUUAAUGCAGCACAGUGGGUUCAAAACCCAAUCCACUAAGGAAUAGUUAAAGGAAUUUGUCUUAUACUUCAUCCAUUGCCAGGAUUUGAUUUGUGCUUGCUGAAAAAUUUCUUCUGCAUCUACAACACCUUGCUUGAACACUACCGCGUUCCUGUGAUCCCAAAUAUAUUUGACUAUCGCUGUCCAAACUCCUUUCCAAACCAGAUUUUGAUUAUGACUAACCUAAGGCAGGUUAAAGCUCUCAAAGUGGGCCAUAAUAUCAUUAUGUUGGACACCUAGAAUUCCAAUCCACCUAAAACACAUGGACCACACUUGAGAGGCAUAUUUACAAUCCAAGAAGAGGUGUUUACACGAUUCUUCCUUGGCCCGGCAUAGAGCACAAAGAGUUGUUUCCACCAACACCCCUUUCCUACUCAGAUAAUCUCUAGUGGGUAGUCUAUUCAGCAGAAUCCUCCAUGCUACAGUCAGCACACUUGGGAAAGCCUUAACCUAACACAGUGACUUGAAGACAUCAUGUUGGGGGCCUCUUCCAUGUUUUGCUAGACAUUCAUAGGUAGAGUUAACUGAGAAACACCCUUUCUCCUCAUUCCUCCACACCUUAACAUCCUUCUCUUCUUUAAGCACAACUGUCGAUGCUACGAGCAAAUCAAGCUCUUCUACCAGCGUGAAUUCCCACUCAAAUCUUUCUCGCCUCCACCUCAGCCGCCAACACCACCUCAACUUUUCCCAUACUCCUACCUCUUCCAUCUUCUGCCCCUGGUUUAGAGACAACGAGUACAAUCUGGGGAACAGGGUUUUAAGGUUGCAGUUCCCAAUCCACACAUCCUCCUAGAACUUUAUUUUGUCCCUGCAUCCUAGUUUCCAUCCAACCUCUUUAUGAAACCACCCUUCUCCUCCACCCUCCCGACAGACUUUGAGCAAGUCUCUCCACCACCAUGAUUGAAGUUUGACCAUAAUCUGCAUUUCCGAGCCAUACUUCGAUUCAAGCAGCUCCUUCCAUCUCCCCGUCUCCUCCGAUAUAUACCUCCACCUCCACUUAGCCAGUAGAGAUGUAUUGAACUUUCUAAUGUCUCUCACGCCCAGACCACCCUCCUCUUUAGGUUUACACACAACUUCCCAACUUACCCAAGAGAUGGACUUGUUCUCCUUCCCCCACCCCCAAAGAAACCUCCUCUGGAUUUUGAUAAUACUCUUGCAAAUCGAAGUCGGAGCUUUAUACAAAGAUAGGUAAUAGAGCAGAACUGAGGUGAGGACCGAUUUGAGUAGACACACUCUCCCUGCCAAUGAGAGAAAUCUACCUUUCCACACACUUAGUCUAUCUUUUAACUUGUUUAGCACAGGUUCCCAAAACUUUCUCUUCCUAGGGUUCCCUCCCACUUCAAGGCCUAGAUAUUUAAAAGGUAUCCCCAUCUGAGCACAAUUCAAAGUCUUGGCGUAACAAGCCAGUGAAUUCAUUUGAACAUUGAUACCUGUUAUUUUUUACUUGUGGAAAUUUAUCUCCAGGCCUGAAGCUAAUUCAAAACCCCUAAGGAUAGCCUUCAGUGUCACCACAUUAGUGUAUGAUUCCUCACAGAAGAACAUGGUAUCAUCCGCAAAUUGCAGGAAACACACCUCGACCUCCUUCGUUCCAAUCUUAAGGCCAGAGAGUAGAUUCGCCUUUACAACUUGUCUUACUAAACCUGCCAAACCUUCUGCUACUACUAUGAAUAGGAAAGGAGCAAGAGGAUCACCUUGCCUGAGCCCUCUAGAAGGUUUGAAUUCCUCUAUAGGACUCCCAUUAACUAGCACAGAAACUGUGGAACUUUCCAUACAUCCUCUGAUCCAGCUAAUCCACUUACUUUGGAACCCCAGCCGGUGGAGCAUAUCGUAGAGGAAUUCCCAUCUUACCAAAUCAUAAGCUUUCUCAAAAUCCACCUUCAGACACAAACCACUUCCCCCACUCCUCCUUAUGUCCUCCACCACCUCGUUGGCCAUAAGCACACUAUCCAGAAUCCCUCUUUCCUUGAAAAAAGUUGAUUGGCAAUCAUCGAUUACUGAGGAGAUGACAUUCCUAAUUCUGCCUGCCAACACCUUAGAGAUGAUUUUGUAUAUAGCCCCUACUAACGAGAUAGGGCGAUAUUGGUCCAGCGUAACAGGGUCCUUGACUUUCGGAACCAAUGCAAUGAUGGAUGUGUUACAUCCCUUCGGUACGACACCUGUGUCAUGAAAGAGAUUCAUGAUUGUCAUAACCUCCACUUCUAUAAAUUCCUAGCUUUUCUUAAUGAAAUUGAAGUUGAACCCAUCAGGACCUGGGCUCUUGGAGCCUUCACAGAGCCACACAGCAUCCCUGACUUCUUCCACAGAAAACUCCUAAAUAAGGCUCAUGUUGUCUUCCCAUGUUAAAGAUUUAAACUCAACCGCGUCAAGUCUAACUCCAAAGUCUUUUGUUGCUGCAAAUCUUCUUUCAAAAAGCCUAUUCGCUUCUACCCGAACUGUACAGGGUUCUUCACACCAUUGACCUCCCACCUCCACGCCUUUUACUUCAUUCCUGAGACGUCUCCACCUUAGAGAGGAGUGAUAGAAUCUAGUACAAGAGUCCCCAUUCUUGAGCCAAUUGGUCCUAGCUUUUUGGCUCAAAAGGGAUUCCAUCCUUCUAUCAGUUUCCUUUAAACGAACCAACAGGCCUAGCCUCUAUAGAUUCUCACAAGCAUCUAAUGCACCGUUACAUGCUUGACAAUCAAGAGUCUCAAUCUCCUCCAAAAUCUUCUUCUUAGUAGACUCAAUGAUACCAAAAACAUCCAUGUUCCAUACCUUCAUAUCUCUCUUCAGACAUUUCAGUUUCUCUUUAAGCACCAUAAACGCAUUCCCCUGAUCACGGUAGGAGGUCACCUAUCCUUCACCAUGUUUAGGAACCCCCUUUCCAUAAACCAUGCAUCAAUGGUUUUAAAGGGUUUUGGUCCCCAAUCCUUGUCCACUGACUUCACCACUAUCGUGCAGUGAUCGGAAACUUCCCUACGUUACACAUACGGCUUAGCAGGUUCCAGCUGGUGCCUUCGGUAUCUUGGAAUGUUUACAUGGAGUUUCAUAUUCCCAAUAUAUAGACUGUCCAACUCCCUCUCAAGGCGUUCCACAUUUCUUACUUUAAAUAACCUUACAAACCCAAACCUUCUCCCUCAUUUGUUCAAUCUGUGUGAUAUGAAGACUUCUUUAACUCUCCUUUGGAAGACCUUGAUCAUAUCCAACUCUCCGUAGCCAUAAGGGAAGUUCGAAAAGAAGAAUGUGGUAUAGUCAUUUGAGCACCUGUAUACACCUCCCCUCUUGGAUCGAUCUCUACUUCUCAUGCUUCUCUUUUUUAUGAAGUUAUCGCUAUAUAAGUUUAACCUAAAAGGCUAAACUCACUCGACGUCUCCUUUUGUCUUCCUUUUCUUUCACCUUCGAAGGGAAGCUGCUGUAUGGAGUGACUAGUGUUUGAACUCAUUGAUCUAGAGAGAAAGAAGUAACAAAAGAAAGAAAAUUGAGGAUAAAUGGAAAUUUCAGUUGUUUGAAGAUAUUUGCUUAUGUGAUAUUGUUUACCUUUAUUCUGUUUUUUUUUUGUAGGAAUUUAUUGCUCUAUGUCCUCUGAUGCAGGAAUGUGAUUAUCUGAGAAUAAAUUUGGAUAUCAAAGAAAAUGAUUUACCUUAAUGGGAGGAAAAGCUUAAUGCUAAAAAAAAGUAUGUUCUUAUAUUUCCUUAAUGUUUGAUCUUGGAAAUUAUGACAAUGGACGGUAUCACUGGUCCUAUGUAAGUUGCAAAAUUUUAUUGAUUUAUUUUUUCUAUGACUUUUUGCAAAUUUUGGUCGUUCAAAAUUUAGCAGUGGUGGUUGGGUAUAUGUUUCUGAGUACUUGUGCAAUUGAAAUGCUAUUAAAUUUUCAAAUUAACCAUGUUUUCCUAUAAAAUGAUUUAUGUUAAUGGUCUUCUACUUUUUCUUUUCUUUGUUGAAUACAGCUUGGAUCUUUGAAGGUUGAUGCAGAAACUUUUAGAUGGUAAUAUACCAAAUCAUAUAUUAUUGGUACAACAGUUUUGACUGAUGAAUCUCAUCACGAGUAUCAUCUGAAAAUGUUUGACUUUGAUAUCUGUCUGUGAAUGCUAAUAAAAAAUUAUUAGUAAAUCUUAAUGUCAAACAAAACUUAGAAAGAAUUGAGCACCAAACCUAACAUAGGUUAACAGAGACAGUGCUUUUAUUUUUUUACAGCAUUUCAAAUAAAGAGUACAAUAUUCCUAUACAGUGUCACAAUAAACUUUUUAAUUAAUUUGUUAUAUGAUAAUAAUUAUAUUAUAAAUUACAUUUAAACUCAUAUCAUAGAUGACAUUCAAAAUCAGAAUUAAAAGUAAUAAUUAUUGAACAUUCAAUUUUUUACGGAGAAACAACAUUGAUGGUAAUUUUGAGUUUAAUGCUUAAGAAAUGGCUCCCUUAAGAUCAAACACUUUCUAUUCUUCCACUACAAGAAAAUCAUGAAAUAGAAACCAAUUUUUAGAAACCAAAAUAAUUAGUUGCAAUAGUAACUAAAUUAGAGACCAUUUUAGAAACUAAAAGGAAAAUUGGUUUAUAUAUUAGUUUAUAUUAUUUUCUAUUAUUGUUAAAUAGUUUCUAAAUCUGUAUCUAAUUAGCAACCAAGGUUUUAGAAACCAAAUUUAGAAACUAAAUAAUUGGUAUCUAAAACCUUAGUUGCUAAUUAGAUACCAAUUUAGAAACUAUUUAACAAUAAUAGAAAAUAAUAGAAACUAAUUUAGAAACCAAUUUUUUUUUAGUUUUUAAAAUGGUUUCUAUUUUAGUUUCUAUUGUAACUAAUUAUUUUGGUCUCUAAAAAUUGGUUUCUAUUUCAUGAUUUUCUUGUAGUGUUCAUUCCAAUGAUCCUUCAAUUUUUCAAACAAAAUUGUUGGCAGAGACUUUGUAAAGAUGUUCUGCUACUUCGUCAUGACUUGCAAUAUGCAUUAUUUUUACUUUUUCAUUCUGAACACGUUCUAUUUUUUUUAUCGACAAAAAAUGAAUAAAUUAAAUUGAGGUAUUUCAAUGAUACAUCAACCCUUAUACAUAGUCAGCCAAUCCUCAAAAAACUAAGAGAUGUAGUUGACGAACAAAAACAACCCCGCAAUUCAACAUAAACCUCUACCAUUUUCUAACUGAUCUCAUGCAUACCAAAGGUUCAAGACAUCGAUCAGAAUACGAAAAAACUUACCCUACUGACUUUGGAAUUCACCCAUGACCAUACCUUCACUUGCACCAUAGAAAAAAAUUUCAAUAUGAUUUAUCCUGCCACUUUUAAAAAUCUUCUUAUUCCUAUGAUUCCACAACUCAGCUACCACCGCUACCCAUACACAAUCCCAUAUUUGAUUAACGUUUUUGUUCAUCGCACUAAUCUUAAAACUCAAAAAAUGCAUAUUUGGCUCACGAUGCCAACCCCAACCAUGCGUAGCAAUAUGACCAUACUAGCCAGGUGACUCUGCAAGUACAAAAGAGGUGGGACAUAGUUUCCUCUUCCUCCCCACACAGGUCACACAUGUUACUAUCCAAGCUGAUUCCUCUUCUCACCAGAUUCGCUUUAGAACAUGUUCUCUAAUAAAAUGAAAACGAGCAUCAAUAUGCUUACUCCUCUCUUGAUGAAUUAGAUUCGUUGCUAAUUCAAUAGAUGAUUUGUUGUCAACUCGUAUUUCAGUUGUUUCAAGUUGUUGUAAAUUUAACUCAUAAGAAAUUUUCUUAACCAAUUCGUGUGACACACACUAAGAUGAGAUGAAUUUUGCCUCACAUAUUACAGACAAGUCUCAUAUUUCAGUAAUAUUUCAUAUCAAAAUACAAACGCUUAUGAAUAUUUAUUGAUAAAAUAACUAUAAUAUAACUCAUAAUUUAUGAAUUUAAACAUUUUUACAUAUUUGUGAUUAUAAUAUAAAGAAGAAGAAUUCCUUAUGUGAGGAUGCGUAGCAGAGGAGAUGAACGAUGGCGCUGGGGGGAGGAGUAGAGGAGGAAACUUGCCACACAUACAAAUCCUGUAUCUAUAAAGUCAUGUUCUACAUUCUUCUUCUCAAACUUCCCAAGUACUCAUGGUGAAUAUGAUAUGCUGAAAAUCUUCCAAAGAUGGGCUAGGGUGAAAGACGUGUUUAUAUCUGGGCGUAGAAACAGGUGGGGAAGAAGGUUUGGGUUUGUCAGAUUCUUUACGGUGCCAAAUGAACUCAGAUUGGAGAAAGAGCUAGACCAGAUAUACAUUGGCAAUAUGAAACUCUAUGUGAACUUGCCAAAAUAUAGGAGGAAUGAGAAUGUUUACCAUGGUGUGGCACCACAUGUGGAUGGUAAAGGCUCGAAUCCGUAUAACUACGCACAGGGGAGAAUGAAGAGCAAGGAGGUUUGGAGAGAAGUAAAGGGGAAGGAUGUUCGGAGGAAUCUUAACUACAAACAUUCAUACGCGGAUGCAGUUAGGAACGUUUCACAAGAACAGUGGAAAGGCCCAAUAAUUGAGACCUUAGUAAAAGUUCUCCCUUGGAUGGCUAAUAGCGCAGUCGGAUGGAUGAUACCAGAUAUGAACUUCAACCUGAUACGUGAAGAGUUUAUUAAAGGAGGGAUGUCUAUGAUUAAGGUGAGGUAUAUGGGUGACAAUCUUGUGCUUUUAACCCCGAAGAAGGAGAACAAAUGGAAGAUAUCAUUAAGUUAAACAACAAAGGGUUCACAAGUUUGUUUGAUGAUAUUGAACCUUGGUCUGAAUCUUAUGUAGCGGGUCACAAACUAGUAUGGGUCAGGUGUUAUGGUUUACCCAUAACUUUGUGGACUAAGGAUUGCUUGUCUAAGGUCGUAGGUGAAAUGGAAGAACUAAUAACCAUAGAUGAAGCCACUGAGCAAUGGGAGAACCUUGAGUAUGCACGCAUUCAAGUUCGGGUGUUGAAGUCUUGUACAGUAGAAGUGUCAAAAGGCUACCGUAUUAACGGUCAAAUAUUUAAUAUUAAUAUUGUGGAGGAGGAACCCAGCAAAGAAGGAGGACUAUGCAACUGCCCUGUCCAUCACUAUGCUUCUUCAGAUAGUAUCUCAUCAAUGGACACCUUCAUUGAGGAGACCAUCUUCUCGGAAAAGGUGUUUGACGAAGGAGUAGGGGACAUCGGAGCUACUUCCCGGCGAGACGUAAAGGUAAAGGAGGGUAGAAAAUCCUGGCCAUCACUAGAGACAAAUCCGCAACAAUUAAAGGAACUUUCUAAGGCAGAAAGGGAAUGUCAGAGCAAAAGCGAAUCACAUUUCGCAAAUUUGGUAAUGCGUGAGCAGCAGAAUUGCAGUAAUGGGGCAGCUUUAUCUGAGCCAGAAAAGGUCAAAGCAAUUUGCUCUCUCAUCCAAAAUUUGGUGGUUGACCUAAUGCAUACUACUCAAUGUUUUAACCAGCACUCAGAUAAACCCGAAAAUAGCACGGCCCAUAUAUCUCCAAAGUCCAAGAAAGUAUUGGGCUGGGCCCAGAGAACCAGAGAAUUGGGUUCGGGUCAGGAGAAGUAUGUGUAGGGAAUGGGCUAAGAAAUUUGGCUCCGACGAUUGCAGGGAGCGGAUCUUUCAAUUCGGAGAUGUCUGUGAAUUUUUCUGGAGGGGACAAUACGAAGGUGGAGUGUGAAUUACCAGGGGAUCAUACUCGAAGAGGUGAGGUUGAAGGAGGAUUGCCACACGACCCUACGUUCACCCAGGGAGAAACAAGCAGUGUGCUGGUGCAGAAACAUAAAACAAAUGCGGCUAUUUCGAAUUUAUAAAUGCGGCUUUAUAACCGCAUUUGAUCAACACGCAGUUGUAAAUCAAGAAAUAUAAAUGCAGUUAUAUAGCCGCAUUUAUAAAUACCAUUUACAAGUGCGGUUAUUUUCUUUAACUGCACUUGUAUAUGCCAAAUCAUAAAAAAAAAUUAAAAAUUUUAAAACAUCGUCAAUCUUGUGUGAAGCCAACGUUGAUGAAGAGUCACAGGAGCGAAAAAUGGUGGCGACAGCAGAAGCGACGACGGACAGGGAAGCAGCAACGGAGCAAACCAAAAAAUCCACAAGAAACCACGAAGACAAUGAAAGAGUACUGAGCAAUGCGAGAAACCAAACAAUGUAAGAAAAACGAAUGUCAGCCAACGAAACAGUGCUUCGAGACCACCAAUGCAAGGAAAAAAACAUAUAUAAGAAAAACGAAAAACAUUUAUGCAUAUAUUUGUGAAGAUGAAGAGCAAGAAAAAGAGUUCAAGAAACUUACAUUGCACAAAUGGAAUGCAGAUGCAGCAGAAGGAGACGAACUCAGAGAGCGAACGCGAAACGCAGGCAAAGACGAGAAAUAAAGUUUGAAAUUGUGUGUGGCGCGCUUCAAAAUUUAGGGUAAAAAAGGAUUUACGAAUGCGGUUAAAGGUAAAACCGCAUUCGUAAAUCAAAAUAAUUUCAAAAAUGCCACCAUGUUUUUUACGAAAGCAAGUAGCGCAAAAGCCGCACUAAAUAAAGCAUAUCCUUUUCUUGUUUUUGCACUAGUGCCGGGUAGUUCAAUGUCAGAGAGGAGAAAUCUGGCCAAGGGCAAAGAAGGGGUAAAUACCGAAGAUGGUUAUCAAACACCGGAGAAUGUCCGAAGAUUGCGAGAAAUUUGGGAACAAGGUACGAAGCAAUCCUGCCUACGAUGGAGAUCCAAAGGCGGUCUGGGACCUCUACACUACGGGAUUAAUUCCCCAUCCAGGUUAAACCGUUGUUCCUUUGCUGAUUCUGAAAGUGAUAUUAUACACUGCAAUAACCAGUUAAAGCAGGAGAUUAAUGAGGUUGAAUCGGUACGUAUAUGGGAGGCGGGUAGACAGCUAGGUGUUAGAUGUUCAGAUGAGGAGGUGGAUAUAGUAGUUGAAUUAGAAGGUAUGGAGGAAAGGGAUAAGGCAGUUAAAAAGUUGUCUGAGGAGGGUUCUUGUCAUGCUGUAUAAUGAUCAUAGUAAACCUCAAUAUUAGGGGCUUGGGGGGGGGGGGGGAACUAAAGCAAACUAUGUGAAACAUAUUGUAGCCAAUGGGGGGACAACAAUGUUGGUUGGUUGCAUAAUGAAGGAGACAAUGGGGCAGGGAGUAUACUAUCUAUGUGGCACAAAGGAAAAUUCAUUUAUCAUUCGCAUAUCAUGGGAAUCGGAUUCAUUGCAGUAAUAGGCCAGCAUGUCAAGUCUAAAUGUAUGUGUUUUGUGGUUAACGUCUACGCAACAUGCAACUACAAGGAUAAAGUUGCUCUAUGGGAAGCUUUAACAUCCUUCAAAACGUCUUAUCAAAACAUGGUAGGAUGUUUCUGUGGCGACUUUAAUGCAGUAAGAAAAGAAGAUGAAAGGAAAGGUGUAAGAGGAAAUCACAACCAGCGGAAGGAAAUCAUUGGUUUUAAUUCCUUUAUUGACACAAACUGUUUGAUAGACAUUCCAUGUGUGGGUAUAAAAUAUACUUGGUUCAAAUCAAAUGGUACAGCUAAAAGUAGAUUGGAUAGAUUCCUUAUCUUUGAAGAGUGGCUCCAAAAAUGGCCCUUUCACAAACAAUAUGUGCAACCACGAAUUGUGUCGGACCAUUGUGCUAUUGUAGCGAAGUCCUGGGUCAUAGACUGGGGCCCUAAACCCUUUUGUUGUUUAGAUGCUUGGUUCAUGGAGCCAGGGUUCAAGGACUUUGUGAAGGAGAAAUGAGGUACAUAUAGUGUUCAAGGAAAUAGCAUAUCUAAACUCAAGGAUAAGCUCAAACUUCUGAAGAGCGAUCUUAAAGACUGGAAUAAGAAUGUGUUUGGGUGUUUACAGUCAAAACAGAACGGGAUUCUAAAGGAAAUCGAGGACCUUGAUGUGAAGGAUGAUAACGAAGAUCUUAAGGAGAAUGAUCGGCUGAGAAGAAUGGAACUACUUAGUCAAUUGAGGAUGAUAGAUAAUAAGCUCGAUUCCCUUGCCAAACAAAAAGCAAGAGCAAGCUGGUUCAAAUAAGGGGACAUGAAUUCCAGAUUCUAUCAUUCAACCAUCCGAUGGAGAAGACUUAAAAAUGAAGUCAAAGGAGUGGAAGUGGGGGGCGAAUGGUGUGAGGAAUCGGAAGGAGUACAUAGAGAAGCUGAGGCUCUGUUCGAAAGAAGGUUCACGGCUACACAAGAAUUUGGAGUUAAUCUAGGCUCGGUGGAAUUUAAAUCCCUCCCAGCAGAAAUCAGUACAAGAAUGGUGGAUAAUUUCACAGAGGAAGAGGUGAAAGAAGCCAUAUGGCAGUGUGAAGGAUCAAAAAGCCUAGGACCGGACGGGUUUAACUUUACCUUUAUUAAGAACUGCUGGGAUUACCUUAAAUCUGAUAUUAUGGAAGCAGUGUACCUUUUCCAAGAAACGGGGGAUAUUCCAAAGGGGUGUAAUGCCUCUUUCAUAGCGCUGGUACCUAAAGUGAAUGAUCCCCUAUCCCUAGAGCAGUUCAGACCCAUUUCUCUGGUAGGAGUCUUUUAUAAGAUUGUUACUAAGGUGUUAGCAGGUCGUAUAAAGGAAGUGUUGGCUCUAGUUAUUGAUGAACAUCAAUCCGCAUUCUUGAGUAACAGAGGCUUAUUAGACAGUGUCCUUAUAGCAAACGAGGUAGUAGAGGAGGUGAGGAGGAAUCGGAGGUGUGCACUUUGCUUUAAGGUGGACUAUGAGAAAGCAUAUGAUUCAGUAAGGUGGAACUUUUAACUUGAUAUGCUACACAGGUUGGGGUUUCAUAGCAAAUGGAUAAAGUGGGUCACAGGGUGCUUGAAACCGUCUUCUAUCUCAGUGCUAGUUAAUGGAAGCCCGACUGAGGAAUUUACACCCUCAAGAGGGUUGAGGCAGGGAGACCCUCUGGCUCCAUUUUUAUUCCUUGUAGUUGCUGAAGGCUUAGCUGGGUUAGUGAGGCAAGCGUCUAGGCACAAUAUGCUCAAAGGUGUGAAGGUGGGGAGGGGCAUAGAGUGCAGUAUGCUACAAUUUGCAGAUGACACCCUAUUUAUGUGUGAAGACUCUUUUUCUAAUAUCUUCUCUAUCAAGACAAUUCUAUGAUGCUUCGAGCUUGCAUCAAGGCUGAAAAUUAACUUCCAUAAAUCGAAGCUGACAGGUGUAAAUGUGGAUAGAUAUACAUUAGAAACCUAUGCGAAGACUUUAAAUUGCAAUACUAUGCAGAUUCCUUUCAAGUAUUUGGGUCUUGAAAUAGGUGGUAACCCUGGUAAGGCUUCAUUCUGGGAGCCUGUCAUCAAUAGAAUUAAUGCUAAACUGAGUUCUUGGAAAGGAAAAUUCUUGUCUAUGGCAGGAAGAAUCUGCUUGAUUAAAUCAGUCUUCACAGCCAUUCCCUUAUUCUACCUGUCUUUCUUUAAAGCUCUGGUUUCGGUUUGUAACAAGAUUAAGAGUAUACAAAGGAGUUUUCUGUGGGCCUGGGGUAGAGACAACAGGUCUAUACCAUGGGUAAGCUGGGAGAACAUUUGUAAGCCUCUUGAACAAGGUGGGUUAGGAAUCAAAGAUAUUAGGAAAUUCAACUCUGCUCUAUUGGCGAAAUGGAAGUGGAGGUUGAUGAGUGAAGAAGAAGGGAAAUGGAAAGAUAUUUUGAAGUCUAAAUAUGUAAUGGUGUCUAGUAAUACCAAUGGCCAGAUGAAAAAACAAUCAAGGUGGUGGAGUGAUCUACUUAAAAUCUGCAGAGAAGGUGAGGGCGAAGGGUGGUUUCAAAAGGCCGUAGAAUGGAAAGUCCGGUCUAGUGACUCAAUUAGGAUGUGGGAAGAUCACUGGGUUAGUCACAGUAAGCUCAAGGAUUUAUAUCCCAGAUUAUACGCUCUGUCCCUACAUCCAGGCAUGAUAGUGGGGGAGACCGGUUUAUGGGGAAAAGGUGGAUGGCAAUGGAACUUAAAAUGGAGGAGGGAGAGGUUCCAAUGGGAAAUGGACCAGGAGGAGGAAUUAUUGGAAAUUCUAGAUAAGGAAGUCUUACAUAAAGAUGUAAAGGAUUUUAUUACAUGGAGAGGGGAUACCAAGGGGAUUUUCACUGUGAAAUCUGCAUACAACCUACUGACCAACCAAGACACUGGACCGAAUAGUGAUGUGUUUAGUUUGUUGUGGAAGACCAAAGCUUUACCAAAAGUUAUGAUUACUGCGUGGAGAAUUCUUUGGGACAGAAUACCAACUAAAAGGAACCUGGAAUCACGGGGCAUUAUAGUAAAUUCAGCUCUAUGUGUGUUCUAUAACAUGGCAGAAGAAACCACUCAGCACCUCUUUCUAGACGGUAUCUUGGGACCAAAUAAUAAGGAUAUUGGCAGCCAUUUUGAGAACUUCCACCUUGUCCACAUGACCGAGAAACAGAAUCAGGUAUGGAAAGGAGUGUGGGCAGCGAUUGUACGUUGUAUAUGGGAGCAUAGAAAUAGGGUGUUUUUAGAAAAGGGGUCCCCGAUUCUGAGGAAAUCUUUCAAGCGGCUCAGCUUCUCUCUUGGCUAUGGUUGAAAUAUAGGGCAAGUUCUUUCUCAUAUUCAUUUUCUGAUUGCCAUUUGAAUCCUAAUUAGUGCCUUAUGUGUAUCAAUUGAACCUGAUAUGAUGUAACAAGGAACAGGUAUGAUCGCCGAUCGAUGAAUUGGCGCUCUCCAUAUGUGAGUAGUCGGUGGUCGCCGAAGAUAUGCAAGGUCAACAUGAUCGCCGGUCGAUGAAAAGGCGAUCUCCAUGCGUGCGUAGUCGGUGGUCGUCGAAGGUAUGCAAAGGUCAACAUGAUCGCCGGUCGAUGAAGCGGCGUUCGGGUCAACAUGAUUGCCGGUCGAUGAAACGGCGAUCUCCUAGCGUGCGUAGUCGGUGGCCGUAUGCAAAGGUCAACAUGAUCGCCGGUCGAUGAAACGACGAUCUCCAUGCGUGCGUAGUCGGUGGUCGUCGAAGGUAUGCAAAGGUCAACAUGAUAGCCAAUCGAUGAAGGGGCGUUCUCCAUAGGUCAACAUGAUCGCCGAUCGAAGAAGCGACGUUCUCCAUAUGUGUGUAGUCGGUGGUCGCCGAUGUUAUGCAAGGUCAACAUGAUCGCCGGUCAAUGAAACGACGAUCUCCAUGUGUGCGUAGUCGGUGGUCGUCGAAGUUAUGCAAAGGUCAACAUGAUCGCCGGUCGAUGAAAAGACGAUCUCCAUGUGUGCGUAGUCGGUGGCCGUUGAAGUUAUGCAAAGGUCAACAUGAUCGCCGAAGUUAUGCAACGUGCAUGGGUAACUCGUCGUAUGGCGAGGUUAAUGUAGGUGGUCUCGGUUCUGGGUGUUUCGGUAAAGUUGAAUGUUGCUUUAAGGCAACCUGCUGGUUAUAUUUUUGGGUUUGGCUUUCUCACUUUAAGGUUGUUCUGCUCCAACCAUAAAGGAGAGUUUCUUUUGUGGAUGAUAUAGGAGGUCCACUUCAGGUUACUGUAUAUGGAUUAGGAUACCCCUGAAGUAUCCCCUUUAAUUUUAUUUAUUCAUUGCUGAUAAAAAAAAAAAAUAAUAUAAAGAAGAACUAUUUAUUCUUAUCCAUUUCGCUCCGUGGUAAAGUUUAUGGGUAUAUCUUCUUUUGAUAUACUUUGGAGUGACUAGUGUUUGAACUCAAUGAUCUCGAGUGAAAGAAGACAAAGAAAGAAAUUGAGGAUAAAUGGAAAUUUCAUUUGUUUUGAAGAUAUUUGCUUAUGUGAUAUUGUUUACCUUUAUUCUAUUUUUUUGUUGGUAGGAAUUUAUUGGUCCAUCUCCUCUUAUGCAGGAAUAUAAUUCUUUUAAAAUAAAUUUGGAUAUCAAAGAAAAGAAUUUAUCUAAAUAGGAGGAAAAUCUUAUGAUAAAAAAAAGUAUGUUGUUAUAUUUCCUUAAUAUUUGAUAUUGAAAAUUAUGAUAAUGGUCCUAUAACUUGCAGAAUUUUAUUGAUUUAUUUUUUCUAUGACUGUUUGCAAAUUUUGGUCAUUCAAAAAUUAGCAGUUGGGUAUAUGUUUUUGAGUACUUGUGCAAUUGGAAUGUUAUUAAAUUUUCAAAUUGACCAUGUUUUCCUAUAAAAUGAUUUAUGCUAAUGGUCUUAUGCUUUUUCUUUUCUCUGUAGAAUACAACUUGGAUCUUUGCAGUUGAGAUGCAGAAACUUCUUGACGGUGAUACUUCAAAUCAUAUCUAUUAGUGAUUAUCGGUACAACAUUACAGAUGAAUCUUAUCAUCAGUAUCAUCUGAAAAUGUUUGACUUUCUAUCUGUCUAUGAAUGCUAAUGAAACAAUUACCAGUAAAUCUUGAUGUCAAACCAAACUUAGAAACAAUUGAGCACCAAACCUAACCGAUGUUAACAAAGACAAUGUUUUUUUAAUUUUUUACUGCAUUUCAAAUAGAUGUACAAUAUUACUACAUAGUCUAACAAUAGACUUUCCAAUUCAUUUGUUCUAUGAUAAUAAUUAUACUAUAAAUUAUAUUUCAAAUUAUACUAUAAAUAAAAUUUAAAAUUUGUAGAGAAAAACAAAACUAAUGGCAACUUUGAAUUUAAUCCUUAACAAAUUCCUCCUUUAAACUCGAACAUUUUCUAUUUUUCAUUCCAAUCAUCUCCUUCAAUUUUUCAAAACAUUAUCGCUGACCAAAAAAAGAAACUGUUGGUAGAGGCUUUUGUCAAAAUGCAUGCUACUAGGUCAUGACUUGCAACAUGAAUUAUAGGUAUGCUAAAAAUAAAAAAGACAUUAUUGACAAGCUUAUGCAGAAAUAUUUGAAGUUUGGAAUAAUUCAAAACAGCAAUAACCCCUAUGCGAGUCCAGUAGUUCUGGUGGAAAGAAACAUGGAUCAUGGCGGUUAUGCGUGGAUUAACAGUUAAACAAGGGUACAGUGAAAAACAAGUUUCCUAAUCUAUGAUUUGUUAGAUGAACCUAAAGGUUCCACAAUCUUUUUGAAAAUUGACUUGAGAGCAGGAUACAAUCAAGUCAGAAUGGACCCUGCAGAUAUAUGAAAUACAUUCAGAACAUUCAGAACACAUUCAGGGCAUUAUGAAUACUUGGUAAUGCCCUUCGGCCUCACGAAUGCACCUGCUCAUUUUAAGGGACUUGUGAACACAAUAUUUCAACAGUUUUUGAGGACAUUUUUAUUGGUUUUCUUCUAUGAUAUUCUCAUUUAUAGUAAGAAUUUGAUAGAACAUCAACAACCGCGACAAAUCCUAGUAACCCUUAGACUCAAUUCUUUAUUUGCUAAAAGAUCUAAGUGUUAUUUUGCAGUGGAUAAUGUGGAAUAUUUGGAACAUAUCAUAUCGGAGAAAGGUGUUUCUACUGAUCCUAAUAAAAUUGCAGCCAUUGUCAAUUGGCCUUUACCUCAGACCCUAAAGCAGUUGAGGGUUUUUUUUGGGGUUAGCUGGUUAUUAUAGGCGAUUUGUUAAAGACUAUGGAGUCAUCACUAAACCCUUAACUGAUAUGUUAAGAAGAGAUAAUUUUACAUGGACUGAUAUAGCUGUACAAGCUUUUGACAAGCUGAAAACAUUAAUGAGUAGCACACCAAUUUUGACACUUCCAAAACUUCUCACAAAAUUUUGUUAUUGAGGUAGAUGCUUUUAACAAGCAACAACAGUCUUAUUCAAUUUAAGAAAAGGAAUUGUUGGGAGUAGUCUUUGUUGUACAAAGAUGGAUGCAUUACCAAUUAAAUAGGCAUUUUAUUAUCAAAACAAAUCAUUACAGCGUAAAAUACAUCCUGGACCAGAGACCACUGAUUUUCAGCAAAAAACUGGUUAGUGAAAUUGAUGGAAUUUGACUUCUCAAUAGAGUACAGAAAAGGGCAAGACAAUGUUGUAGUUGAUGCCUUUUCUAGACUGGAUAAUGGGGAAUGCAAAAGCCUUAAGUCACAUCUGCUAACUAGAAUAAAACAAUCUUAGACUACCGAUUCAAAUUUACAGAAAUUAAUUUCAGAGGUGUAGAAAAAUGUGAGUACCCAUAAGCAUAUACUUGACAGCAUGAUGAAUUGAGGAGAAAAGGAAGAUUGGUGGUAGGAAACGACUUCCUGUUGAGGACAAAAAUUCUGUAGUGGUUGUAUGCUUAAGCUAGUGGGGGACAUUUGGGAGUUAAUGCAACUAUAAAAAGAAUUAAAUCAGUGGUUUAAGAGGAUGAAUGAUUGAAAUCGAGGAGAGUGAAGGAGCAUCGAAUUAGAAUAAUUUACUGGAUGGAAUUUCUUUAGAAUUUGAGAAGUUAUAGGAGAAGAGUGAACAUGUUGCAGUAAUAAAGUAUUAAAGUUUUUCAAAAUAAAAAAUAAGAGAUGGACUUAAUUAAAAAAAUAAUAAAAACACUUUACUGAGAUUUAUUAGAAAAACUGUUUGAUGUUUACUGGAAUUUAAAAAACCUCUACUUGAUUAUCUUACUAGAGGUUAUUAUAACCUCUACUAAUAAACCCCUCUUAAAACUUUCAUAUCUUCUGAAAAUAUAAUUUUACUUCAGCUAAGCACUUUAAUCAAUAAAAGAUAUAUGGAAUUUAAUGUAGAGUGAUUGUGGGUGUGUGUCAUUGGGCACUUCGAGAUUACGUAUAAAAAAUAUUAAUCUUUGCAGCACUAACCUGGUUUUUUUAAAUAUAAUUAUCUUUUCUCCAACUCUUUUUGGUUCUUAAAACAAAAGUUAAAUGUGUUAUGGUAUUUCAACAUUGUCUUCAUCAACACUUUUGGUACAAAAUUUUUAUAAAGUGUUUUUUUAUUUAUAAUAAAUAAAAUAAAGUGUCCCCACCCUUUUUAAAAAAAGGGUGCCGAAUAAAAAAUUAUAAGAUUUUUUUAUCAUGACAUUUCUUUAUUAGACUCAGAGAUGAGAUGAUAAGUGCAUAAACAACUGUAAUUUUAAUAUCCUUAACAUUAUUGCGUUACAUUUGAAGUGUUGACUCCAAUUCCUUUGAAGGACUUCUGUUCUUCGUCAUCAUCAUCUUCUUCAAUCCUUUUUUGUUUUGUUUUAUGAGAACUUGUAAUUCGUGAAGUAAUUUUAAAUUUUGAAACGAAAUAUAUAGUUUUUCUAUCCACAAAUGUCUUAUCAGAUCUUAGAUCUUUGAAGAGUUUACUUCAAUUCCUUUGAUGGAGUUCACUUCUUCGUCGUCAUCAUCUUCAUCCUUCUCAAAGUCAGGACCCCAGUUCAUAUACGAUGUGUUCAUCAACUCUUGGGGAGAAGAAAUCUGUAGAAAGUUGGUUUCUCAUCUACAUUCUCUCCUUUUACAAGCUCAAGUCAAAACUUUGAUUAAGGAGGAGAAUCUGCAGGAGGGAAUAGAUCUGGAAGAACACAUGCGAGCAAUAGCAGCCUCUAAGAUUGCAAUAAUCGUUUUCUCCAAGUCAUACACUGAAUCUACCUGCUGCCUUCUUCAGCUUGAAAACAUCAUUGAAUGCCACGAAACAUUUGGUCAAAUAAUUCUUCCCAUAUUUUACGAGAUUGACCCAUUGGACGUACGUGAUCAGAAGGAUGAUUUGGGAAAAGCGUUGGAAGAAGCUGCACACAAAAGCUAUUCAGGAGAGCAACUGGAGCAUGCAUUGUCCAGGUGGAGCCGUGCACUCACCACAGCUGCAGGUAUCAGUGGUUGGGAUGUCAGAGAUUUCAGGUAAACAGAUGAAUCCUUCGUACUUUCUUCUGUUUGAGAUUGAAUGAAGCAUAUGCUAAGGUUUUAGUAAUACAUUACCCUUCAUCUUCAAGGCAUGAUGCUGAACUUGUGGAGAAAGUUGUUUUCCGCGUUCUUGAAUUGCUGGACUAUAAAGACUUGUCUAUUACCCAAUUUCCUGUUGGAUUAGACUCCCGGAUGGAAAUGGUGAUUGGAGGUAUUGAAAAUCAUUGCAGGAAAGUGUGUAUGAUAGGGAUAUGGGGAAUGGGAGGAUCAGGUAAAACUACCAUAGCCAAAGCCAUCUAUAAUCGAAUUUAUCGUCAAUUUAUUGGUAAGAGUUUUAUUGAAAAUAUUAGAGAAGUUUGGGAUCGAGUAGAUAAAAGGCAUGUUGAUUUGCAAGAAAAUUUUCUUUAUGGUAUCCUAAAACCCAAGCUCGAGGUGGAAAGCGUUGGGAUGGGAAGUACUAUGUUCGAGAAUGGACUUUCUCGAAAAAAGUUGCUGAUUGUGCUUCAUGAUGUGAUUGAGUUUGGCCAAUUAGAAAACCUAUGCGGAAAUCGUGAAUGGUUCGGUCAAGGAACUCUGAUAAUCAUUACAACUAGAGAUGUUUAUCUACUGAACCGACUCAAAGUUGAUUAUGUUUAUCAAAUGGAUCAUAUGAAUGAAAAUGAGUCUCUUGAGCUUUUUAGUUGGCAUGCCUUUAGAGAAGCGAAACCAAGAAAAGACUUCAAUGAACUUGCAAGAAACAUAGUUGCUCACUGUGGAGGACUACCAUUAGUUCUUGAGGUCCUUGGUUCCAUUUUAUGUAAUAAGACAAUAAAAGAGUGGGAAAGUCUAUCGUUAAAAGCAGAAGUAAUUCCCACUAAUAAAAUUCAAGAGAACUUGAGAUUAAGUUUUGACGGUUUAUACAAUGUCACGGAACAGGAUUUAUUUCUUGAUAUAUGUUGUUUCUUUAUUGGUAAAGAGAGAGGUUAUGUGACAGAGAUACUAAACGGGUGUGGACUAUAUGCUGAUAUUGGAAUAACGGUUCUCAUAGAACGUGGUCUUAUAAAAUUUGAAAGGAACAACAAACUUUCAAUGCAUCCUUUGUUACGAGACAUGGGAAGAGAAAUUAUUCAUCAGAGUUGGCCAAAUGAACCGGGGAAAAGAAGUCGAUUAUGGUUUCAGAAUGAUGUAGAACAUGUACUGGAAGAGAAUACUGUAAGAACAUUCUUUAUAUUAUUUUGAAACUUAUUUUCAAAGUGUUUUCAUUUUCAAGUUCAAUGCAUCUGUUGUUACCUUGUUAGACUCAGCAUUCAGUUUCAAUGAUCAAAAGAAAUUGAGAGAUUUCUCAAUUGUAUCUCUUCGCUAUAUUCAUCACAGGGGACAGAAGCUAUCCAGGGACUGUCCCUGAAACUGCAUUCAACCAGCAGAGAUAGCUUCAAAGCUCAUGCUUUCAAGAAAAUGAAGAGAUUAAGACUGCUACAACUGGAUUAUGUACAACUUAUUGGAGAUUAUGGAUACUUUUCUAAACAAUUGAGAUGGAUUUCUUGGCAAGGGUUUCCUUCCAAGUACAUACCAAAUAACUUUCAUAUGGAAAAUGUAAUUGCAAUUAAUUUAAAACAUAGUCAUCUUCAACUCGUCUGGAAACAACCCCAGGUAUUUAUUACAUGCUUUUUUUCUUUUAAAACUCACAUGUUAAUUAAAAUAGAUAUAGUAUAAUUGGUUCAGGUUAUAACUAUUGCAUUCUUCUAUUUUCUUCUCUAAUAUUUUCCAAAAUUACUAUCUUUGUAGGUUUUAAAGUGGCUAAAAUUCCUUAAUCUUAGUCACUCCAAGUUUUUGAGAGAAACACCUGACUUUUCAGGACUACCAAGUCUUGAAAAGCUCAUUCUAAAAGAUUGCCCAAGUUUGUGCAAGGUACACCAAUCCAUUGGAGAUCUCCAGAAUCUAGUACUGAUAAAUUUGAAAGACUGCACAAGUCUAAGCAAUCUGCCCAUAGAGGUAUAUAAGUUGAAAUCUUUAAGAACUUUAAUCCUCUCUGGUUGUUUCAAGAUUAAUAGUACUUCAUUUUGAAGAUUCUAAUUCACUGUGGUGGGUAUUUGUGAGUGGUUAUUGGCUUUUGGAGGCAGUGAAGGUUACUUGGUGAAGUGAAUUCUGUUUUUUUUUUCUCAUGGUUUCCUGUUUGUGUUUUUUUUUUACGUUUUCUUCUUGUAUAUCUAUUGACUUUUGGGCCUUCCAGUUCUGUAUCUUGGGCUAAAGCUCAACCUAUUGUAUUGUGUAAUUUAUAUAUAACGUGCACCAUACAAUGUAAUAACACACAUAGCAGUUUUAUUUUUCAGAAACAAUAUCAUCUUUGAAGGAUUAAGGCACUGCCUUCAAAACAACCACAACAACAUGGAGGAUUUUAGAAAAUAAAAUUGCUACAAAGGCCAAUUUGAAAAGAUGUAGGAUAAUUAUGAGUAAUAGUAUAUGUGGGGAAGAAGAUGAGACAACAUGUAAUAUGUAGAGUGGUUUGGCUAGUACGGGGUGGUAUGUUAUUAAUACGUGUUGUGAAAUAUAAAGGGCAAUGGUUUAUUGGAUUAUGCAGGAAACAAGAAUUAUGGUAAGUUAUACAGUUUAUUGGAUCAUAGCAUGAUGCUUUUUUAGUUUUCAUGGGCUUGCAAGCAUAAGGUAUAGGUUUUCUAUGAUUAUCUUUUUGUUUUUAAUCGUUUUUUUUUUUUAAUAGGAUUGAAAUCUUCAAAUAGUCCAUAUUUAUUAAUUUUUUUUGUCAUAAAAAAAAUUAUAUACAAAACAUAAAAGCCUAAACUAAUUGUCAAUAAAAAGUACACAUGGGUAAUUUUUUAACUAUUAGCGGUAAUUGUCUACAUGGUUAAUUUUUUGAAUUUUUUAAAGAUUAUAUUUAGACAUAUCAAAUGAAUAUUAAUUUAUAAGAAUUAAUUUUAAAAGAAUUCAUAACAAAUUAAAAUAAUUUGUAAGAUCAUGACUAUAUUUGAAAAUAAUUAGUUGAAAAUUUAAAAUUUAAAACAAUUAGGUGACUUUACGCAACAGAAAACAAUAAUGAAACUUAUAAAUGUAAAUUGAAAAAAAAAACAUGAAAUAUUUUAAAAUUAGACAUAAAAAAAUAUAAUCAUUGUAAAUAACGAGAAAUGAAAUCAAACUUUGUUUAAUUUAGUCUUUAAGGGAUGAGGCUACGGUGCUUCUUAUGUUGAAAAAUACGAGAAUUUCUGAAUGCAAUAUUAUAUGCUAAAAAGGCAAAAGAAUGGACAAAAGUAAAAACUACAAAGCAAAUACAAUAAACAGUUCAAGUAAAGCCAAGGAAGCAAGAACUGAGAAACAGGUAAAAUGAGUAUGAAUCUCAUAACUACGAGCUAUACUCAAUGAAAAACAAGGAAAGGAUCAGAAAAGAUAAAUUGCAAUGAAGGACACAAGGAUUAAACAGCAGCUGUCUUUAUAUCAUAAUGCAAUGUCUUAUUUUAAGAGGAUUCCUAUUGAAAUAUUAUAUGCUAAAAGGGAAAAUAAUUGACAAAAGUAAAAUCCAGAAAAAAAAAAAUACAAUAAACAGCUCAAGCAAAGCCAAGGAAGCACCACUGAGGACUGAGAAACAGGGUAAAAUAAACAUGAUUCAAAAAAGAACAUAAAUGACAUACCAGAAAAGUCACAUUACAAUUUUCUUUAUGAAUCUAAUGACGGAAUUUUUCCUUGGCUCACCAUAUAUCAGAUAGACAGCUGUGUUCUUAAUCACCAAAUCGUGACCAAAAUUCACAAAAAUCUCCACCUUGUCACCUGAUCCUAAACUUGACAAUAUGUCAUGCCAAUCUUCAUCAUUAAAGGAAAUUACUGUGCCAUGAUUGUGUAUCUGGCAUGUGCACUUCGUGUAAUUAACAAUUAAGACAGUACUAAGUUCAGGUUCAAUGAUUUCGGAGGUUGAUAAAUAAACAACACACAAAACCAUUCCCUUCACGACACGAUGUUGUGGCACAGUGAAAGAAACACAAUGUCCAUCACCCAUAUGGGCCAACCAAUAAGGAUCAUUGUCACCUGGGAGAGAAACAUCACAUGACUCACUGCUUCCAAAUACCUGUAUCAUGUCAUAAACAAGGGCAUGUUUGGUGAAACAAAAAUGCUAUACGUGAUUAAAACAAAUCUUGUUAAUAGUUUUGUUGUGUAUACAUCCCCAUCUUUUCUUUAGUGAUUUAGAAUGCAUUUCUGUUUUUGUCUUAGUUUAUAUUUCUAGGAUCAAUGGGAAUAAAGAAAUCAUGAAGCUAGUAAAGCAAGAAAGUGGAAAUCAAUUUGGUAGUACUUAGUAUAAGCAUAAUGACUUGUUAGUUGAUAACUAAAAUCAGAUACUUUUAGAUGAAGUCGUGGUGCUAAAAGUUCAGUAUUGGAGGUUCAACUAGAUACUUCAAAAGGAUUAUUUUAUGUUCUCAGAAAUAACAGCUAAAAUGAUGGUUAAGGUAAUAAACAAAGGGAAAGGUAGAGAAGAACCUUAGGUAUGAUAUCGCUUACAGUAUUGAAGAAUUCUUUGUAUCUUCCAACACCAGUCAGAAAAGACUUGAGAUGACUCUUUGAAAUUGCUGAUUCUGUAAUAUUUCCACCAUAUUCGACCACUAUAGUUUUUACUUGCUCAGAUAGAUGAAACUCCGUGUCACAUUCCACCAGAACACUUCGAAGAUUCGCAAGGCUGCUAAGAAAUGGUGCAAUAUCAUCCCUACUAUUAUCCUCCAUUUCUAUAAAGGAAUUAAUAUAAGAUAGAGGAUUCAUUGUUGGCGACAUCUUAGACCGAAUGAUAGAAGGAAAAAGAUUAUGUGACGAUCCCUCAAAUCCACGUAGGGAUAUAUAUCCAAUACUUUUUGGGCUUACAAUUGUAAAAGGCAAUUGUUUCAUAGUUGUAUUUUCAGCAAUUAUAGUUAAGAAGGAUUUCAUUUGCACGAUAUCUUUUUCCAUUAAGUCAAUCUUCGAACAACCAGAUAGAAUCAGAGUUUUUAAACAUUUCAGCUUAUAUAUCUCUUCAGGGAGAUUGCUUAGACUUGUACAGUCCUUCAAAUUUAGCAGUAUAAGAUUGCAGAGAUAUCCAAUAGAUUGGUGUACCUCGCGCAAUCUCGGACAAUCUUUGAGAAUGAGUUGUUCAAGACUUGGUAGUCCGGAAAAGUCAGGGGUUUCUAUCAAGUAAUUGGAGUGACUAAGAUUAAGAACUUUUAGCCACGUCAAAACCUUCAAGAAGAUAAUUUUUGGUAAUAUAUUAGAGAAGAAAACGAGAAAACGAAAUAAUCAUAAGUGGAAACAAGUAAUAAUUUUUAAGAGAAUGGCACGUGAUAAAAACCUGGGGUUCUUUCCAAACGAAUCGAAGAAGACUGUGUUUUACAUCAAUGGCUAUUGCAUCAUGCAGAUAAAAGUCGUUAGGCAGGUAUUCUGAAGAAAACCCUCGCAAACUGAUCCAUCUCAGUUUCUUAAAAUGGUACUCAGAAUCUCGUUUCAGCAGUCUUGAUGGGUCUAUUACCUCUAAAGGAUAGCGUCCGAAGAAAUCUAUUCCGGUAGGCAAUCUCUGAAUGACUUUUGUGCCAUUAGAUGAAAAGAGCUAAGAAAAAGGAAUAUAUUGCACAUGAGAAAGCAACAACUUCCAAACGAAGUUUUAAAACCAUAGAUAAACGAUGUUCUUACCGCAUUCUCUGACAGUGCAUAUUCUGCAUCCGUAUCAAACCACAGUUGACUGUUCUUCCCAGUUUCCUUUCUUGAAAUUUGACGAAUAAUGUCUCUUCCCAUUUCUCGUAGCAACGGAUGCAUUCCUAAUUUGUUGUUCUUAUUAACUUGUAUGAGACUACGCUCUAUCAGAACUCUUAUUCCACUGUCAGGGUCUAUUCCACAGCCAUUUAAGAUCUUCCUAACAUAGGCUCUGCCCUUACCAACAAAGGAACAACAUACAUCAAGGAAUAAAUCUUUUUCCAUUUGAUUGCAUAAACCCUCGAAGCUUAUUUUCAAUAUCUGAUCAAAUUUAAGCUUAGGAAUUUUCUUUAAUUUUAAGAGUACUCUAUUCCAUUCUUCUUUAGUCCUUUCAUAUAAAUAACUUCCAAUGACUUCAAGAGCAAGAGGUAGUCCUCCACAAUAAGCAACUACUCUUUCUGCAAGGAAAUGAUAAUCUUGUUUUGGUUUUGCUUCUCUAAAUGCGUGCCAACUAAGAAGCUCAAGGGACUCGUUUCUGUUCAUUGGAAUCAUCCGAAAAACAGAAUCAGCUUGAUAUAUCCUUGGUAGGUUUUCUGGUCUUGUUGUAAUGAUUAUUACACUUCCUCUUCUGAACCAAUGACGGCAUUCCCAUAGUAAUGUCGCAUCAAACUUAGGCACAUCGUCAAGUACAAUGAGCACCCUUUUCCCAGAAAGUUUUUCCCGAAUCAUACUUCUUCCCAUCUCAAAGCUAUCUAUCUCUACCUUUGUAUUUAGGACAUCUGAAAGGAGUUGUUCUAGUAAACGAAGAUCCCCUCUUAUUCCGCUAACUUGUCCAAUAUCUUCAAUGAAACUUUUGUUCGUGAAUGUACCAUGAAUUUGAUGGUAAAUGGCUUUAGCAAGGGUGGUCUUACCAGAUCCUCCUUGUCCACAUAUCGCUAUCCUACAAACUUCCGUGGAUUUAUAUUUGAUAGUUCGAAUCAGAUCCUCCAUGUGCGAUUGUAAUCCAACUGGAAAUUUAGUAACAGACAAGACUGGUAAACUAAGAACGGUCUUAACAAUGUUGUCCACUAGUUCAGCAUCACUCCUUCAAGGUCAAUAACAAUUAUAGAACAAGUCAUGUAUUACCAAAAUUGAAGUACACGCUUAGUAAGUGAGUGAUUUACCUGUAAUUGCUCUCAUCCCAUCCAAAGAAAUUUGCAGCUUUGGUGAGUGCGUGGCUCCACCUGGACAUGCCAUGCUCCAGUUGUUGUCCUGAGAAUGCUUGCUCUGCAGUUGCUUUGAAGGCUUUUCCAAAAUCACCCAUCUGAAGACGUACAUCAGAUGGCUGGAUUUCGUAAUAAACGGGCAGAACAUGUCGGCGAUAAGUUUGGUGCCAUUUGAUGAUUUGUUGAAGCUGAUGAAGACACCAAGUAGAUUGAGAAUAGGAUUUGGUGAAAACAACAAUUGCUACACGAGAGAGAUUGAGAAUAGGUUGUUGGAUGUGAAGAGGGUUGUCUGCAUUAGGGUGGUUAAGGAAAGUGGUGAAGCCAACAGCAGAGAGAACAGAAUCGAGAUGAGAAACAAAUUUCCUUUGGAUGUCUUCUCCAUUAAAGUUGAUAAGCACAUCGUACAUCCGUGGCAGAUUUGAUGAUGAAGAUGACGAUUCCAUAGAAGAAAUUGAUGAGGUCAACUGUUAGAAGAAGAGAAAGCAAUAAUGCAACACAGUCAAAAAGACUCAAAACCAUUCAAAUUAGCCCAACAUUAAUACAUUUAUUUUUCAUAGUCGUUGAAGCUCGUGAAUUGCAGCACCCAUUUUACUCUAGAAAAAUAAUAUAUUUACAACUUAUUCUAUUAUACAACCUUCAAUUAAAAAAAAAAUUACUUUCAUUAUUUUAUAAAAAACUAAAAUUUUAAACAGAAAAAAAAAAUUAUAUACUAGAAAAGGCUCUCAAUAUAUUAAUAUUAUUUACUUUAGCCAUUUAAGAAAAUAGACCAACACCCACUAUGAACCAAAAAAAAGUAUUACACUAUUUUUUCUAAUUAUAUUCUCCUUUUUCCUAAAUUUACCUAUUAACUUUACUUUUUAUUUUAAAAAGCAUUAUGUUAUCUCUCUUUUUACGUUAGGCACGUAUCUCUUUAAAUUUUAAAAGAAUAAAAAAUAAUACAUUUUCUUUCCACAUAUAUUUAAAGAGGCCACUGUAAUAAUGUAAAAAAUAGAAAGUAUAAAUACAAUUUAGAUAAACGUCACUACACCUGAAUUUAUUUUUUAAAUAAAUAAAAUAAAAGAAUUGGACGUCAGUUUACUAAAAUUUAAGAAGUUUAUUAUCAAUUACUAAAAAUACAAAUGAGGUGAGUGUAAUUGAUUUUAUUAAGAAGACAAAGUAAAUGUAAUUUUCCCUUUUAUUUGAAAUAUAAAAUUAUAUGGUAUUUUUUUUUUUUAUCAACAAUGAAUAAAUUAAUAAAAAAAAGAUACUUUAAGGUAUCCAACCGGUAUAUAAAGUCUCUUAGUUACUCUUCUUUAUGGCUUAAACAAAACCCCGAUAUGCGGCUUAACUUACUUCAUUACAACCCCAAACAGUGUACACUUAACUACAUCCACACAACACCUAUUCUACAAGCAUGUACCAGCCACUUGGAGCAGCAACCAUAGGGUGCGCCAAACAUCUUAGAAAAGUUUGGAGAAAAAGUGGCCUCAACCAAACCAGAUAGGAAAAACAGCAAUCACCCAAUUAAGUUAUGCAGCAACAAUUAACUUGGCCUACAGCUUUGCUAGCACUAAAUUCUGCUGUGUAGAUCAGCAGGUCAAUACCACCAAUUGACUUGCUCAUGGCCACUUACCCUUGCAUGCAGCAACCUUCAACAUCGAGCCUGCUAGUUCCUUCAGCUUAUGCAUCAAAGAGAAAUCAUCUGUGUGUACGGAGGAUGGCAAGGUUAGAAACCUUCUUUCAACCACCUAUACACUAUGCCAAUAGUUACCACACUUCAGCUGCUACAUGACAAAUACCCUGCAACCUUGACUCCAUUAGGCACCCAAUCUGCAUGAAUAAUACACCUGCAGUCCACACCUACACCUAACUUCCACACGUACACAUGAAUAACAUUAUUCCAAUAUCAUUAUGUUAGAAUUAUUAAACAAAUAUAUUUUUAUUGAAAAGUUAGAGGUUGCAGGGUAGGGUUUGAAAAUGGUUCUCUAGUUUCUAUUCUGCAAGUGCAACCAAGCAAUUAUUGUACUUUUACGCACAAUGGCGGAAGUGAAGUGUUUUUUCACAAAUUUUCCUCAUGAGUACGCGAAGAGGGACAUGUGGAAGAUUUUUCAAAGGUGGGGAAGGGUUGCCGACGUCUUUAUCUCAAGAAGACUCAACUCCGGAAACGGGCGUUUCGGGUUUGUGAGUUUUCAAGGGGUGGUGGAUGCACACGCUUUAGAGAGGAGGCUUGAUGCUAUUUGGAUUGGGAUGUGGAAGUUGUGGGUAAAUCUACCUAUGUUUAGCAGGAAGGAAACACUCAAACCUGAGGUGGGUGGCAUAAGGAAGCAUGAACAGGUAAGGAAGACUUGGAGGCAGAAGAAUCAACAAAGAACAUUUGCUCAGGUGGUUAGGGACGGAGAUGAGUCUGCCUCUAAGAAGGUCGAGAACGCGAGCAUGGAUUGCUUCCAAGUUGCAGUAGAGUCUACAAAGUGGUUGGAGGAGUGUUUUGUAGGGAGACUUAUUGAGUUAAAAAAUGUGAUGUCCAUUAAGGAAAGUUUUAUGUUGUGUGGAUUUAAUUCAGUGAAGUUGAGGUCCUUAGGGGAGAAGUUUGUGUUGUUAUCCUCUGAUGAAGUGGGAGUGUUAGAGAAGAUAGUUGUUGGAAACAAAGACUUGUUAGAUGGAAUUUUCGAGUCUCUCGUCCCCUGGGAUGCUAGUUUUGUGGUUGAUGAAAAAUUCGUUUGGGUCCGAUGUAGGGGUGUCCCACUGGCACUUUGGAGUUGCCAGUGUUUCGAAUCUAUUGGGUCUCUUGUUGGUUCGUUAGUAGAGAUUGACAACGCCACGAUAACAAGGGAGGUGGUUGAGUUUGCUCGGUUGCGUGUCAGAAUCCCGAUAGGAAGUGUGGCAAAGUUGGUAAAGCAAGUGCAGAUUAAUGGCAAGUUAUGCAACGUAUCCUUUGAAGAAGAGUUACAGGUUCCGGUUGCCAUGCAGAGGCUCCUUGAUCGUCAAUGGGGAGUGGUUUGUGAGGAAGAAUCCGAAGCAAGCUUAGUUGAAUUCGAAGGAGUUGGUUCUGUCAAUUCUCUAGACUCGGAGCUUGGUGAAGGAUUUGAACCAAAAGAAGGAGAGGAGGAAACGGUUCAGUAUCCUGUGGAGGUGAAUGGAAGCUUGCUAGAUGGUGAAGGUGGCGCAUGCAAAUACAAUCAUUGCGGAAAGGGUCAGUCUAUGCUAGGUGGAGUAAGUGUUAUGUGUAAUUCUAAGUGCAAUAUUAAUUUUGGGGUAAAUCUGUCCAACUUGGGUUAUGAUUUUUCCCACUUUGGUAACCCCACAGUUUCUUCAAAAAAGGUAGAGCAGAGUAAUAAAGUUAGUGGGGCCCAGUCAGAUGGUUGUGCAGAAAAGAAUAUUGGUCUUAAUGACACAUUAAUUUCUCAGGAGAAGGAAUGGUUUGAUGACCUAAUUUGUGUUGUGCCUAUUCUGGCCCAAGAAAGAAACGCGUCUAGGGUUGGGACUGAGUCAGCGGUGGCGGCGGCUGCCACGUGCGUUGUCGCAGGGGAGCUUGCAAGCGUAGAGGCGAUGCGGUCUGCGGUGGUUGGCGGUAAGGAGGUGUCGCGACCUAUAGUGGUUGGCGGCGAAGAGGUGUCGCGGCCUGCACUGGUUGGUGGCGGUUCUGGUGGAUGCUCCGCCUGUCUAAACGGAAGGUUAUCACCGUCCGAUAGGGGCGUUCGCGGAGCGGCGCUUUCCAGCAGUGGAGUUCUUUAUGUGGACUUGAGUGCGGCGGCAAGUGGCAGUCUUGUGUCCACGCCGUCGUCGGCAAUUGGAGCCAAUUCCAUCGACGAAGUCAGAAGAUUGGGAUGGAGCGGAGACGUAGGAGGUUGUGAGGGUGCGAGUCUGGUGAAUGGGAGGGAAGAUGAAGUAGGUCACCAGUUUAGUAGUGCGGUGGCGGACGGUCAGAGGAGUUUAAAUGGAAGUGAAAACAAGGUCUUGAAUCCUUUUUAUUCAAUCAAUGGUGCGACCCGUCAAGUGGAUGGAAGUUUUGUAAGUCGCGAGUUCAACCGUGUCCCUUUGGUCAGUUUUGGAGGAACAGGCUCACAACCUCGAGCUUUGUUGGACAUCAAUGUUAGUCGUGAGUCCUAUGUUCCUCUCAGCCGAAGCAUCGACAGUGCUGUCCAAUAUGGAUCUAGGCUUAAUCGGUUGAAAAACGAUAACUUUGAAGCUGCUAGAAUGUGGAGCAUAGGAAAGGAACUCGGGUUCUCCUUUAUUGGUGACGAGGAAAUUAUUAUUAGCAAGUUAAAACCUUUGGAAAACUGAGACAGCAGUAUGCAGGAAGUUGUUGAGAAGGAGAGCAGUGUUUCAGAUGAUGAAGGUUGUUAGUCUGAAUAUAAGAGGGAUAGGAGGGGGUAUUAAAUGAAAAUAUAUUAAAGAUCUGAUCAGCAAAGAACAGGCAGAUAUGUUAUGCUUACAGGAGACUAAAUGCGACAAGGUUAGUAAGGAGUUGGUUUUUCAUUUGUGGGGAUCUAAUGAUAUUGGGUGGAUUGAAGUUGGUGCUAGAAAUAAUGCAGGAGGGAUCAUAACUAUGUGGAGAAACAACCAAUUCCAACUCGUCAAUUUUGUCAGAGGUAACAAUUUCUCUGCUGUAGAAGGGGUGUGGAAGGGUGGUGGAGGGGUUCAGGUUGUUAUAGUUAACGUUUAUAGUCCAAGCUUGUUGAGGGAAAAGAAGGUUCUUUGGGAAGACAUCGGUGAGCUUAGACGACGCCAGAACAAUAGGGUGUGGUGCGUGAUUGGAGACUUUAAUUCUGUUAGGAGACAAGAAGAGAGAAGGAGUUUAUUCUCCACGUCUGAUUACAGCAGAGAUAUCAGAGGGUUUAAUGACUUUAUUGAAAAUUCUGAGCUUGUGGAUGUACCGAUGGUAGGGAGAAAGUUUACUUGGUACAAGCCAAAUGGGUCAGUUAAAAGUAGAAUUGAUAAGGUCUUGGUGUCCAGGGAAUGGCUGGAUGUGUGGCCGGAUUGUAAACAAUUUGUUUUAAGCAGAAUUGUUUCUGAUCAUUGCGCCUUAGUGCUUAAGGUCUCAAAAGUGGAUUGGGGUCCGAAACCGUUCAGAAGUUUGGAUGCGUGGCAGAGUGACGGGAGGUUUAAAGAUUUUGUCAAGAGCAAGUGGCAUGGUUACGAGGUACAUGGGGGAGGCAUGUUUGUGUUUAAAGAAAAAUUGAAAAAGCUGAAGGCUGAUUUAAAAAUAUGGAAUAGGGAGGUCUUUGGUUAUGUGAACCUUGAAGGGGAUAAGCUGGUCAAGAAAGUUCAAGAGCUGGAUGAAAGAGAUGAUGAAAGUGAUCUAGACGAGCAGGGUAGGGAGGAGAGGCGGGUGUUGCUGGUCAUCAGUGGUUGCAACAUGGGGAUCUCAAUACAAGCUUUUUUCAUUCGGUUAUUAAGUGGAGGAGGGCGAGAAAUGGCUUAAAUGGAGUUUUUGUGGAUGGCCUGUGGUGUGAUAAUACAGAGGUGGUAAAGGAUAAGGUUAGGAAUUUUUUUAAAUCUCGGUUUGAUGAAGUUGAGGGGGUUCCUAUAAGGUUGGAUAAUGUUGCUUUCAGUUCAGUUUCUGGGGAGGAAAAUAGAAUGCUGGUAGAAGAUAUUUCUGAAAAAGAAGUUAAAUUUGCAAUUUGGAGUUGUGAAAGCUCGAAGAGUCCCGGUCCUGACGGGUUUAACUUUGGUUUUUUAAAGUUCUGUUGGGAGAUCUUUAGAGAGGAUGUUCUGAAGGCAGUGAAUGAGUUUGCAGAUAGAGGAAGUUGGCCCAGGGGGUCAAACGUGUCUUUCAUCUGUUUGGUUCCCAAGAUGGACAUCCGCAGCAGCUAAGCGACUUCAGACCUAUUUCUUUGGUAGGUUGUUUAUACAAAAUAGUCUCGAAGGUUUUGUCUCUCCGGUUGAAGAAGGUGAUGAGUAAGUUAAUUGGUCCCAAGCAAUUAGCUUUCUUGGAAGGAAGGGGCAUAUUGGAUAGUGUCCUUGUGGCAAAUGAGGUUUUAGAGGAGGUGAAGCGAAGGAAGAAGAGUUGUGUUUAUUUUAAAGUUGAUUACGAGAAGGCCUAUGACUCUGUAAGCUAGGAGUUCUUAUUCUACAUGCUUGGAAGGCUAGGCUUCUGCGAAAAAUGGAUCAGAUGGAUUAAAUCUUGUUUGGUUUCUUCCUCUGUGUCGGUGCUUGUAAAUGGGAGUCCAGAAUUUUGUCCAAAGAGGGGUCUUCGUCAAGGUGACCCUCUUGCGCCUUUCUUGUUUCUCAUUGUGGCAGAAGGAUUGGCAGGUGUUGUAAGGAUAGCUAUAGAGAAGAAUUUGGUGGAAAGUCUGGAGGUUGGGGCACAAAAGGUUAAGGUGAACAUGCUUCAAUAUGCGGAUGAUACUCUGUUUUUAUGUGAAGCGAAUUUUAAAUCGGUCUGCAAUCUGAAGGUUAUUCUGCACUGUUUUGAAUUAGCCUCUGGUUUGAAGGUUAAUUUCUCAAAAAGUAGAAUUGGAGGGGUGGGGGUUGAUCAUACUGUGAUUCAGUAGUAUGCUGCAAUCCUUAAUUGUGAAGUGAUGAAAACUCCCUUCAAAUAUCUGGGGUUGAUCGUUUGGGGGAGUCACAAGCGAAUCUCGUUUUGGGAUGGUGUAUUAGAAAGAGUUAAGAGCAGGUUGGGUAGAUGGAAAGGCAGAUUUCUCUCGUUGGCAGGGAGAGUGUGUCUUAUUAAGUCGGUGCUUUCUGCCAUUACGUUGUUUUAUUUAUCCAUGUACAAACUGCCUGUUGCUGUGUUAAAGGAGUUUGAAAAGGUACAGAGAAGGUUUUUGUGGGGAUGGGGAGACGAAGGAAGGAAAGUAGCGUGGGUCUCGUGGAGAAAGGUGUGUGAGUGCCUAGAGAAGCUGGUGGUCUUGAAAUUUUGAAUUUAAGGUUUUUCAAUGCAGCAUUGCUGGGAAAGUGGAUUUGGCGUAUGGAGACUGAGAAUGAUGGUCUGUGGAAAGAAAUUCUUGAAUCUAAAUACGGAGGCUGGAGAAAUUUACAAGAACAAAGAAGUAAUGCUAAGGAUUCCAGUUGGUGGAGAGACUUGAAGGGGGUUUGGGGGAUGGAGGAUUGGGGUAAAUCCUUUGAGAAUUGUUGCAAGUGGAGAGUGGGAGACGGGAAGGAUAUUUUGUUUUGGAAAGAUGUUUGGGUGGGCAACGAAGAUUUGAAAAGUAAAUUCCGAAGAUUGUUCUCUUUGUGUGGUAAUAAAGAAGGUAGUUUACAGUCUUGUGGGGAGUAGGUUAAUGAUAGAUGGGAGUGGAAGUUUAUUUGGAGGAGAGGUCUGUUUGAUCGGGAAAUAUAUGCCAGGAAGUCCAUCUGUUACAAGAAGUGCAUGGAAAGACCCCUAUCUUGAUUCUGCAGAUAGUCGAGUUUGGAAGGCUGGUAAGGAUAGUGGUUUCUCGGUAAAAUUUGCCUAUGCUCUUUUAAGAGGCCCUGUUGAGGGAAAAAGUGUGUUUGUCUUCUUCUGGAAGACUCCUGCUUUGCCCUCAGCACAGAUUAUCACUUGGAGGGUGUUGAUUAAUUCGAUUGCCACAAAAGCUAACUUGGAGAGGCGUGAGAUUUUGGUGGAUACCAAUCUAUGUAGUUUUUGCAGGAUGGCUGUGGAGUCGACAAAUCACAUGUUUUUUUAUUGCAGGAUUGCUUGGUUAGUCUGGAAUCAGUGCUAUACAUGUUUAGGGAUUGCGUCGGUUGGCCAUGUUGUCCCAACAACUCACUUCUUGUAUUUUAUUUUGCUAAAUGCUCCUGUCCAAGUUAAUGUAGUUUGGAAUUGUGUUUGGAUUGCUGUACCUAGUAAAUUAUGGAAGCAUAUUUUUCAAGGAGGGGGUGAUCGAUCCUUCGAAAGUGUUCACUUUGGCACAAUUAAAUGUUUGGUCUUGGGUAACUUCUAAAACUGUUUCUGCUAGUUUUACUUACUCUGAGUGGCGUAUUGAUCCUAGGGAUUGUAUGUUUUCAAUAAAGUGAGCUUUUAUAAGAGUUACUCCUUCAAUUGGGUUGUUUGUUGUUCUAAGCUUCUGUUGUUCUUUUUGCCCCUUGAUAUGGUUGCAAAGAGAUUGUAUUGGGUUUGGUUUUGAGUUUGUACGGGUUAGAUUUGAAUUUGUACGGGUUAGUUUUGAAUUUGUACGGGUUAGUCUUGAAAGUGUACGGGCUGUACGGGGUUUUAGUGGUAGAUUUGUUUGUCUCUCUAUUUGUUGGUUUGGGAGACCAGAGAAAUUGUCUCAUAUUUUUUUAUGUAUCUAUAAGGGUUGAACCACCCCUUAAGUGGUUCCUGUUAUUCAAUCCUUUUUGCUGAUAAAAAAAAAUAUAUUUUUAUUGAAAAUAAGUUGGAAUUAUCUUAAAUGCAUGACAAGUUAUUUAGGUUAGUUUGUUAAUAUAUUUAAUUUUCUAUUUUAAAUUAUUGGGCUUUGCUUGUUUGACCCAACUUUCCUUUUCUGUUUCAGCUAGGUCUUAAUAUUUUUCUUAUAUAUACACCAUGUAUUUUACUCAAUAAUAUACAAGUGAAUAAAAGUUUCUUUUAUAUUUAUUUUUCUCUACAAUUAGGGUUCAUCAAAACCUCUCUUUCUUCAUUACGAUUACGUGUGAUUACGUACGCUACAUUAAAGCAUCACAUCAGACAAGGAAUAUUCAUCUUCAUUUACUGUAAUAUGGUAUCAGAGCUCAUCGAAUGAAGAGUUCUGUUGCGCUUCUCUCUGAUUUUUAUUUCCCUCUUUGCUGUUCUUGGUUAUUUUUUAUUUUUUUUGUUCUCUUUCAAAAUCUUGAUUGGUUUUAAAAUCUUUUAGGCAAUGUUUAAUGAAAACCCUAGUCUUCAUAGUCUUAAUAGUAGUCACACUAUUACAUGCAAUUUUUGUGGUAAAUAUGGUCAUACUGAGGCUUUUUGUUUUCGCAAAGUGGGUUUUCCUUUUGUUAAUGUUAAAACCUCGAAGUUUUCUUUUACAUGAAAAGUCUGCACUUUUUGUAAUCGUCUUCGCCACACUGUCGACACCUGUUAUAAAAAGCAUGGGUUCCCUCCUGGCUACAAAUUCACCAAUUGGACAUCCCAAGCCAAUAAUAUGAUUACUACUGACACUUUUUCUAAACUUUUUCCUAAAGAACAGGAUGUAAAGGGGAUUCAACUUACAUCACAAUAGUGUCAAUUCCUUACCAACAUUUUGCGUCAGCAAAACCUUGAGGAUCCUGCCCCUCACACUCAAAUUAAAGUCGGCACCAUCUCUACGGAUGAAAUCCUUAAUACUGAGCAUUCUUCAAUAGGUAAGUUUCUCUCUUCAUUAUCUUCUAUAAAAGAAUCUUGAAUUAUUGAUUUUGGUGUCACUGAUCAUGUUUGUCACAAUUUGAACGUUUUUACUACUUAUACUAAAAUUAAACUUGUCUUAAUUAGUCUUCCAAAUGGCCAAACUGUUUAUGCCACAUAUUCUGGUUUAGUACGUUUUUAUGAUAAGUUUCAUUUGUGUGAUGUGUUAUACGUGCCUCAUUUUCAAUUAAACUUAAUAUCUGUUUCUAAACUCACACACCAACUUAAAUGCACUUUAACUUUCACUUCAACCCACUGCAUUAUACAAGACAAUCUCACCCAAGAGAGGAUUGGUACAGUUAAAGCCACCGCUGGCUUGUACCUUGUCACUACCUUGCCUGCUUCUAGUCGUUCUAAACCGCAUUGUUUUGCUCAUUUUAUUAAUUGUAAUAUCACAGACAAAACACUAUGGCAUUAUAGACUAAGACACCCUUCACAUGAAAGAUUACAUGUCUAAGCAAACAAUACUAUUUUAUUACUGUUGAUACUCAUCAUGUAUGUGACACUUGUAGUCGUGCAAAACAGAGAAAACUUCCUUUCACUUUAAGUAAUAUUGUUACCUCUGCUAUUUUUGAUCUUGUACACUUUGAUAUUUGGGGACCAUGCUCCAUAAUUUCUAUGCAAGGUUUUCGUUAUUUCUUGACUAUUGUUGAUGAUUACUCGCGUUAUACUUGGGUUAUUCUGCUGCAUAACAAAUUUGAAGUGCGUCAGCACAUCAUUAACUUCACUGUUUUCGUUCAAAAUCAUUUCAAAACUAAUAUCAAAACGAUUCGUACUAACAAUGAUGUUGAGUUUGCUAUGUCAAAUUUUUAUGCUUCAAAAGGUAAUUAUACAUCAAAAAUCUUGUGUUGAAACACCACAACAAAAUGACAUUGUAGAACUAAACAUCAACACAUACUAAAUGUAACCCGGACUUUACUUUUUCAAGCAAAUCUUCCUCCUAUUUUUUGGGAAUUUGCUGUAAAUUAUGUUGUUUUCUUAAUAAAUGUUAUUCCUACUCCAUUACUUAAUAACAUCACUCCUCAUGAAAAGUUGUUUGGAAAACCAUAUGACAUUUCAUUUCUAAAAGUGUUUGGUUGUCUCUGUUAUGCUAGUGCCAUUACUGCACAUAUGAAAAAAUUAGAUGAUAGAUCUAUCAAAGGUAUUUUUCUUGGCUUCCCGCAAAAUACAAAGGGUUAUAUUAUCUUAAAUUUAAAUUUUCAUAGCAUAGAGAUAUCAAGACAUGUAAUCUUUCAUGAAAACCACUUUCCAUAUAAAUUGGACAAUGGCUUGCCUAAGGACCCUAACACUUUAUCUCUCCCUAUUUCUAAUGCAUAUAAUUCUGCUUUUGAUUUUUUUUUCUGAUACUGCAUCUCCUGUCGAGCAAUGUGCCUCUACUCCUGCACCCAAUACUGUCCCUCCACCAACCUCAUUAUCCUAUGAUCUUCCAACAAAUAGUGCCUCUGCUCCUGCAUCCAACAUUACACCUCCAUCAGAAUUAUCAUCGCCUGCAUCUUCAGGAAGCAUCUCACCCCAAUUUUCAAGAAGAUCAGCUCGUCCUCACCAAGAACCUGCCUAUCUUGCAGAUUUCCACACUGCAACCAACAUUGUAAGUAGUAGAUAUCCUAUUCAUAAUUACUUGUCUUACAAUUCCUUAUCUUCCAAUUUUAGAAAUGUUAUUUCCUCUAUCAAUUCUCAUCCUGAACCUCAAACAUAUAACGAAGCCUCCAAACAUGCUUCUUGGAAAUCUGCCAUGCAAGAUGAGCUUCAAGCUCUUGCUGCUAACAAUACUUGGCAACUUACCCCUCUCCCUUCAGGAAAGAAAACAAUUGGUUGUAAAUGGGUAUAUAAAAUAAAAUACCAUUCAGAUGGCACUAUUGAGCGCCACAAAGCUAGAGUUGUUGCCAAAGGGUUCACCCAACUUGAAGGACUUGAUUUCUUAGACACUUCUGCACCUGUUGCUAAACUCACAACCCUUCGCCUUCUCCUUGUUGUUGCCACUACCAAAAAUUGGAUUUUAAAACAACUUGAUGUCAAUAAUGCCUUUUUUCAUGGUGAUCUCCAUGAAGAGGUAUACAUGAGCCCCCCACCUGGCCUCUCUCUUCCUCCUCCCUAGCAUGUUUGCAAGCUUCAACGGUCUUUGUAUGGCCUUCGUCAAGCUGGUCGCCAAUGGUACGCCAAACUUUCUACUUUUCUUUUAUCAAAUAAUUACUCUAUUUCUGUUGCUGAUCACUCUCUUUUUCUUAAAUAUAAUAAUAAUAAACUCACUGUUAUUCUUGUUUAUGUUGAUGACUUGGUCUUAACUGGUGAUGACACGGAGGAAAUCAAUACAAUUACUGCAUCCCUUCACCAUCACUUCAAGAUAAAAAAUUUAGGUAAUCUCACUUACUUUUUGGGACUGGAAAUUGCUCGCAACAGUACUGGUCUUCAUUUAAGUCAACGCAAGUAUACUUUUGAUCUCCUUCAAGAAACUGGCAUGCUUGACUCUGCACCUGUGGCCACUCCUAUGACUCACACCUCCCGUCUCUCUUCCGACCAAGGCUCACCUCUCGAUGCUGAUGCCACUUCCCAAUACAGAAGACUCCUUGGACGUCUAAUUUACUUAACCAACACGCGACCAGGCAUCGCCUUCGCUGUCCACAAUUUAAGCCAAUUCAUAUCUGCACCCACAACUCAUCAUCAGCAAGCUGUCUCACGUCUUUUGCGUUACCUCAAGGGCACCCCUGGUGAAGGACUAUAUUUUUCUGACACUAGUUCACUUCACCUCUGUGGUUUUAGUGACUCUGACUGGGCAACAUGUCCUACCACACACAAAUCUAUCACUGGAUAUUCCAUCUACUUAGGAGACUCCCUAAUAUCAUGGAAAUCAAAGAAGCAGCCAACUAUAUCUCGCAGCUCCUUUGAAGUCGAGUAUAGAGCCCUUGCUACCACCACAUGUGAGUUACAAUGGUUGUCUGACCUCCUUCAAGAUUUACAUCUUUCUCUCUCCCAGUCUGCAACCCUAUACUAUGACAACAACUCUGCCCUUCAAAUAGCUUCCAAUCAAGUUUUUCAUGAACGAACCAAGCACAUCGAAAUUGAUUGCCACCUAGUUCGUGAAAAACUUAACUCUGGUCUCCUCAAACUACUGCCCAUUACUUCUGCAAUGCAAGUUACUGACAUAUUCACCAAGCCCCUUGCUUCCGCACAAUUCUCUACUCUCAAAUCCAAGUUGGGCCUGAAAAAUAUCUACUCCCCAGCUUGAGGGGGGUGUUAAUAUAUUUAAUUUUCUAUUUUAAAUUAUUGGGCUUUGUUUGUUUGACCCAACUUUCUUUUUCUGUUUCAGCUAGGUCUUAAUCUUUUUCUUAUAUAUACACCAUGUAUUUUACUCUCUAAUAUACAAGUGAAUAAAAGUUUCUUUUAUAUUUAUUUUUCUCUACAAUUAGGGUUCAUCAAAACCUCUCUUUCUUCAUUACGAUUACGUGCGGUUACGUACGCUACAUUAAAGCAUCACAUCAGACAAGGAAUAUUCAUCUUCAUUUACUGUAAUAAGAGUUGUCGAGUUUAUAGUUGAAAACUAAAUAAUAAUUUAACUGCAGAAAACUCUCAGACACUCAAGUUCAUAAGAGUUAUGAAUGAAAGCAAAAUAAUAAUAAAAUAUUAAAUUGAACUAAAAAUAUUUCCCAAAGUGAUGUGUAAACUUUAAACCCUAAACUAGAUAACUUAUCUCAAUCAUUCUUAUUGUUCUGAGUGGAUAUUAUUAUAGUCAAUGAGGAUGAAUAUUCAUGGUCUGAUGUGGUACAUCAAAUGGAGCACAUGUAAUCGCACGUAAUCGCAAUGAAGAAAGGGAGGUUCUGAUGAACCCUAAUUGCAAAUGAAAAAUAGACAAUGACUUAAGCAUAAAAGAGAGAUAAUAAAAUACAAAAGAAAUUAUUAUUUACUUCUGUAUUAGAGAGUAAAAUACAUGGUGUAUAUAUAAGAAAAAGACUAAGACCUAGCUGAAACAGAAAAGGAAAGUUGGGCCAAACAAACAAAGUCCAAUAACUUAAAACAGAAAAACUAAAUAUGUUAACACCCCCCUCAAGCUGGGGAGUAGAUAUUCGUCAGGCCCAGCUCGGAUUUGAGAGUAGAGAACUGUGCGAAAGCAAGAGGCUUGGUGAAUAUGUCAGCAACUUGCAUGGCGAAGUAAUGGGCAGCAAUUUGAGGAGACCAAAGUUAAGUUUAUCACGAACUAGGUGACAAUCAAUUUCGAUGUACUUGGUGCGUUCAUGAAAGACUUGAUUGGACGCUAUUUGAAGGGCAGAUUUGUUGUCACAAUACAGGGUUGCGGGAUGGGAGAGAGGAAGAUGUAAAUCCUGAAGGAGGUAAGACAACCAUUGUAGCUCACAUGUGGUGGUGGUAAGGGCUCUAUACUCGGCUUCAGAGGAGCUGCGGGAGAUAGUUGGUUGCUUCUUUGAUUUCCAUUAUAUUAGGGAAUCUCCUAAGUAUAUGGAAUAUCCAGUGAUAGAUUUCUGUGUGGUAGGACAUGUUGCCCAAUCAGAGUCACUAAAACCAAAGAGGUGAAGUGAGCUAGUAUGAGAAAAAUAUAGUCCUUCACCAGGGGUGCCCUUGAGGUAAUGCAAAAGACGUGAGACAGCUUGUUGAUGAUGAGUUGUGGGUGCAUAUAUGAAUUGGCUUAAAUUGUGAACAGCGAAGGCGAUGUCUGGUCGCGUGUUGGUUAAGUAGAUUAGACAUCCAAGGAGUCUUCUGUAUUGGGAAGUUAAAUCAGCAUCAAGAGGGGAGCCUUGGUCGGGAGAGAGACGGGAGGUGUGAAUCAUAGGAGUGGCCACAGGUGCAGAGUCAAGCAUGCCAGUUUCGUGAAGAAGAUCAAGAGUAUACUUGCGUUGACUUAAAUGAAGUUCAGAACUAUUUCGAGCAAUUUUCAGUCCCAAAAAGUAAGUGAGAUGACCUAAAUUUUUUUAUCUUGAAGUGAUGGUGAAGGGAUGUAGUAAUUGUAUUGAUUUCCUCCGUGUCAUCACCAGUUAAGACCAAAUCAUCAACAUAAACAAGAAUAACAAUGAGUUUAUCGUUAUUAUAUUUAAGAAAAAGAGAGUAAUCAGCAGCAGAAAUAAAGUAAUUAUUUGAUAAAAGAAAAGUAGAAAGUUUGGCGUACCAUUGGCGACCAGCUUGACGAAGGUCAUACAAAGACUGUUGAAGCAUGCAAACAUGUUGGGGAGAAGGAAGAGAGCGGCCAGGUGGGGUAGUCCAUUAUACCUCUUCAUGGAGAUCACCAUGAAAAAAGGCAUUAUUGACAUCAAGUUGUUUUAAAAUCCAAUUUUUGGUAGUGGCAACAACAAGGAGAAGGCGAAGGGUUGUAAGUUUAGCAACAGGUGCAGAAGUGUCUAAGAAAUCAAGUCCUUCAAGUUGGGUGAACCCUUUGGCAACAACUCUAGCUUUGUGGCGCUCAAUAGUGCCAUCUGAAUGGUAUUUUAUUUUAUAUACCCAUUUACAACCAAUUGUUUUCUUUCCUGGAGGGAGAGGGGUAAGUUGCCAAGUAUUGUUAGCAGCAAGAGCUUGAAGCUCAUCUUGCAUGGCAGAUUGCCAAUAAGCAUGUUUGGAGGCUUCGUUAUAGGUCUGAGGUUCAUGAUGAGAAUUGAUAGAGGAAAUAAUAUUUCUAAAAUUGGAAGAUAAGGAAUUGUAAGACAAGUAAUUAUGAAUAGGAUAUCUACUACUUACAGUGUUGGUUGCAGUGUGGAAAUCCACAAGAUAGGCAGGUUGUCGGUGAGGACAAGUUGAUCUUCUUGAAAAUUAGGGUGAGGUGAUUCCUGGAGGUGCAGGCGGUGAUAAUUCUAGUGGAUGUGCAAUGUUGGAUGCAGGAGUAGAGACACAUGGCUCGACAGGAGGUGCAGUAUCAGAAAAAAAAAAAAUCAAAAGCAGAAUUAUAUGCAUUAGAAAUAGGGAGAGAUAAAGUGUUGGGGUUCCUAGGCAAGCCACUGUCCAAUUUAUAUGGAAAGUGAUUUUCGUGAAAGAUUACAUGUCUUGAUAUCUCUAUGCUAUGAUACUUUAAAUUUAAGAUAAUAUAACCUUUUGUAUUUUGCGAGAAGCCAAGAAAAAUACCUUUGAUAGAUCUAUCAUCUAAUUUUUUUCUAUGUACAGUAAUGGUACUAGCAUAACAGAGACAACCAACACUUUUAAAAAGGAAAUAUCAUACGAUUUUUCAAACAACUUUUCAUGAGGAGUGAUGUUAUUAAGUAAUAGAGUAGGAAUAACAUUUAUUAAGAAAACAACAUGAUUUACAGCAAAUUCCCAAAAAAUAGGAGGAAGAUUUGCUUGAAAAAGUAAAGCCCAGGUUACAUUUAGUAUGUGUUGAUGUUUACGUUUUACAAUGUCAUUUUGUUGUGGUGUUUCAACACAAGAUUUUUUAUGUAUAACUCCCUUUGAAGCAUAAAAAUUUGACAUUGCAAACUCAACAUCAUUGUCAGUACGAAUUGUUUUGAUAUUAGUUUUGAAAUGAUUUUGAACGAAAACAGUGAAGUUAAUAUUGUGCUGACGCACUUCAGAUUUGUUAUGCAAAAGAAUAACCCAAGUAUAACAUGAGUAAUCAUCAACAAUAGUCAAGAAAUAACGAAAACCUUGCAUAGAAAUUAUGGAACAUGGUCCCCAAAUAUCAAAGUGUACAAGAUCAAAAAUAGCAGAGGUAACAAUAUUACUUAAAGUGAAAGGAAGUUUUCUAUGUUUUGCACGACUACAAGUGUCACAUACAUGAUGAGUAUCAACUGUAAUAAAAAAAGAGUAUUGUUUGCUUAAGACGUGUAAUCUUUCAAGUGAAGGAUGUCCUAGUCUAUAAUGCCAAAAUGUUUUUUCCGUGAUAUUACAAUUAAUAAAAGGAGAAAAAUAAUGCGGUUUAGAACAGCUAGAAGUAGGCAAGGUAGUGACAAGGUACAAGCCAGCAGUAGCUUUAAUUGUACCAAUCCUCUCUUGGGUGAGAUUGUCCUGUAUAAUGCAGUGGGUUGAAGUGAAAGUUAAAGUACAUUUAAGUUGGUGUGUGAGUUUAGAAACAAAUAUUAAGUUUAAUUGAAAAUGAGGCACAUAUAACACAUCAGACAAAUAAAACUUAUCAGAAAAACGUACUAAACCAGAAUAUGUGGCAUAAACAGUUUGGUCAUUUGGAAGACUAAUUAAGACAGGUUUAAUUUUAGUAUAAGUAGUAAAAACGUUCAAAUUGUGGCAAACAUGAUCGGUGGCACCAGAAUCAAUAAUCCAAGAUUCUUUUAUAGCAGAUAGUGAAGAAAGAAACUUACCUGUUGAAGAUUGCUCAGUAUUGGAGAUUUCAUUCGCAGAGAAGGUGCCAACUUGAUUAAUUUGAGUGUGAGGGGAAGGAUCCUCAAGAUUUUGCUGACGCAAAAUGUUGGUCAGGAAUUGACACUGACACUAUUGUGAUGUAAGUUGAAUCCCCUUUACAUCCUGUUUUUUAGGAAAAAAAACUCAGAAAAAGUGUCAGUAGUAAUCAUAUUAUUGGCUUGGGAUGUCCAAUUGGUGAAUUUGUAGCCAGGAGGGAACCCAUGCUUUUUAUAAUAGGUGUCGACAAUGUGGCCAAGAUGAUUACAAAAAAAACAAACUUUUCUAGUAGAAGAAAACUUUGAGGUUUUAACAUUACCAAAAGGAAAAUCCACUUUGCAAAAACAAACAACCUCAGUAUGACCGUAUUUACCACAUAAAUUGCAUGUAAUAGUGUGACUACUAUUAAGACUAUGAAGACUAGGGUUUUCAUUAGACAUUGUCUAAGAGAUUUUGAAACACAAUCAAGAUUUUGAAAGAGAACAGAAAAGAUAACCAAGAACAACAAAUGGGGAAAUAAAGAUAAGAGAUAAGUGCAGUAGAACUCUUCAUUCGAAGAGCUCUGAUACCAUAUUAUAAUCAAUGAAGAUGAAUAUUCCUUGUCUGAUGUGGUGCAUCAAAUAGAGCACAUCAAAUAAGAACCCUAAUUGCAAAUGAAAAAGAGACAAUGACUUAAGCAUAAAAGAGAGAAAAAUAGAUAAAAGAAAAUACAAAAAAAAAUUAUUUACUUAUGAGAGAGUAAAAUACAUGGUGUAUAUAUAAGAAAAAAGAUUAAGAGAAACAGAAAAGAAAAGUUGGGUCAAACAAACAAAGUGUAAUAAAUUAAAAAAAAACUAAAUAUUAAAUAUGUUAACAGAUAUUAGUUAUAUAUUUUCCUAUAUUAGGUAGUAGAAAACAUUUUAUUUUUCUUAAUUUAUACUCACUUGGAAUUAUAGUUUGCUGGUCUAGUAUGUCUAAAUAAAAAAAACAUGUAAAGUUAUCUCAUUUUAACUUUUUUCAUCUAGUUUGCUCAUGUCAUUUAGUUAUUAUACUCAACAGUUUUAUCCUCUCUCUUUUUUGUUUCUCAAAGUUUUUUUUCUCUAAAAUCAUUGAAGUGUUUAACAAGGUUCUUAUUCCGCUGUUCCAUAUUUAACUUGUGACAAAAGCUCAAAAGUGUCAAUGAUCUUGAAAUAAAAGCGUGUUUGGUGAUGUUAAUAAAAUUUGUUAGUUUAAUUACCUUUUUCGUCUUUUACAUUAGAGUUAAUAGUUAAAUAGUUAAUUUAGUAAAGAUGUUUAUGUAUCAGAGAAAAGUGAUUACCAGAGAAAAGUGAUUACGUGGAUUGUAAAGUAAAAACACGUCAGAUUAAUGUUUAGGGUUUGAAAUAAUGAGAUUGAGAGAAACGUUUUGAAUGCUGGCUUCUUCACAUAAACGAGGAUGUUGACAGAAACAGGGGAGGAGUAAUUAGCGUUUGGGAUUUAUGGUUGCGUGGUGGAAGAGUUUGAAGAAAAGUUUAGCUAAUUUGUUGAGUUGUCCCAUUGUGUGGUUGUGUGGUGGAAGAGUAUGGUGAGGGUGUAAGCAUAAAUGGAGAAGAUGUUAGAGAGAGUAAGUGAGGAGAGAGAAAGGUGGAGUUGUUGAGAGGAAUAAGAAAAUAGGGUAAAAUCUGCAAUCUGACAGAGGAAGAUGAUGAAGAUAAAGGAUUACCCACCCUUAGUUUUUUAAAUAAUUCAGAAGAAGAUAUUUUAUUAUCUUUACUGACAAUUAUAUUUAUAAUAUGACAAUUAUAUUUAUAAUACUUACAGUAAUAAAUUCUUAACUAAUUUAAUGAGCAGUUACCUAAAGAUAUUAAAUUAACAAUUAAAACAGAAUAAUAAAAUAUGACAUGUACUUAUGUACUUGCAGUUAAAAAACAGAAUUUUCAACACAGAUGACCCAUGUGACCAACUUCUAGAGAAUUCUAGACUCAACUACAAUUAUAGAUUGCCCAUGCCAUAACUCCAGUUAUUAGAUUCGACUUUUUCAAGUUAAAAUAUAAAUAUGCAUUAUUAUUUUCUCUCAAAUAAAUAUCUUCUUAAAAUAAAUUUAAACAACAAAUGUGAAAUUUGUUAAUUUUCUUUUAAAUUUUAACUAGGAGUUUGGUUCCAGGUUUAAUUAUGGAAUAGAAUUUCUUUCACACUGUAAUAACAAAAAAAUAAUCAUUCCAUAACUAUAAUAAAUAUUAUAUUAUAAUAAAAUAAUAAUUUUUUUUAUAUGAAAUUGAUAAAGUUGGUAUCAAAAUAUAUUUGUCUUUUAACAUUGUAUAUAAAACAAGACAAAUAAACUUAUUAUCUUAAAAUUUCAGAUUAGAAAUAUUAUUUUAUUCUUUUAUAUAUAAUUUUUAUGAUUUAUCAGUGAUUAUCAUGAUGUUUUGGAUUAGAAAUGUUAUAGAGAUUUGUCUAACAUUUCUAAUUAUUAUAAGAUAAUUCUGAUUAUUAAGUGUAGAUAUAGAUGUAGAUUAUUAUUUUAAUAUAAAUGAAUUAUAUAAAUGAAAUGGAGAGGGGAGGGGUAUAUUUGUCCGUUAAGGGAGAAAUGAGGAAAGAGGGAUCUGUAUAAUGAAUUAUGGUUGUGCAGAUGGUUUGGCGAGUGAAUCAGAGUCACUAUCUCUCUCUUUCUCUUACACUACACAGUGGAACAACUCACCACACUAACUAAACUUUUUUCACUCUAUAAUUAAAUAGUGAAGGUCAAGAAAUGGGAUUAAUGAUUUGCUAGAGAAUAGUCAAUGGUGUCAGGAUCAAGUGGUUGUUAAGGAAAAGGUUAGACAAUUUUUUCAGGGAGAGAAUAGCAACAAGUCAGGUUAGAUAAUACAAAUUUUAAAACUAUUCAUGGAGAAGAUGAAAUGUUGGUAGGAAGUAUUACAGAAGAUGAAAUGUUGUGACGACUUUAAUUUUGGUUUUAUAAAAUUUGUUGGGAAGAGAUCAAGAAUAAUAUACUCACAUAAAGUUAUUGAUCUUAGGCAGUCAACACUCAUAUAAUGUAAGGGUUUAAUGGAUAGUGUUAUGGCCAACGAAGUUCUACUGAAGAGAAAAAAGAAUAUUUUUUAAAGUGGAUUACGAGAAGGCUUAAGAGUCACUAAGAUGAGAGUUCAUCUACUAUAUGUUAGGAAAGUUAGAUUUUUGUGAAAGAUGGAUAGUCUGGGUAAAAGCAUGUUUAGAAUCAUCUUUGGUGUCAGUAUUAGUGAAUGGGAGUCCAACUCAGGAAUUUAAACCACAGAAGGGACUGAGACAAGGAGACCCCUUAACACAUUUCUCGUGUCUUAUAGUUGUAGAAGGAUUAGUAGGGGUUUUAAGAAAAGAAGUUGAGAAAAAUAUGAUAGAAAGUAUGGAGAAUGGGGAUAAGUUGGUUAAGGUGAAUAUGCUACAAUACAUGGAUGAUACACUAUUUUUCUGUAAAAUCAAUACUCAAAGUGUGUUUAUUAUAAAGGUAAUUCGAAACUGCUUUGAAUUAGCAUCUGACUUUAAGGUAAAUUUUCAAGGUAAAUUUUCUAAAGAGUAAAAUUGGAGGGGUGGUAGUUAAUCACAAUCUGAUUCAAUGUUUUGCGAAAAUUCUUAAUUGUGAUGUGAUGAAAACACCAUUUAAAUAUCUGGGAAUGUUAGUUGGGGGGUGCCACAAGAGAUAAAUUCUGGAAUGUGAUGGAAAGAAUGAGGAAUAAAUUUGGUAGAUGGAAAGGUAAAUUUAUAUCUAUGGCAGGUAGGAUAUGCUUAAUUAAAUUAGUGCUUUCAUCUCUCCCUCUGUUUCAUUUAUCUUUAUAUAGAAUGCCAAUAAUGGUAAUGAAGGAGAUAAUGAAAUUGCAGAGAAAAUUUUUAUGGGGUUGGAGUUCGGAAGGUAUGAAAAUAGCAUGGGCUUCAUGAGAAAGUAAAUUUGAUGAUAAUAUAACUUGAGAGGUAGGAAAUGGGAUGGAGAUUAGUUUUUGGGAAGAUAAAUGGGCGGAUAAUGAAGAACUAAAAAAUAAGUUCCCGAGAUUAUUUUCUCUAAGCACAAUCAGAUAUUUUUAAGUUGUAUCAUGUUAGGGAGUGGAAUAAUAACAAUUGGUUAUAGAAGCGGAGAAGGAAUUUAUUUGAGUGGGAAAAGAACCAAGCACAUCAAUUGACACAAGUUUUGGAAGACACAAGUUUAAACAUGGAAAAAGACGAUAAGUGGGUAUGGAAGUAAGGAGAGACAUCAAAUUAUACGGUUAAAUCAGCAUAUAGAAUCUUAAAGGGUGAAGUAGAGGGGAAAGGCAAGUCCAUGUACGAGAAUUUUGGAGAAUUAAGGCACUGCCUUCAACAUAUACCACAACUUGGAGGGUUUUGGAAAAUAAGAUUAAUACAAAGGUUAAUUAGAAAGAUGUGGGAUAGUUAUGGUGAGUAAUAUUUGCAAUAUGUGUGGGAGGAUGAUGAGACAAUAUGUCAUUUAUUUUUUAAGUGAAGAGUUGUUUGACUAGUACGGAUAUGUUAUUAAUAUAUGUUGUGAAAUAUAAUGGGCAAUGGUUUAUUGGAUUAUGAAGGAAAGAAGAAUUGUGGUAAGUUAUACAGUUUAUGGUUGAGAGGGGUGGUUUGAUGCAGGUACGUGCCUAGUACAUUGUAGCAGUGAAGGUAUGAACAUUGUAGCAGGAUUGGUGUUGGUGGAUCAAGUGCUAUCAACAUGGUGGCCAUUUGAGAAAAGAAAGGGCAUCGAGGAUCAUAUGUUUCAAUGGUUUUUUCUGGUGAGGAACUUGUGCAGCAGGCUCAAAUCUGACUCACUAUUUGGCACAAAGUUGUUUUCAUUAUUUGAAAAACUUUUGGUAUAAAGAAUGGUUAAUUAGAUGUAUCUGUUAAUUAUGUCCUGCUUGAGUCUUGCUGGUUUUCGCUUCUCCUUCACUGGUUUCACUAGAUGGAUGGGGUUGUGUGGGUUAUGACUCACCUUUAUUGUUAUCUUGGCAUUAAUGGGAGGUUACUUGCCACACUAAAUUGCAAUCAAUGGGAGGUUAAUUGCCACAAUCAAUUGCAAUCAAUGGGAGGUUAAUUGCCACAAUCAAUUGCAAUCAAUGGGAGAUUAAUUACCAUUAAUUGUAUUUAUUAUUGUUGUCUCCUAGAACCACUAUAUAUAGUGGCUUCCUUCAAGCAAUGUAACACACAACAUACAGCAACACACACUUGCUUCCUCUCUCUUUUCCUAUACUCUCUAUUUCAUCUCUUGGGUGUAAGUGUUUAACCCAUAUAUAAAGAGGAUUUGUUUUGGGGCUAUUUAUCUAUUAGCUAGAGAGGAAUUCAUUGUACUCCCAGUACCAUUAUAGUGGAAGUUUUGGCUCUCUCGCCGGUAGUUUUUUACCUCUAUUUAAAGGGGUUUUCCACCUUAAAAUUCUGGUAUCAUUCUCACUUUACUUGUUACUUUAAUUUCUCAUAAUCUUUGGUUGAAAUUAUCACGCUUCCGCACACGAUAUCCCUACAAAUUGGCAUAAGAGCUUUUUCGAUAAUUCAACCAGGAUCUGUUGUUCAAUAAUGUCGAAAUUGGAUAUUGAGAAAUUUGAUGGUAAAAUCAACUUUGCUAUCUGGCGAGUCCAGAUGCUAGCUGUUCUCACUGAAUGGUUUAAAGAAUGUUCUGGCAGGUAAAAUGAUGAGACCAACCACUAUGACGGAGGAGCAGUGGGAUGAGAUGGAUGAAAAGGCAUUGUCUGCAAUCCAGUUAUGCUUGUCCCGUGAGGUGUUGCGUGAGGUCAUCAACGAGAAAAGUACAGCAGGCAUAUGGAGUAAAUUGGAGUCUAUAUACAUGACCAAAAGUCUUGCAAAAAAACUCCAGUUAAAGGAGCGACUCUUUACACUCCGAAUGUCUGAAGGUACUCCCAUCCAAUCUCACCUUGAAGAAUUUAAUUCCAUCAUAAUUGAUUUGGAAAAUUUGGAUGUUAAAAUUGAUGAUGAGGAUAAAGUCGUUCUACUUAUUGUUUCUCUACCACCCUCGCAUCGACAAUUCAAAGAAAUUAUGUUAUACGGUAAUUAUCUUACCUUAAGCUUUGAUGAUGUCAAGACUAAUUUACUAGCCAAAGAAAAAUUUGAUACUCAAAUUCAUUCUGAAAGUUCUGGUGAAGGAUUAGUAGUUAGAGGGAGAAACCAAGAGAAAGGUAGGAACAAUAAAUAUAAAUCUAGGUCAAAAUCUAGAGGCAAGAACUCCAAAUAUUGUCGUUAUUGCAAGAAAAGGGGACACGAGAUCUCUGAAUGCUAUAAAUUGAAAAAUAAGCAAGAUAGAGAAGAUAACUAAAUGGUAAACAACCAGAAAAAUUUGCCGAAGCUAGUAUUGUUGAAACUAAAUCUGAUGGGGAUUGUUUUGUAGCUUUCAACACUGAACAAAGGUCUAAAAAUGAAUGGAUUCUUGAUUCUGGUUGUACUUUUCACAUGUCUUACAAUAGAGAUUGGUUUACCACAUAUGAACCAAUUUAUAAUGGUCUUGNNNNNNNNNNNNNNNNNNNNNNNNNNNNNNNNNNNNNNNNNNNNNNNNNNNNNNNNNNNNNNNNNNNNNNNNNNNNNNNNNNNNNNNNNNNNNNNNNNNNGCUCAAUACAAAGUUGUUGGUGAAGGAACAAUCAAAAUCAAGACACAUGAUGGAAUUGUUAGAACUUUAACAGGUGUCAGAUAUGUCCCUGAGUUGAAACAGAAUCUCAUUUCCUUAGGCACCCUUGAAUCUCAUGGGUGUAGAUACUCAGCUGAAGGUGGAGUUUUAAAAGUGUCUAAAGGAGCUCUUGUGUUACUAAAGGCAAUUCGAUGUGAUAGUUUGUAUGUGCUGCAGGGUUCAACAGUUACAGGUUCUGUAGCUGUUGCCUCACCCAACAAAGAUAACACCAAGUUGUGGCAUGAGAUUAGGUCACAUGAGUGAGAAGGGAAUUCUAAUCCUCAAGAAGAAGGGUCACCUUGGUAACCACUGUACUGGAAAGGUUGAUUUCUGUGAACAUUGCAUUUUUGGUAAGCAGAAAAAGGUUAGUUUUUCUAAAGCCAUACACAGAACCAAAGGUACUUUGGAUUAUAUUCAUUCGGAUCUUUGGGGUCCGUCAAAAGUUCCCUCCAGAGGUAAAUGUCGUUAUAUGAUGACAAUUAUUGAUGAUUUCUCACGAAAACUGUGGGUGUAUUUUCUCAAACAUAAGAAUGAAGCAUUUUCCACUUUUAAAGAGUGGAAAUUAUUGAUUGAGAAUCAAACUGGCAAGAAGAUAAAGAGGCUAAGGACAGACAAUGGCCUUGAGUUCUGUUCGAAUGAAUUCAAUGAUUUCUGCAAGAAGGAAGGCAUUUCUAGACACUUCACCAUCCCAAGUACUCCACAACAGAACGAGGUUGCAGAAAGAAUGAAUAAAACUAUCCUGGAGAGAGUUCGUUGCAUGUUCUCCCAUUCUGGUUUGAGCAAAUCUUUUUGGGCUGAAGCAGCUUCAACGACAUGCUAUCUGAUAAACCGCUCUCCUAACAGAUCAAAUGAUUGCAACAUUCCAAAAGAAGUUUGGUCAGGUAACCCUGUUGAUUAUUCUAAUCUUAAAAUAUUUGGUUGCCCUGCUUAUUUUCAUGUAAACGAGGGAAAAUUAGAACCUCGUGCUAAGAAGUGCAUUUUCUUGGGUUAUGGCUCAGGGGUUAAAGGUUAUCGUUUGUAUGACCCAGAAUCUCACAAAAUAAUUCACAGUCGGAAUGUGACCUUUAAUGAAAAUGCUAUGCUCUCUUCUGUAAAAGAUACUGUCAUUUCCUCAAUUGAUACAGGUGGCCAGGAAGAGGCUCGAGAGAAAGUGGAGUUUGAGAUUAAAACACCCGCUCAUGAGGAAGACGUUCCCAAUUCCUCCAGUACCCAAGAUGAUCAAGUCAUUACUAUUGAUGGUACAAGUGAACAUUUGAGUCCACAUGAGCAAUGUCCACCUAAACGACGAGGAUUACCACAGUCGUGGUCUAUGGCUCAAGAACUUCCACAACAGAGACCAAGAAACCAACUCAAAGAUUAAUUGCAGAAUUUGCCAACAUUGCUUAUGCUUUAACUAUUGCACAAGAGAUGGGUGAAGAAGGUGAACCCAAUAAUUACUCUGAAGCUAUCUCUGGUGACGACUAAACAAAGUGGAUUGCUGCUAUGCAAGAAGAAGUUGAGAGUCUUCUAAAAAACGAAACAUGAGAAUUGGUGAAGUUACUAGAAGGAAAACGAGUCAUUAGUUGCAAGUGGAUCUUUAAGAGAAAAGAAGGGAUCCCUGGUGUUGAGAGUACAAGGAAUAAAGCAAGAUUUGUUGUAAGAGGUUUUGUUCAAGAGAGAGGUAUUGACAUUAAUGAAGUAUUUUCUCCUGUUGUUCGUCAUACUUCAAUACGUAUAUUACUUGCUUUAGUUGCCUUGUAUGAUUUGGAGCUGGAAUAGUUAGAUGUGAAAACUGCUUUUCUUCAUGGUAAUCUUGAGGAAGAGAUUUACAUCCAGCAGCCUGAGGGCUUCGUUGUUCCUGGAAAGGAGGACCAUGUAUGUCGUUUGAAGAGAUCUCUCUAUGGCUUGAAGUAAUCACCAAGACAAUGGUAUAAGAGGUUUGAUUCUUUCAUGAUUGGACAUGGAUACUCCAGAAGUAGCUAUGAUAACUGUGUUUAUUUUCAAAAGACAUCUGAUGGGUCAUUUAUAUACUUGUUGUUAUAUGUUGAUGACAUGUUGAUUGCCGUAAGAGAUAAAUCUUUAGUUAACAAGUUAAAGGCCCAACUUAGCAGUGAAUUUGAUAUGAAAGACUUAGGUCCUGCCAAGAAAAUUUUGGGAAUGGAGAUCAACAGAGAUCGACUAGCUGGAAAACUUUUUCUAUCACAAAAGAAGUAUGUUCUUAAGAUGCUUGACAAAUUUGGAAUGCGAGAUUGCAAAGUUGUUAAUACUCCAAUUGCCACCCACUUCAAGUUGUCAUCAGAUCAGUGUCCAAAACCAGACGAGGACAAAAGACGCAUGUCACAUGUCCCGUAUUCAAAUGCAAUUGGAAGUCUCAUGUAUGCAAUGGUAUGUACUAGACCUAAUUUAGCUUAUGCUGUUAGCAUUGUUAGCAGGUUCAUGCAUAAUCCAGGCAAGGCACACUAGGAAGCCGUUAAAUGGAUACUUCAUUAUCUGAAAGGUUCUCCAGAUCUUGGUUUGGUAUUUGAUCAACAUAGAGCCGAUCCCGGAGGAGCAGUUGGCUAUGUUAAUGCUGACUAUGGUGGUGAUUUAGAUCGGAGAAGGUCACUUUCAGCCUACAUUUUUACCCUAUGUGGGUCUGCUAUCAGUUGGUAUUCUUCACUUCAAGCCAUUGCGGUUUUGUCCACCACUGAAGCAUAAUAUAUUGCUGCUACAAAAGGAAUGAAGGAGGCUAUAUGGCUUCGAGGCUUGGUAAGUGAACUUGGUCUUCAACAAGAUGUUCUUGUUAUAUUUUGUGAUAGUUAGAGUGUUGUCCACUUGACCAGGAACAGUAAGUAUCACUCAAGGACCAAGCACAUUGAAAUUAAACACCAUUUUAUCCGAGACAUUGUUGAUACAGGAGAUAUAAUUGUUGAAAAAAUUCAUACGGCCGAAAAUCCUGCAGACAUGUUGACCAAGCCACUUCCAUCGGCUAAGUUCGAUCAUUGCCUGAACUUAGCUGGUAUUAUCCAUACUUAAUCAAGGCUUCAUCUUUAUUGUGGAGAUUUGUGGGUUAUGACUCACCUUUAUUGUUAUCUUGGCAUUAAUGGGAGGUUACUUGCCACACUUAAUUGCAAUCAAUGGGAGGUUAAUUGCCGCAAUCAAUUGCAAUUAAUGGGAGGUUAAUUGCCACAAACAAUUGCAAUCAAUGGGAGAUUAAUUACCAUUAAUUGAAUUUAUUAUUGUUGUCUCCUAGAACCACUAUAUAUAGUGGCUUCCUUCAAGCAAUGUAACACACAACAUACAGCAACACACAACAUACAGCAACACACACUUGCUUCCUCUCUCUUUUCCUAUACUCUCUAUUUCAUCUCUUGGGUGUAAGUGUUUAACCCAUAUAGAGAGGAUUUGUUUUGGGGCUAUUUAUCUAUUAGCUAGAGAGGAAUUCAUUGUACUCCCAGUACCAUUAUAGUGGAAGUUUUGGCUCUCUCGCUGGUGGUUUUUUACCUCUAUUUAAAGGGGUUUUCUACCUAAAAAUUAUGGUAUCAUUCUCACUUUACUUGUUACUUUAAUUUCUCAUAAUCUUUGGUUGAAAUUAUUACGCUUCCGCUCAUGGUAUCCCUACAGGUUGGUUUGGUAGCCUUGUGUUACUUUUUUAUUGUAGCCUUACAGCUGCUGGUUUGGUUUCCCUUUGGAUCACAACAUCAUGCUUUUUUUAGUUUUCAUGGGUUUGCAAGCAUAAGCUAUAGGUUUUCUAUGAUUAUCUUUUUUUUUCUAAGUUCGAUUUUAACAUGAUUGAAACAUUCUUGAAAUAGUUUAUAUUUAUUAAUUUUUACUUGGAUAAAAACUUUAUAUAUGAAACAUAAAAGCCUAAUCAAUAAAAAGUACACAUUUGUAAUUUUUAACCAUUAGCGGUAUUUGUCUACAUGGUUAUUUUUUGAAUUUUUUAAAGAUUAUAUUUGGACAUAUCAAAUGAAUAUGCUAAAAAUGAAAAAAAUUGACAAAAGAAACAUCGACAAAGCAAAUACAAUAAACAGUUCAAUUCAAGUAAAGCCAAGGAAGCACAAUCUGAGGAGUGAGAAACAGGGUAAAAUAAGUAUGAAUCUCGUAACUAUGAACUAUACUCAAAGAAAUACAAGGAAAGGAUUAGAAAAAAUAAAUUGCAAUGAAAGACACAAGGAUUAAUUCCAUAACUCAGUUCUCAAAAAAACAUAAAUGACUUACUAGAACUCACAUUAGAGUUUUCUUUAUGAAUUUAAGGAGAGAUAUUUUCUUUGGUACAGGCUCCUUUUCCAAGUCAUUUGAUUCAUCACAUAUCAAAUAGGCAGUUGUGUUCUUGACCACCAAUCCAUUACCAAAACUCACAAAAAUCUCCACCUUGUCUCCUGAUCCUAAAUUUGACAUUAUGCCCGGCCAAUCUUCAUCAUUAGAGGAAAUUACCGUGCCAUGGUUGUGUAUUUGGCAUGUGCAAUUCGUGUAAUUAACAAUUAAGACAGUAGUAAGUUUAGGUUCAAUGAUUUUGGAGGUUGAUAAAUAAUCAACACAGAAAGCCAUUCCCUUCACGACACGAUCUUGUGGCACAGUUAAAGAAACAGAAUGUCCAUCACCCAUAUGGGCCAACCAAUAAGGAUCAUUGUCACCUGGGAGAGAAACAUCACAUGACUCACUGCUUGCAAAUACCUGUUUCAUGUCAUAAACAAGGGCAUGUUUAGUUAAGCAAAAAUGUUAUACAUGAUUAAAACAAAUCUGGUUCAUAGUUUUGUUGUGUAUACAUCCCCAUCUCUUCUUUAGUGAUUUAGUCUGUUUUUGUCUCUUAGUUUAUAUUUCUACGAUCAAUGGGAAUAAAGCAAUCAUGAAGCUAGUAAACCAAGAAAGUGGAAAUAAAUUUGGUAGUAGAUAUUAUAAGCAUAAUGCCUUGCUUGGUUGAUUACUAACAUCAGAUACUUUCAUUAGGAAUAUAUUAUGAUCUCAGAAAUAAUAGCUAAAAUGAUGGUUAAGGUAAUAAACACAAGGAAAACUAGAAGAACCUUAGGUAUGUUAUCGCUUACAGUAUUGAAGAAUUCUUUGUAUCUUCCAACACCAGUCAGAAAAGACUUGAGGUGAUUCUUUGAAAUUGCUGAUUCUGUAUUAUUUCCACCAUAUUCGACCACUGUAGUUUUUACUUGUUCAGAUAGAUGAAACUCGGCGUCACAUUCCACCAGAACAGUUCGGAGAUUCGCGAGGCUUCUAAGAAAUGGUGCAAUAUCAUCCCAACUAUUAUCCUCCAUAUCCAUGAAGGGAUGAAUAUAAGAUAGGGGAUUCAUUGUUGGCGACAUCCGAGACCGAAUGAUAGAAGGAAAAAGAUUAUGUGACAAUCCCUCACUUCCACGUAGGGAUAUAUAUCCAAUGAUUUUUGGGCUUACAAUUGUAAAAGGCAAUUGUUUCAUAACUGUAUUUUCAGCCAUUAGAGUUAUCAAGGAUUUCAUUCGUACUAUAUCUUUUUCCAUUAGGUCAAUCUUUAAACAACCAGAUAGAAUCAGAGUUUUUAAACAUUUCAGCUUAUAUAUCUCUCUGGGGAGAUUGCUUAGACUUGUACAGUCCUUCAAAUUUAGCAGUAUAAGAUUGCAGAGACGUCCAAUAGAUCGGUGUACUUUGCGCAAUCUUGGACAAUCUUUGAGAAUGAGCUGUUCAAGACUUGGUAGUCCGGAAAAGUGAGGGGUUUCUCUCAAGUACUUGGAGUGACUAAGAUUAAGGAUUUUUAGCCACGCCAAAACCUUCAUAGUUUUGAUAAAAUAUUAAGGAAGUAAAUGAGAACGAAAUAGUUAUAAGUGAAAACAAAUAACAAUUUUAAAAGAGAAUGGCACGUGAUAAAAACCUGGGGUUCUUUCCAAAGGAAUCGAAGAAGACUGUGUUUUACAUCAAUGGCUAUUGCAUCAUGCAGAUAAAAGUCGUUAGGUAGAUAUUCUGAAGAAAACCCUCGCAAACUGAUCCAUCUUAGUUUCUUAAGAUGGUAAUCUCUACCUAAUUUCAGCAGUCUUGAUGGGUCGCUUACAUGUAAAGGAUAGCUUCCGAAGAAAUCUCUUCCGGUAGGCAAUCUCUGAAUGAUUUUUGUGCCCUUAGAUGAAAAGAGCUAAGAAAAAGAAAUAUAUUGCACAUGAGAUUCCAAAAGGAGUUUAAAAAAGCAUAGAUAAAGGAUGUUCUUACCGUAUUCUCUGACAGUGAAUAUCUUGCGUCUUUAUCAAACCACAGUUUACUGUUCUUCUCAGGUUCCUUUCCUGAAAUUUGACGAAUAAUUUCUCUUCCCAUUUCUCGUAGCAAUGGAUGCAUUAUUAAUUUGUUGUCCUUAUUAAUUUGUAUGAGACUAUGCUUUAUGAGAACUCUUAUUCCACUAUCAGCGUCUAUUCCACAGCCAUUUAGGAUCUUCGUAACAUAGCUUCUGCUCUUACCAACAAAGGAACAACAUACAUCAAGAAAUAAAUCUUUUUCCAUUUGAUUGCGUAAACGGUCGAAACUUAUUUUCAAUUUCCUUUGAAGAUCGUGCUGGGGAAUAUUGUCUAAUCGUAACAAUACUGAAUUCCAUUCUUCUUUCGUCCUUUCAUAUAAAUAACUUCCAAUGACUUCAAGAGCUAGAGGUAGUCCUCCACAAUAAGAAACUACUCUUUCUGCAAGUACAUGGUAUUCUUGUUUUGGUUUUGCUUCUCUAAAUGCGUGCCAACUAAGAAGCUCAAGGGACUCGUUUGCGUUCAUUAACUUUACCUGAAAAACAGAAUCAACUUCAUAUAUCCUCGGUAGGUUUUCAGGUAUUGUUGUAAUGAUUAUUACACUUCCUCCUCCGAACCAAUGACGGUAUUCCCAUAGUAGUUCUCUAUUAAACUCAGGCACAUCGUCAAGUACAAUGAGCACCCUUUUCCCAGAAAGUCUUUCCCGAAUCAUAGUUCUUCCCAUCUCAAAGCUAUCUAUCUCUACCUUUGAUUUUAGGACAUCUGAAAGGAGUUGUUCUAGUACACGAAGAUCCCCUCUUAUUCUGCUAACUUGUCCAAUAUCUUCAAUGAAACUUUUCUCCGUGAAUGUAUCAUGAAUUUGAUGGUAGAUGGCUUUAGCAAGGGUGGUUUUACCAGAUCCUCCCUGUCCACAUAUCGCUAUCUUACAAACUUCCGUAGAUUUGUAUUUGAUAGUUCGAAUCAGGUCCUCCAUGUGCGAUUGUAAUCCAACUGGAAAUUUGGUAGCAGACAAGACUGGUAAAUUAAGAACGGUCUUAACAAUUUCGUCCACUAGUUCAGCAUCACUCCUUCAAUUCAAUAGCAAUUAUAGAAGAAGUCAUGUAUUACAAAACAAAAAUCAGAAGCUUAAAUAGUUCNNNNNNNNNNNNNNNNNNNNNNNNNNNNNNNNNNNNNNNNNNNNNNNNNNNNNNNNNNNNNNNNNNNNNNNNNNNNNNNNNNNNNNNNNNNNNNNNNNNNAGUAUUACACUAUUUUUUUCAAUUAUAUUCUCUUUUUUUCUAAAUUUACCUAUUAACUUUACUUUUUAUUUAAGAAAGCAUUAUGUUAUCUCUCUUUUUCUGUUAGGCACGUAUCUCUUUAAAUUUUAAAAGAAUAAAAAAUAAAUUUUCUUUCCCUAUUAACGUAUAUUUAAAGAGGCCACUGUAAUAAUGAAAGAAAAAUAGAAAGUAUAAAUACAAUUUAGAUAAACGUCACUACAUCUGAAUUUAUUUUUUAAAUAAAUAAAAUAAAAGAAUUGGACGUCAGUUUACUAAAAUUUAUGAAGUUUAUUAUCAAUUACUAAAAAUACAAAUGAGGUGAGUGUAAUUGAUUUUAUUAAGAAGACAAAGUAAAAGUAAUUUUCCCUUUUAUUUGAAUACAAAAUUAUAUGGCAUAUUUUUAUAACAUUAUUUCAAUAUCAUUAUGUUAAAUUAUUAAACACAUUUUUAUUGGAAAUAAGCUGAAAUGGAUGACAAGUUGUUUAGCUAAGUUUACAUUUUUGGUAAAGGAUUGUCGAACUUUAUGGUUGAAAUUGAGUGAUGAUCUCUACAUUCAAAUCCGUAAGAGUUAAGAAUGAAUGAGCAAAUAAAAAAAAAAAUAUUGAAUUAAAUUAAGAAUAUUCUCCCAGGUGAUAUUUAUAAAGUUUUGAACCUAUAACUUAUUUCAAUAAUGACUACUAAGCCGAUUGUUAGGAAAAUGUGGAGUGAUUACUUUUCAAGUACUAGAGAUAUAAGUUGUACUAGUUAGUUGUCAUGGUUAUGGGUGGAUAUUAACUGCUAUAUAUUUUCCUAUACUAGGUAGUACAAAACAUUUUCUUUUUUUUUCUUCAUUUAUAAUCACUUGGAAUUGUAGUUUGCUGGUCUAGUAUGUCUAAACUCAAAAAAAAAAAAAACAUGAAAAGUUAUCUCAUUUUAACUUUUGUCUUCGUGUCAUUUAGUUAUUCUCCUUUAUGAAGCGGCGUUCUCCAUAUGUGUGUAGUCGGUGGUCGCCGAAGUUAUUUGAAACGGCGUUCUCCAUAUGUAUGUAGUCGGUGGUCGCCAAAGUUAUAUAAGGUCAACAGAAUCGCCGGUCGUUGAAACGACGAUCUCAAUGCGUGCGUAGUCGGUGGAUGUCGAAGUGAUGCAAAGGUUAACAUGAUCGCCGGUCGACGAACGGCGAUCUCCAUGCGUGCGUAGUCGGUGAUCGUCGAAGUUAUGCAAAUGUCAACAUGAUCGCCGGUCGAGGAAGUGGCGUUCUCUAUAUGGGUGUAGUCGGUGGUCGCCGAAGGCAAUGUGCAUGGGUAACUCGUCGCGUGGCGAGGUGAAUGUAGAGGGCCUCGGUUUUGGGCGUCUCGAGUUGUAUGUUGCUUAAGGUAACCUGUUGGCUGUUUUUUGAGUAUGGUUUUCUCACUUUAAGGUUGCUCUGCCCCAACCAUAAAGGAGAGUCUCUUUUGUAGAUGAUAUAGGAAGUCCACUUCUGGGUUACUGUAUAUGGGUUGGGAUACCCCUGAAGUAUCCCUUAAUUUUAUUUAUUCAUUGCUUAUAAAAAAAAACAGUUUUAUCCUCUCUUUUUGUGUUCCUCAAAGUUUGGAAUGACCAUGUUGAUUGCUCUAAAAUCAUUAAAGAUGUUUAACAAUGUUCUUAUUUGAGUUAUUCCACAUUUAACUUGUGACAAAAGCUCAAAAGUGUCAAGGUGGCCUUGAAAUGUUGAAACAAAAGUGUGUUUGGUGAUGUUAAUAAAAUUUGUUCUUGAUAAACAAGUUGUUCUUAUUGGCAUUCAAAAUAAAUUGUGGCACAAAGUGAUUGUGUUUUGGCUGACUUGAUAUCUUUAUGAUCUAACUUUGGCGUUAGAUAUACAAUAAAAACUUUGGCAAGUGAAAGCUUGUGUUGUUGGUACAAUGAUGGUGAUAGAGGUACUAAUUUUUUUUCAUGUUAUUUUUAAGGGUGUUUCUUUCUACAUUCUAACAACUUUUUCUCUGCACCUCAUAUUUUUUUAAAACUUUGUUUUACCUUUUAAAAAUGACUUUUAAAUUACUCUUUCUAAAAUGUUUUGGAACAUAUUUUUUGGAACAAUUUUAUGAAUUUCGGAUUUACCAUUUUAGAAGUAAAAAAAAUUAGUCCCCUAAUAGAUUUUUUGUUUUCUGAAUUUCCUAUUCCGAAAACACCUUUUAUUUACCUAACACUUCCUAUUUCGAAAUCAUCCAAAAUUGUCUAAGAGUAAUUUAGGUAUUUCAAAAAAAUAUAGGAUAUAGAAAGAAACACCCUGCUUUUAAAUAUAGAAGGGUCGUCACAUUUCAAUGUUGGUUGAGUAUAAUAUUAUCUUGACUGAAAAAUAACAAAGUGAUUCACUUAUUUGCAUUGGCACUAAUCAUAAUUUGAUUGCUAUGAAUAGUUUUGUGUACUCUUAUGGUUUCUAACUUUGGAAAUGAUUUAAUUACUCUUGAUCCUACUAACGAAGAGAUAAAGAUUCUGAUUUUCAAUCUUAAUGUUGUUCUUUGUCUUUUUUGGAGGUUUCUUUUUUAAAACUUACUAGGAUUUAGUUUGCAAUAACAAUUAUAAAGUUAUCAAGUAAUCUUUCUCUCAAAAUUGGAUCUCCCUAAUAAGAACUCUAGUGUUAUCUCUCUUUUUUCUUAAGUGUUAGGCGUUGAGAAUCUUAAAAGACUUUCAUAUCCUAAAACUAUUACUAAUUUUUGUUUUAAAAUCAUUACUAAAUUUUUGGCCGAUAGACUAAGUAAUAUUGCUAGUUGUAUUAUGUACCCUCAUUAAAAUAGUUUUGUUAAAGGAAGGUGAAUUAGUGAUAGUAUUUGCAUUGCCUCCAAGGGUAUUAAUAUGCCCUAUUCUAAAGCUAAAGGAGUAAUGUGGCCAAUGAUAUAAAGAAGACUUUUUGACACUCUCAAUUGGGACUUCCUACUCUCUAUUUUGCAUAAAUUUAUUUUCAUGAUAAGUUCUGCAACUGGGUUAAAACUAUUUUGCACUCGACAUUUAAUGGUGGACUGGUUGACUAUUUUACUUUCAGGGAAUCAAAGCUCACUACAUAGCCGAAAGCCACAAACAAAAUUGAAAAGAUUGGACAAAGCUUGUACUUUGGUACCAAUUUUUGAACUGCACUAUGCAUGAAAUGUGCAAAAUUCUACUGCAGCAACAUAAAUUCUUCAAAUUGGUAGUGCAGCAAAACUGCACUAUUCUAAUUUCUUAUGCAGCAAAAUAUUUCUAAUAAACCACGGUGCCAUUACCUUAGUAUAAAGGAUGAAGCUACGGAGCUUCUUAUGUUGAAACAAAAACAGAGAAUACAUAGCAUAUAGCAAGGCGAAACACAUAACAAAUUAUCGAACCGCAGCUAUCUUUAUUUCAUAAUGUAAUAUCUUUUAAGAGGAUUUCUGAAUGAGAUAUUAUAUGCUAAAAAGGGAAAAGAAUUGACAAAAGUAACAACGACUAAGUAAAUAUAAUAAACAGUUCAAGUAAAGUUAAGGAAGCACAAUGUGAGGAGUGAGAAACAGGGUAUAAUAAGUAUGAAUCUCGUAACUAUGAGCUAUACAAAGAAAAACAAGGAAAGGAUGAGAAAAAAUAAAUUGCAAUGAAGGAGAUAAAUGACUUACAAGAACUCACAUUAGAGUUUUCUUUAUGAAUUUAAGGAGAGAGUUUUUCUUUGGCACAGGCUCCUUUUCUAAGUCAUUUGAUUCACUACAUAUCAGAUAGACAGUUGUGUUCUUAACCACCAAAUCGUGACCAAAACUCACAAAAAUAUCCACCUUGUCUCCUGAUCCUAAAUUUGACACUAUGUCAGGCCAAUCUUCAUCAUUAAAGGAAAUUACCGAGCCAUGGUUGUGUAUUUGGCAUGUGCAAUUCGUGUAAUUAACAAUUAAGACAGUACUAAGUUUAGGUUCAAUAAUUUCCGAGCUUGAUAAAUAAACAACACACAAAGUCAUUCCCUUUACGACACGAUCUUGUGGCACAGUGAAAGAAACAGAAUGUCCAUCACCCUUAUGGGCCAACCAAUAAGGAUCAUUGUCACCUGGGAGAGAAACAUCACAUGACUCACUGCUUGCAAAUUCCUGUAUCAUGUCAUAAACAAGGGCAUGUUUAGUUAAACAAAAAUGUUAUACAUGAUUAAAACAAAUCUGGUUAAUAGUUUUGUUGUGUAUACAUCCCCAGCUUUUCUUUAGUGAUUUAGUGUGUUUUUGUCUCUUAGUUUAUAUUUCUACGUACGAUCAAUGGGAAUCAAGCAAUCAUGAAGCUAGUAAAGCAAGAAAGUGAGAUCUAUUUGGUAGUAUAAGCAUAAUGACUUGUUAGUUGAUUACUAAAACCAGAUAUUUUUAGAUGAAGUCGUGGUGCUAAAAGUUCAGUAUUGUAGUUUCUACAAGAUACUUAAUUAUGAUUAUUUUAAGUUCUCUCAAAUAAUAGCUAAAAUGAUGGUGAAGGUAAUAAACAAAGGGAAAGCAAGGGAAGAACCUUAGGUAUGAUAUCGCUCACAGUAUUGAGGAAUUCUCUGUAUCUUCCAACACCAGUCAGAGCAUACCUUAGGUGAUGCUUUGAAAGCACUGAUUCUCUAACAUUUGCACCAUAUUCGGCCACUAUGGUUUUUACUUGCUCAGAUAGUUGAAACUCGGCAUCGCAUUGCACUGAAACACUUCGAAGAUUUGUGAGGCUGCUAAGCAAUGGUGAUAUUUCAUCCCAAUUAUUAUCUUCCAUAUGCAUAAAGGAAUGAAUAUAAGAUAGGGGAUUCAUUGUUGGCGACAUCCGAGACCGAAUGAUAGAAGGAAAAAGAUUAUGUGAAAAUCCCUCAAAUCCACGUAGGAAUAUAUAUCCAAUACUUUUUGGGCUUACAAUUGUAAAAAGCAAUUGUUUCAUAACUCUAUUUUCAGCAAUUAUAGUUAUCAGGGAUUUCAUUCGCACUAUAUCUUUUUCCAUUAGGUCCAUCUUCGAACAACCAGAUAGAAUCAGAGUUUUUAAGGAUUUCAACUUAUAUAUCUUUCUGGGAAGAUUGCUUAGAUUUGUACAGUCCUGCAAAUUUAGCAGUAAAAGAUUGCAGAGCCAUCCAAUAGAAGGGUGUACUUGUCUCAAUCUUGGACAAUCUUUGAGAAUGAGCUGUUCAAGACUUGGUGUUCGAUAAAAGACAGGGGUUUCUAUUAAAUACUUGGAGUGACUAAGAUCAAGGACUUUUAGCCACGUCAAAACCUUUAAGAACAUAGUUUUUGGUAUAUUAGAGAAGAAAACGACAAAACUAAAUAGUUAUAAGUAGAAACAAAUAAUAAUUUUAAAAGAGAAUGGCACGUGAUAAAAACCUGGGAUCCUUUCCAAACGAAUCGAAGAAGACUGUGUUUUACAUCAAUGACUAUUGCAUCAUGCAUAUAAAAGUCGUGAGCUAGAUAUUCUGAAGAAAACCCUCGCAAACUGAUCCAUCUCAGUUUCUUAAGAAGUCUUGAUGGGUCUCUUGCCUGUGAAUGAUCGCGUCCAAAUAAAUCACUUCCAGUAGGCAAUCUCUGAAUGACUUUUGUGCCAUUAGAUGAAAAGAGCUAAGAAAAAGAAAUAUAUUGCACAUGAGAAAGCAACCACUUUCAAAAGAAGUUUCAAAAGCAUAGAUAAAGGAUGUUCUUACCGUAUUCUCUGACAGUGCAUAUUCUGCAUUAUUAUCAAACCACCACAGUUGACUGUUCUUCCAAGGUUCCUUUGUUGAACUUUGAUGAAUAAUUUCUCUUCCCAUUUCUCGUAACAAUGGAUGCAUUCUUAAUUUGUUAUUCUUAUUAAUUUGUAUGAGACUAUGCUUUAUGAGAACUCUUAUUCCACUAUCAGCGUCUAUUCCACAGCCAUUUAGGAUCUUCGUAACAUAGCUUCUGCUCUUACCAACAAAGGAACAACAUACAUCAAGAAAUAAAUCUUUUUCCAUUUGAUUGCUUAAACCGUCGAAACUUAUUUUCAAUUUCCAUAGAACAUCAAGCUGGGGAAUAUUUUCUAAUAGUAACAAUACUGAAUUCCAUUCUUCUUUGGUCCUUUCAUAUAAAUAACUUCCAAUGACUUCAAGAGCUAGAGGUAAUCCUCCACAAUAAGAAACUACUGUUUUUGCAAGGAAAUGGUAUUCUUGUUUUGGUUUUGCUUCUCGAAAUGCGUGCCAACUAAGAAGCUCAAGGGACUCGUUUGCGUUCAUUAACUUUACCUGAAGAACAGAAUCAGCUUCAUAUAUCCUCACUAGGUUGUCAGGUCUUGUUGUAAUAAUUAUUACACUUCCUCCUCCGAACCAAUGACAGCAUUCCCAUAGUAAUUGUCCAUUAAAACUCAGGCACAUCGUCAAUUACAAUGAGUACCCUUUUCCCAGAAAGUCUUUCCCGAAUCAUACUUCUUCCCAUCUCAAAGCUAUCUGUCUUCACCUUUGUUUUUAGGACAUCUGAAAGGAGUUUUUCUAGUAAACGAAGAUCCCCUCUUAUUCCGCUAAAUUGCCCAAUACCUUCAAUGAAACUUUUCUCUGUGAAUGUACCAUGAAUUUGAUGGUAGAUGGCUUUGGCAAGGGUGGUUUUGCCAGAUCCUCCCUGUCCACAUAUUGCUAUCCUACAAACUUCCGUGGAUUUAUAUUUGAUAGUUCGAAUCAGAUCCUCCACUUGGAAUUGUAAUCCAACUGGAAAUUUAGUAGCAGACAAGACUGGUAAGUGAAGAACAGUCUUAACAAUUUUGUCCACUAGUUCAGCAUCACUCCUUCAAGUUCAAUAGCAAUUAUAGAACAAGUCACGUAUUACCAAAAUUAAAUCACAAACUUAAAAUAUGCGUGAGUGAUUUACCUGUAAUUGCUCUCAUCCCAUCCAAAGAAAUUUGCAGCUUUGGUGAGUGCGUGGCUCCAUCUGGACAUGCCAUGCCUCAGUUGUUGUGGUGAGAAUGUUUGGUGUGCAGUUGCUUUGAAGGCUUUUCCAAAAUCACCCAUCUGAAGACGCACAUCAGAUGGCUGAAUUUCGUAAUAAACGGGCAGAAGAUGUCGACAAUAAGUUUCUUGCCAUCUAAUGAUUUGUUGAAGCUGAUGAAGACACCAAGAAGAUUGAGAAUAGGAUUUGGUGAAAACAACAAUUGCUACACGAGAGAGAUUGAGAAUAGGUUGUUGGAUGUGAAUUGGGUUGUCUGCAUUGGGGUGGUGAAGGAAAGUGGUGAAGCCAACAGCAGAGAGAGCAGAAUCGAGAUGAGAAACAAAUUUCCUUUGGAUGUCUUCUCCAUUAAAGUUUAUGACCACUUCGUACAUCAGUGGGAUUUUGAAUGAUGAAGAGGCCAAUUCCAUGGAAGGUCAACGAUUAGAAGAAAAGAGAACAAAAAUGCAACACAGUCAAGACAAAAAACCAUUCAAAGAAGCCAAAGAUUAAUACAUUUCUUUUUUAUAGUCGUGGAAGCUCAUGAAUUGCAGCACCCAUUUUACUUUAGAAAAAUAAUAUAUUUACAACUUGUUCUAUUAUACAACUUUCAUUUAAAAAAAUAUAUAUAUUUUCAUUAUUUUAUAAAAAACUAAAAUUUUAGACCAAAAAAAAAAGAUUAUAUACUAGAACAGGCUCUCAAUAUAUCAAUAUUAUUUACUUUAGCCAUUUAAGAAGUUAGACCAACACCCACUCUGAACCAAAAAAACGUAUUACACUAUUUUUUUCUAAUUAUAUUCUCUUUUUUUCUAAAUUUACCUAUUAACUUUACUUUUUAUUUUAGAAAGCAUUAUGUUCUCUCUCUUUUACGUUAGGCACGUAUCACUUUAAAUUUUAAAAGAAUAAAAAAUAAUACAUUUUCUUUCCACAUAUAUUUAAAGAGGCCGCUGUAAUAAUGUAAAAAAAUAGAAAGUAUAAAUACAAUUUAGAUAAACGUCACUACAUCUGAAUUUAUUUUUUAAAUAAAUAAAAUAAAAGAAUUGGACGUCAGUUUACUAAAAUUUAUGAAGUUUAUUAUCAAUUACUAAAAAUACAAAUGAGGUGAGUGUAAUUGAUUUUAUUAAGAAGACAAAGUAAAAGUAAUUUUCCCUUUUAUUUGAAUACAAAAUUAUAUGGCAUAUUUUUAUAACAUUAUUUCAAUAUCAUUAUGUUAAAUUAUUAAACACAUUUUUAUUGGAAAUAAGCUGAAAUGGAUGACAAGUUGUUUAGCUAAGUUUACAUUUUUGGUAAAGGAUUGUCGAACUUUAUGGUUGAAAUUGAGUGAUGAUCUCUACAUUCAAAUCCGUAAAUGUAACUUAUAUCAAUAAGUGUCAUUGUUAUCAGAUAUUAGGUGUGGAGUGGUGUCAUUGUUAUCGGAUAUUAGGUGUGGAGUGGUUAUUUUCCAGUACUAGAGAUAUAAUUGGUACUAGUUAAUUCUCACCGUUGUGGGUGGAUAUUAACUGUUAUAUCUUUCCCUAUACUACGUAGUAAAAAAAAAAUCUUCAUUUAUAUUCACUUGGAAUUAUAGUUUGCUGGUCUAGUAUGUCUAAACUAAAAAAAAACAUGAAAAGUUAUCUCAUUUUAACUUUUUUUUCAUCUAGUUUGCUCAUGUUAUUUAGUUAUUGUAGGGAUAUCGAUCGUGUGUGGAAGCGUGAUAAUUUCAACCAAAGAUUAUGAGAAAUUAAAGUAACAAGAAAAAGAGAAUGAUAUCAGAAAUUUUUAGGUGGAAAACCCCUUUAAAUAGAGAUAAAAAAUCAUCGGCGAGAGAGUCAAAACUUCCACUAUAAUGGUAAUAGGAGUACAAUGAAUUCCUCUCAGGCUAAUAGAUAAAUAGCCCCAAAACAAAUCCUCUCUAUAUGGGUUAAACACUUACACCCAAGAGAUGAAAUAGAGAGUAUAGGAACUGUAUGUUGUGUGUUGCUGUAUGUUGUGUGUUACAUUGCUUGAAGGAAGCCACUAUAUAUAGUGGUUCUAGGAGACAACAAUAAUAAAUUCAAUUAAUGGUAAUUAAUCUCCCAUUGAUUGCAAUUGUUUGUGGCAAUUAACCUCCUUUGAUUACAAUUAAUUGUAGUAAGUAACCUCCCAAUUAAUUGUAGUAAGUAACCAAGUAACCUCCCAUUAAUGCCAAGAUAACAAUAAAGGUGAGUCAUAACCCACAAAUCUCCACAAUAAAGAUGAAGCCUUGAUUAAGUAUGGAUAAUACCAGCUAAGUUCAGGCAAUGAUCGAACUUAGCCGAUGGAAGUGGCUUGGUCAACAUGUUUGCAGGAUUUUCGGCCGUAUGAAUUUUUUCAACAAUUAUAUCUCCCGUAUCAAUAAUGUCUUGGAUAAAAUGGUGCUUAAUUUCAAUGUGCUUGGUCCUUGAGUGAUACUUACUGUUCCUGGUCAAGUGGACAACACUCUAACUAUCACAAAAUAUAAUGGCAGAACCUAAGUCCUUCAUAUCAAAUUCACUAUUAAGCUGGGCCUUUAACUUGAUAACUAAAGAUUUAUCUCUUGCGGCAAUCAACAUGUCAUCAACAUAUAACAACAAGUAUAUAAAUGACCCAUCACAUGUCUUUUGAAAAUAGACACAAUUAUCAUAGCUACUUCUAGAGUAGCCAUGUCCAACCAUGAAAGAAUCAAACCUCUUAUACCAUUGUCUUGGUGAUUGCUUCAAGCCGUAGAGAUUUCUUCAAACGACAUACAUGGUCCUCCUUUCCAGGAACAACGAACCCCUCAGGCUGCUGGAUGUAAAUCUCUUCCUCAAGAUUACCAUGAAUUUUAUUUUAUUUUAUUUUUUUUAUCGGCAUUUUUAUUCAAGAUUACCAUGAAUAAAAACAGUUUUCACAUCUAAUUGUUCCAGCUCCAAAUCAUACAAGGCAACUAAAACAAGUAAUAUACGUAUUGAAGUAUGACGAACAACCGGAGAAAAUACUUCAUUAAAGACAAUACCUUUCUCUUGAUCAAAAACCUCUUACAACAAAUCUUGUUUUAUUCCUUGUACUCUCAAAGGGAUCCCUUCUUUUCUCUUGAAGAUCCACUUUCUGUUGGAGGCAGUGAAGCUUACUUGGUGAAGUGAAUUCUGCGUUUUUUCUCAUGGUUUCCUGUUCGUGUUUUUUUUUUUUUACGUUUCUUCUUGUAUAUCUAUUGAGUUUUGGGCCUUUCAGUUCUGUAUCUUGGGCUAAAGCCCAACCUAUUGUAUUGUGUAAUUUAUAUAUAACGUGCACCAUACAAUGUAAUAACACAUAUAGCAGUUUUAUUUUUAAGAAACAAUAUCAUCUUUGAAGGAUUAAGGCACUGCCCUUCAACACAACCACAACAUGGAGGAUUUUAGAAAAUAAAAUUGUUACAAAGGCCAAUUUGAAAAAAGAUGUAGGAUAAUUAUGAUGAGUAAUAUUUUCAGUAUAUGUGGGGAAGAAGAUGAGACAACAUGUAAUAUAUUUUUUAAGUGUAGAGUGGUUUGCCUAGUACGGGGUGGUAUGUUUUAAUACGUGUUGUGAAAUAAAAUGGGCAAUGGUUUAUUGGAUUAUGCAGGAAACAAGAAUUGGCAAUAUUUUAAAAUUAGACAUAAAAAAAUAUAAUCAUUGUAAAUAACGAGAAAUGAAAUCAAACUUUGUUUAAUUUAGUCUUUAAGGGAUGAGGCUACGGUGCUUCUUAUGUUGAAAAAUACGAGAAUUUCUGAAUGCAAUAUUAUAUGCUAAAAAGGCAAAAGAAUGGACAAAAGUAAAAACUACAAAGCAAAUACAAUAAACAGUUCAAGUAAAGCCAAGGAAGCAAGAACUGAGAAACAGGUAAAAUGAGUAUGAAUCUCAUAACUACGAGCUAUACUCAAUGAAAAACAAGGAAAGGAUCAGAAAAGAUAAAUUGCAAUGAAGGACACAAGGAUUAAACAGCAGCUGUCUUUAUAUCAUAAUGCAAUGUCUUAUUUUAAGAGGAUUCCUAUUGAAAUAUUAUAUGCUAAAAGGGAAAAUAAUUGACAAAAGUAAAAUCCAGAAAAAAAAAAAUACAAUAAACAGCUCAAGCAAAGCCAAGGAAGCACCACUGAGGACUGAGAAACAGGGUAAAAUAAACAUGAUUCAAAAAAGAACAUAAAUGACAUACCAGAAAAGUCACAUUACAAUUUUCUUUAUGAAUCUAAUGACGGAAUUUUUCCUUGGCUCACCAUAUAUCAGAUAGACAGCUGUGUUCUUAAUCACCAAAUCGUGACCAAAAUUCACAAAAAUCUCCACCUUGUCACCUGAUCCUAAACUUGACAAUAUGUCAUGCCAAUCUUCAUCAUUAAAGGAAAUUACUGUGCCAUGAUUGUGUAUUUGGCAUGUGCACUUCGUGUAAUUAACAAUUAAGACAGUACUAAGUUCAGGUUCAAUGAUUUCGGAGGUUGAUAAAUAAACAACACACAAAGCCAUUCCCUUCACGACACGAUGUUGUGGCACAGUGAAAGAAACAGAAUGUCCAUCACCCAUAUGGGCCAACCAAUAAGGAUCAUUGUCACCUGGGAGAGAAACAUCACAUGACUCACUGCUUCCAAAUACCUGUAUCAUGUCAUAAACAAGGGCAUGUUUAGUUACAUGAUUGAAACAAAUUUGGUUAAUAGUUUUGUUUUGUAUAUAUCACCAUCAUUUUGCAUUUCUAUUUUUGUCUCUCUUAGUUUAUAUUUAUACGAUCAUUGGGAAUAAAAAAACCAUGAAGUAAACAAGUAACUGGAAAACAAUUUGCAUGUACUUAGGCUAAGCAUAAUCACUUGGUUAUUUGACUAUUCAACUAAAAUACUUUUAGAUGAAGUCGUGGGGCUAUAGAAGCGAAGGGUGCUAAAAGUUCAGUAGUGUAGUUUCUACUAAUACUUCAUUAGGAUUAUUUUAUGUUCUCAGAAAUAAUAGCUAAAAUGAUGGUGAAGGUAAUAAACAAAGGGAAAGCUAGAGAAGAACCUUGGGUAUGCUAUCGCUCACAGUAUUGAAGAAUUCUUUGUAUCUUCCAACACCAGUGAGAGAAGACCUGAAAUUAUUCUUUGAAAUUCCUGAUUCUGUAAUAUUUGCAUCAUAUUCGAGCAAUAUAGUUUUUACUUGCUCAUAUAGUUCAAACUUGGCGUCACAUUGCACCAAAACACUUCGAAGAUUUGCAAGGCUGCUAAGCAAUGGUGAAAUAUCAUCCCAACUAUUAUCCUCCAUAUCCAUGAAGGAAUGAAUAUAAGAUAAGGGAUUCAUUGUUCGCGACAUCAGAGACCGAAUCACAGAAGGAAAAAGAUUAUGUGAUAAUCCCUCAAAUCCAGGUAGAAAUAAAUAUGCAAAGCUUUUUGAGCUUACAAUUGAAAAAGGCACUUGUUUCACAUCUGUAUUUUCAGAAAUUAGAGUUAUCAAGGAUUCCAUUUGCACUAUAUCUUUUUCCAAUAGGUCAAUUUUGGAACAACCAGAUAUAAUGAGAGUUUUCAAAGAUUUCAACAUACAUAUCUCUCUGGGAAGAGUGCUUAGACUUGUACAGUCCUUCAAAUUUAGCAAUAUAAGAUUGCAGAGACAUCCAAUAGAUUGGUGUUCUUGGCGCAAUCUAGGACAAUCUUUGAGAACGAGUUCUUCAAGACUUGGUAGUCUCGAAAAGUCAGGGGUUUUUGUCAAGUACUUCGAGUGACUAAGAUUCAGGACUUUUAGACACGCCAAAACCUUCAAGAAGAUAAUUUUUGAUAAAAUAUUAGAGACCGUAAAUGAGAAAAUGAAAUAGUUAUAAGUGGAAACAAAUAAUUAUUUUAAAAGAUAAUACACGUGAUAAAAACCUGGGGUUCUUUCCAAACGAAUCGAAGAAGACUGUGUUUUAAGUCAAUCACUAUUGCAUCAUGCAGAUAAAAGUCGUUAGGUAGGUAUUCUGAAGAAAACCCUCUCAAACUGAUCCAUCUCAGUUUCUUAAAAUGGUACCUCAGAAUCUCCAGCGAGUUUCAGCAGUCUUGAUGGGUCUCUUACCUCUGAAGGAUAGCGUCCGAAGAAAUCUCUUCCGGUAGGCAAUCUCUGAAUGACUUUUGUGUCCUUAAUUUCAAUGUAGCACAUGAGAAAGCAACCACUUCCAAAAGAAGUUUCAAAACCAUACAUAAAGGAUGAUCUUACCGUAUUCUCUGACCAUGAAUAUCUGUCAUCCUUAUCAAACCACCACAGUUGACUGUUCUUCCCAGGUUUCUUUGUUGAAAUUUGACGAAUAAUUUCUCUUCCCAUUUCUAGUAGCAACGGAUGCAUUCCUAAUUUGCUGUUUUCUUUAACUUUUAUAAGGUUACUCUUUAUGAGAACUCUUAUUCCACUAUCAGGGUCUACUCCACAGCCAUUUAGGAUCUUCGUAACAUUGGCUCUGCUUUUACCAACAAAGAAACAACAUACAUGAAGGAAUAAAUCCUUUUCUAUUUGAUUAGCUAAACCGUCGAAGCUUAUUUUCAAUAUCUGAUCAAAUUUAAGCUUGGGAAUUUUCUUUAAUUUUAAGAGUACUCUAUUCCAUUCUUCUUUGGUCCUUUCAUAUAAAUAACUUCCAAUCACUUCAAAAGAUAGAGGUAGUCCUCCACAAUAAGCAACUACUUCUUGUGCACGGAAAUUAUAUUCUAGUUUUGGUUUUUCUUCUCUAAAUGCGUGCCAACUAAGAAGCUCAAGGGACUCGUUUCUGUUCAUUGGAAUCAUCCGAAAAACAGAAUCAACUUGAAGCAUACUCGGUAGGUCUUCAUCUCUCGCUGUAAUGAUUAUUACAGUUCCUUCGCCGAAUCGUGAACUACUUCCCCAGAGGUCUAAUUGGCCAUACUUAUUCAAAUCGUCAAGUACAAGAAGCACCCUUUUCCCAUAAAGUCUUUCCCGAAUCAUAGUUCUUCCCAUCUCAACGUCACUUAUCUCCACCUUUGUUUUUAGUACAUCUGAAAGAAGUUGUUCUUGUAAAUGAACAUACCCUCUUGUUUGACUAACUUGUGCAAUAUCUUCAAUGAAACUUUUCUCCGUGAAUGUAUGAUGAAUUUGAUUGUAGAUGGCUUUGGCAAGAGUGGUUCUACCCGAUCCUCCCAUUCCACAUAUCGCUAUAGUAAAAACUUGGGUGGAUUUACUUUUUAUGGUUAGAAUCACAUCUUCCACACGGGAUUGUAAUCCAACUGGAAAUUUUGUAGCAGACAAGAUUGGUAAAUGAAGAACGAUCUUAACAAUUUUGUCCACUAGUUCAGCAUCACUCCUUCAAGUUCAAUAGCAAUCAAAGAAGAAGUCAUGUAGUACCACCAUAAAAUCAGAAGCUUAAAAUACGGUUGAUUGAGUCAGUGUUUUACCUGUGAUUUCUCUCAUCCCAUCCAAAGAAAUUUGCAGCUUUGGUGAGUGCGUGGCUCCACCUGGACAUGCCAUGCUCCAGUUGUUGUCCUGAGAAUGUUUGUUGUGCAGUUGCUUUGAAGGCUUUUCCAAAAUCACCCUUUUGAAGACGUACAUGAGAUGGGUGAAUUUCGUAAUAAACGGGCAGAACAUGUCGGCUAUAAGUUUGGUGCCAUUUGAUGAUUUGUUGAAGCUGAUUAAGACACCAAGCAGAUUGAGAAUAGGAUUUGGUAAAAACAACAAUUGCUACCCGACAGAGAUUGAGAAUAGGUUGUUGGAUGUGCGUUGGGUUCACUGCAUUGGGGUGGUGAAGGAAAGUGGUGAAGCCAACAGCAGAGAGUGCAGAAUCGAGAUGAGAAACAAAUCUCCUUUGGAUGUCUUCUCCAUUAAAGUUGAUAAGCACAUCGUACAUCCGUGGCAGAUUUGAUGAUGAAGAUGACGAUUCCAUGGAAGAAGAUUAAUCUUUGCAGCACUAACCUGGUUUUUUUAAUAUAAUUAUCUUUUCUCCCACUCUUUUUGGUUCUUAAAACAAAAGUUAAAUGUUUUAUGGUAUUUCAACUUUGUUUUCAUCAGCACUUUUUGUUUUAUUUUAGCUUAUAAUUUUUUAUGUAAAUUUUGAUACACAAUAUUUAUAUAGGUGCCGACCAAAAAAAAAUUAUAUAGGUUAUUUUAUCAUAAAAUUUGCUUUUAGACUCAAAUGAGAUAAUAAGUUCACAAACAACUGUAAUUUUAACAUCUUUUAACAUUAUUACUUUACAUUUGAAGAGUUGACUUCAAUUCCUUUGAUGGAGUUCUCUUCUUCGUCGUCAUCAUCUUCAUCCUUCUUAAAAUCAGAAUCCAGUUCAUAUACGAUGUGUUCAUUAACUCUUGGGGAAAAGAAAUCGGUAGAAAGUUGGUUUCUCAUCUCCAUUCUCUCCUUUUACAAGCUCAAGUCAAAACUUUGAUUAAGGAGGAGAAUCUGCAGGAGGGAAUGGAGCUGGAAGAACACAUGCAAGCAAUAGCAGCCUCUAAGAUUGCAAUAAUCGUUUUCUCCAAGUCAUACACUGAAUUUUUACCUGCUGUCUUCUUCAGCUUGAAAAAAUCAUUGAAUGCCACGAAACUUUUGGCCAAAUAGUUCUGCCCAUAUUUUACGAGAUUGACCCAUUAGACGUACGCGAUCAGAAGGAUGAUUUGGGAAAAGCGUUGGAAGAAGCUGCACACAAAAGCUAUUCAGGAGAGCAACUGGAACAUGCAUUGUCUAGGUGGAGGUGUGCACUCACCACUUCUGCAGGUAUUAGUGGUUGGGAUGUCAAAGAUUUCAGGUAAACAAAUGAAUUCUUCGUACUUUGUUUGAGACUGAAUGAAGCAUAUGUUAAGGUUGUGAUUUACUUUAAUGAACUAGCAAGAAACACAGUUGCUUAUUGUGGAGGACUACCACUAGCUCUUAAGGUCCUUGGUUCCUUUUUAUGUGAUAAGACAAUGAAAGAGUGGGAAAGUGUAUCGUCAAAACUAAAAAUAAUUCCCAUGGAUCAAGUUCAAAACAUAUUGAAAAUAAGUUUCGACGGUUUACGUAAUCACAUGGAAAAGGAUGUAUUUCUUGAUAUAUGUUUUUC
rnacentral:lncRNA from 1 species